rnacentral:lncRNA from 1 species
GAAAGAGAGGAAGUCAGAAGCGAUAGAAGAGAGGAAGAAAGAGGGGUCAGAAGAGACGAAGAGAGAGAUAGUAUCAAUGGAAGAGAUGAAGCAUUUCUGUGUGAUGAGGAAGCUCGUGUCGAAGCCGUAGUUGCCACAUUUGUAGACGAAGAGGAAAAUGAUGAUUAUGGAAAACAAACUCCUCCCACAUCAGAUAAUGAAGGAGAAAAGACAGAGAAAACUUGUUAUGAUAGGUGGAGAAGAGGAAGUGGAGAGCUAAAGGUUGGACAAGUCUUUGAAAGUGUCGAAGAGUUUAGAGAGGCUGUGUUGGAGUAUGCUUUAAAAGGCGGGUGGAAUAUUCAGUACACAAGAUGGGCGGCUAAAAAGUAUACAGCUAAGUGUGGUAUAGAUGAAUGCAACUGGAGAAUCUAUUGUUCAUAUGAAGAAUCUGUUUCUCAGUGGAUGGUUAAAACAUUUCAAGAGGACCAUACUUGUUACAAAGAUGGAAGGUGUAAGAUCUUGACUGAGAGUGUUAUUAGUGACAUGUUCAUCCAUGAGAUCAGAGAUGAUCCUCAACUGAAACCGAAAGUGAUGCAAGACAAGAUCCAUGAUCGGUAUAACGUAGCUCCUUCAUAUGAUCAAUGUCGAAAAGCUAAGAAGAGAGCAUUAACAUUAAUUGAAGAAGAAUAUGAUGAACAAUAUCGAAGGAUAAAAGACUACAGAGAUCAAAUCCUAGAGUAAGUAUUCAUCUGUUUUAAUGCACUUCAUCAUGUUUUCUUUAAUUUUUUGGCUUUGAUACUAAUUACUUUGCUGAUACAGGACAAACAAAGACUCGACGGUGGAGCUACGGACAGUUGCGCCUACUUCAGUACAACGUCUUGCUGUGAGGAUGCACUUAACAAUUUCUCUGAGUCGUAUAACAAAGCUAUUGAUAAGGCGCGUGCUAUGCCUGUGGUUCAGAGUUUGGAGACGAUGAGAAGACAAGCUAUGGUAAGGAUUGAGCUGAGAAGGAGAACAACUCGAAAACAUAAGGGAAAACACAGUCUGAAGGUGGGACUUGUCAUUGCAGAAGAGGAAAAAGAGGUUAAAAGGUGUAGAUCAAUUGCUGGGCGUGAUAAUGUUUUUGAAGUGAGCGAGAGAGGACAAAAUUACACAGUCAAAAUGAAGGAGAAGACAUGCAUAUGUAGGAGAUGGGAUCUGACUGGGAUUCCAUGUCGUCACGUCUUAAGGGUUGUGUUUGACAAUAAGAAGAAGUUCAAGGCCGAAGACCUGGUUUCAGAUUGGUAUUUAACUUCUAUAUGGAAGGAUCAAUACACUGAUUCCAUCGAGCCUGUCAACGGAAGUAAGUUCUGGAAAAGCAGCGGUGAAGCAUUGAUCAAAGCUCCUCCGAGAGAGAUCGUUAAGGGUCGGAAAAGAAAACCAGAGAAGAGGCUCAAGUUGAUUACGGAGUCGCCAACUAAAGGGAAAAAGCUAACCAACCAUGGGCGAACAAUGCAUUGUUACCGGUGUGGUUUGCCGGGACAUUACUCUAUCAAAUGUCCUAGAAAGCCUCGGAAGCCUAAAAAGAGCAAGACAUCAGAACAGGUUCAGGAGACUAUGACACUCGGUAGUGGAGAAGGUCCUGCUCAAACUCAACCAUCUCAGACUUAGGACAGUGAUAAGGUAUUAAUCUUCUGAUUGUUCUUUUUUGUUGACGUGAGAAUACAAAUUUGUGAUGAUAAAAAAAUUGCUAAUUUUGUAGGUGAAGAUUAAAUCAGCAGGAGAGGAGAGUAAUUUUUUGUGUGUUCAUCUCCUUGGUCUCGGGUUAUUGAUAGUCUAAACCCAUGUUUUUUUUUUGUUUUAGGCUUAAGCUGUUUUCUAUGUAAAACGAUGUUGGUUAUUCACGUUGAACCUUGUUAUGGUCACAAUGGUAUUAAUUUAUUAAGAACUAUAUUAUGGCUUUCAGUUUUUUUAAUAUUUUCAGUUGGAAUUGGUUUUUGUAAUUCCUUCUUUCGAAUAAGAAACUAACACAACAAUUUAAAAUUCCUUAAAUACAUCAUAAAAAUCUCCAACAGCUCCCCAACAAGAUUCAGUCACAAUUACAACAAUACAGUGAAAGAGUAGACGUAAUUAAGCACAAAAACGAAAAUAACCAGCAAACACAACAACUCCACACACAAUCAUACACUUCAACAAACGUAUCUCAGCUUUCAUUGUCUCCAUCUCCUUCUCAUACCCACGAUCAACCAUCUUCAAGUCUUUUAUGUCUUUCUCAAUGCAAUUGACCAUGUCUUCACAAGUUCUUGUCUUCAUCUCUAAAUUCUUCAUUGUCUCCUUCAUGAAAAACAACUCUUCCACCAUAGAUUCAUCUGUCCAUUUAAACAAAUGGUAGUUGUCCUAGCAAAAUAUACAACAUUUACAUGAAUUCAUUGUAAGAACAAAAUUUAGUUAAUCUGGGCUUUUGUUUAUCUUUUCAGAACCUUUUGGACAACAAUGAAAGAGCCUUCCAGGAUUUUUUGAAGUUCCUGAAGUUUUUAUCAAUGAACUUUCUCCACACCUACAAGCAUUGGGCAUACCCUUCUGUCCUACAGGUACACCUCGACUCAUACUGGCAGUAAAACCUGCAAAUUGUGAAAUCAAAACUAAAAUUUCUGAUUUGAUUUUUUGAAAGUAUUUAAAUAAAAUCAAAAUCAAAAUUGCAAACCUAAACCUACGUGGAAUCUCCGAAGAAGCGUUCGAAUUCGACGAUGAAGGCAUUCUGAUUUGAUUUUGAACUCCACCGCAAAACCCUAACUAUGGCUCUUCCCUGUUUUUAAUCGACGAAGAAGAGAGAAGAAGAAGACAUAGUUGCUUACUUUUUUUUAAAACUGUUUAAUACUUUAAAACACGUCGUUUUGCCAUAUUUUUUUCUCAGAUUCUUAAACUAAAAUGACGUCGUUUUUGGGUUCUAUCCACCGUAGCAUCCGACUUGGAUUCCGUUUGCUAAGUACGGAUUUGACUAACAGAAAUAAAGUCAAUGCACUAAUUGACCAUGAAAACAUUGUUAAGGUAUGUAUUUACAACUUUUAACAUGUUGAGGUACUGAUUAACCUGUCAAAAUUGUUUAGGUAUUUAUUGGUACCAAAUUAUACUGUUGAGGUACUAAUCGGCCUUUUUCCCAAACAAGUCAUCACUAUUGUCUAACUUUUCCGGUUGCACCAUCGUGCUAGUCACGUGACUUUCAACAACCUCUACUCUACCUAUCUCUUCCAUCUCAUAGGUCCUAUGAACGCCAUACAAUACAACACAUAGAACAACGUUACAAGAAAGGAAAUAUUGAUAAUUUUAGAGACAUUAUUCUUGAAUUUUUGUUUCAUAGGAAAAAUACUUUAAGUACCAAAUAAAAUUGCAGCGGUUCUAUUUUUUCAUAUACAGUAUACAUGUAUAAUAUAAAUUUACUCAACCAAAAGUAGAUCAAUAAGCACCCAAACUACUGGUGUCUAAAAUUACUUACCACUAGGUUAUAAAAACUUGUUUAAAAAUCAUACUAAUCAAUCUUUGGCCCGUUCCAAAAUACUAGGCUCUAUUAACUGUAUCAUCUUUUAUUCUUGUCCUCUUUAUCUUUCUUGUUUUGUUCACAAGUCAAGGUUUUACUAAAGAUGUAUAUACAUAUACGCAUUCGCAAAACUUAGUGUUAAUAUAUUGCAUAAGUGGGAACCAUGGACGGACUUGUGUCGAGACCACUAAUUAUAGCUUUAGAGAAAGUAAUUAGAAAAAGGGAGGGAGUGAGAGAUCAAGAGAGGAAGAGCUUAAUUAGAACGAGCAAAAGACAAGUGGAUAGUUUUGUGACCUUGUGAAGGCAUUAGAAUAUUGAAAAUUAUUAACUAACAAGUUUGACAUUUCAAUUUAGUUUUCUUCAUACAAUUAAGACUCACGUCUUAUAGUGGACUUGAUGUUUUCAAGACAGAAAGCUAAACAACAUGAUUCUGGCUUUUGGUGCAAGGAAUCUUCUUUUACAAAGAACUCUUCUUUGACUCCAUCAAACUUCCCACCAAGCCAUAUAGAUCUUUGCUCACAACGGAUUCCGAUUCACAUCUUUGUACAACAAAUACCGAGACCUAGUCUUUCCGAGUGCAGCAUACCUGAAACAACAAACAGUACCUAAGAGUGUGUGGUCGAAUGAUCUUUCAGGUUGUCAAAACACAGUACCAAGAAAUGUUCAAUUCUUGCAAAAGUUCGAAACAGAGUAGAAGAAAUUCAAGUUUAUGGGCAGUCUCUUACCAUUGAGGAACAAAAGGAGCCAUCCAUAUGACAUCACCAGCCUGAACUGGAUACCUUUUAAAGGGAAGGUCACAUAAAAGUUACUAAAACGUCUUAUAUCAUGUGGAAUGUAGCGGUGACUGCAGUUAUAUUUUGGUAAAAGUGCCUCUGAUCACAUUACAUGACCAGUGCAAAAAAUUAAUGUUCUUGGUUGUGCAUGUGAGUGUAUGUUUGUUGUGUUGCAUACCAGUUAUCGCCCAAGCGAUAAAUGCCUUGGCCCUCCAGAAGCAACAAACCAUGUUGGUUAUAAUGAACUUCCUGUUAACAUUGCAAAACUACUUGAGAAGACUGGCUGUAAACAGAAUAAGAACAGUUGGAAAAAAAAAAGAGGAAAUUGCGAGCAACAGAUGGUAUCAAGAUCCCUAUGGUAAUGAAGCUAAACAGUUCUGUACCUUAACAUUGAGAAACUCUCCAGGCUGAAAAUCCAUUAUCUGCAUAUGAUAGAAACAACAGUGAUUAAACUUUAGACGUCUCAAUAAGCGAAAGGAUUCACUAGAACAGAUGAAUUGCUUACAUGGAUGUUGAAGUCAUAAGCAAGGGAGACCGGAAGAAGUUUCCGCAGCUCAAAAACCUGUAACAAUAACAAAAUGGGUUUUCGGAGAUGAUUAAUUUAGGAUCGAGAAGUUGAAUUACUUACAAUGUAAAUUGAAAGAUUUUAGAUGCAUUGUAAGAAAAGUGGAGAAAUUUUGCACACAUACCUCACCAGGAGUCUCAAGUAGUGGUUGCUUGUCUGUGGAGCCAACUAUAAGCUCUGUUGUGAGACUUCCUAGAUGAGCAUAUCUACAGACGUAGCAGUAUAGGAGGAGUGUUGUUAAGUUAUAAACAGUUGAGAAAAAUCGAACUUUUCUUGUCAUAAUAAAGGGACGAUGAAGAACCUCCGCUCGAAGACAACAAGUGUUGCAGACUCAACACAGUCCAAGGAAUGAUAAAAGUUUGGAGGAAGGUACGCGUAUGAAUCAACCUACAGGACAAAUGGAUUAUCAGCAGAAAAUGAAGAAACCUUGGAAAUUUUUUGCAACCAUUCACCAUCUAAGCUUGGGGAGAAACAAUGUAACAAAAAGAAUACUUUGGUAAAUUGUUUUUUCAUACAACUCAUACCGUCAAUUUUUUUGAAGAACUGGAUGUGUUAGUGAGUGUCACAGCACCCUCGAUCACGAAUACAAGGCUUGAAGAAGAUCCAAGAUAUUGUAAAGAAGUUAGUACGCAGAAUGUAGAUGAUAAGUCUAAGCAUAAACUAAAGAGAGAUAGCUGAUAUAAGUAACACUACCGCUCUAUGUCUUGUGGUGGUAAACCUGAACUUGACAUUUCUGCAAGAGACAGUAAAAUCAGCCUAGAUGACAUGUAGAGAACAACAACAUUAUCGAGAUGAAGAAAAUAAGAAGGAUAAUCUCAAGAACUUGAUGUUUUCUUCACACCUUUCAUUUUCGCAAAGUACAUGACAAAUGGGAACCCAUUGCCGGUGUGAUCAAAUACGCCCCUAAUGUGUUUGUCCUGUAAAUUUGAGCAACGAUUUUGUCGAAUUUUGUAGCUAUAAAGUUAAGACGAGAGGGGAUAUUAAAAGAGAGUUAUUUACCAGUCAGGUAAAGGGCUGUAUACAUGACUUUCCGGUGUUAUUAACGCAUGAUCUCGUUUGUAUACACUUCGUGUGAAUCCCGGCAAAUCUACAAAACAACAGAUUCAUAAUUUUUCAGCUUAUUAUAAAGAUCCAAAUGCAGAAUACUCAAUCCCAAACUCGAUCAGAAAACUCAUCUAAUAUACAAAUGGACGACUAUCAGGAAGAAACGAAUCUGUAUCCAUGGAAGUUGGAACUGAACUUGAAUGAUUCCAUGUUACCACCAAAUUGAUCAAAAGUUAAGAGCUUUUUGCAAGACAAGAGCAAGAAAUCCUCUCGGAUUAAGCACUAAUCCAAGUAAUCCUAUCUCUAACUAGAAAUGUGAAUCAACCCUAUUCGAACAUAACCAGCAAAAAGUAUCGAACUUUUAAUGUCCCGAAGCUAAAAACGAGUAAAACAGAUUAAGUAUGCUACGAUUUGUGGUAAGAAAGCACUUGAACCUUGGAGGUGCGACGGAGAGAGUGUUGGAUUCGUGACUUUCCCGUAAAUGAGUUUCGACACCUCGUCCGAUUCAGCGAUCGAAGGCGCUGAACAAAACCCAUCGUCGCUUUCCGAAGCUUUAACAAGACCUUGAUAAUGAAUAAGAAGUCCUGAUUAGUUUCACCGUAUGCACAAAAACUUUAUCAAAAAUCUAAGAUUUCUUCUUACUGAUAAUGAUGAAGAUGAAUAAGUGAAGUGAGCGCAUUUUCGCUGAGGAUUAGUGGAAUGAGUCAGGUUCAAUGCUUUACACAUUUGGUGUUCAUAUAAAACAUAAGAAUUCAGAUUCAGAAUACGACAGAAGAUUCUUUGCAGUGGAAUGUUUUGUUUGGUAGUCUCGUUAAAUUGUUCCUUUUUCAAAGACGAUUAAAAAAUUCCAGGCCACUGCCACUCGGUUUAGCUAAUUAGCGGGUUCAUGUCGGUUAGUUUAACGGGUUUACGUGUAAAUAGCGAAACGGAUUUAAAAUUUCUAUGCUUUUUUCGGUUUUGAGAGUAACUAAACUAUUGGGGCUAUUAGAAGCAUAUCCGCGCAUUAUGCGCAGGUCUUUAUAUAUAUUUUUGUUAGUAAUAUAGUUUAUAUAGUUUCAUUGUUUAGCUUUGUUCAUUUUGGUAUUUUUAAUUUUAUAUUAAAAAUUCCUUGGUAAAAUAAAAUAAAAUUUUAUACUCAAACCAAAAUUAUGUAAAUUUUAGAAGAGAUUCUAACAAUAUUUUUAUGAAACUCAAACAUUUUUUCUCCCAAAAAGAUUUUUACUUCACAUUACAUACUUUCUAAUCCAGGCAAUAGCCAAAGCGAUGUAGCAAUGGGUACAAAACUCAAACACAACCACAACGGGAAAGUUGGACAUACAACGAGAAUGUUCCUUCAAUAUAUGUAAAGAACAAAGCUGAUGCGAGAAUGAUAUAGGAACCAAAUGUUGACAAGUCAUCUUCUCCAAAAUCAAAAUAAUCUUGACAAUUAGAAAUAAACAAUACCAAACUUUAGGGAAAAACCUCUGUUUAUAUAGUCUAAAAAUAGAUAAAAAAACAAAAUUCCAAAAAUCAAACGUGAAAGGACAUCUUCGUAAGAGACUUUCUGGCGCUAAGAACGCCUUCAGCGAUAAUAACACCACUGCAAUUUACAAGAGAAACAAAUCCAAUAUAGCACAAAUUGUGCUGGUGAACAGAUAGAGAAAAGAAAAUAGAAUUGUUUUACUUUGCAAAAUAUUCGAGUAACUAAUUUCUGUUUGUACUCAAGUAUAAAAACUAAUAUGUUUACAAUAUAAACGACCAUUUCCCUGCAAAAUUAAGCACAGUCAUAUGCUUACAAUAUAUAUGUAAAUAUUUUCCUUACUUAUAAUAAUUGAUGAACAAAAGAACUCUGAGUUGUAAAAUACCAGAAGCGAUGUAAACUUUGGUGACUGAUACCAAAAGAGUUUCAUGGAAAUAUAUACACAUUUAUAUAUAACUAAAUAAAUAAACCAAGACAGUUUUAUUUAAUACUCAUUACUCGCAAUACGACAAUAGAAAGCUCUCUAAGGAACUUCAUCAAACAAUUGAAUUCGAGCCGUGUUCAUCUCUUUAGACUGGUAUAACUCAAUCUAGAUGCACAGAAUAACCUCACACAAACCUCUUUUCGUCAAGAAAAGAACACCAAGCGAAAUAAUCUGAGUAUUUACACUCAGAUCUGAGCCUUUUUCAUUUGUCAACUUUCUCUUCAGACGUUCAAAUUUGAGUAAAUGAGUUACAUAUGAUAUGACUAUCACAUCCGAUCAAUCAGUUGAACGAACGAGCAUAUAUCUUUAAGUGUCGAGAAUCACCACAAUCCAAGUGGAAGCAAUGAAAUUAUAAGAGUAUCUGAUGAGAUACAACUAUGAAAGGUGAGGAGGGAACUAAUGGUUUUCCGAAACUUGGUUGUGAAGAACGAACAAUUAAUAAGAAGAUAAAUUUGCAUCGAAAAGAGCUUUGGAAUUUUUAUUGUUAAUUAAAUUCAUCUUGACCUAUGUGAUUUAAAUAGAGGAGGCUGUGAUGUACUCAGAUUAUUCAUAUUCUUUUUAAAAAAAUUAAUUUCUAAAUUAAAUUCUAGAGAGCUGAUGUGUCAAAAGAGGAGGUGCUGCUGAUGUGUCAAGUUUGUGAGAUACAACCCACUCUUUAUAUAAUAGAUUGUUUGAAUAUAUUGGAAUGUACGUCUCUGUCGUGAACAUUCCAAGGCGUGACAACUAGUAAACAUGACAUUCGUUUUCGGUUUUCUAAGCUCGAUUUUAACAAUAUCCCAAAACGAAUCAAAACAGAGGCAACACAUUGGAAUGUCAUGUUUACUUGUUGUCACGCCUGGGAGCUUCAAUAUGUUCACUACAAUAUUCUCUAGAAAAUCUUCAAAGUCCUAUCGAUAAAACCAACAAUUGAACAUCUUGGAACUUAACUCUAUGCAUUGGUAGAAAUAGGAGACUAGAAAAAGUGGCUAGAGAGGUCAAGUCCAUGAUCUACAUACAAAACCGAGAGAUCAUUGUUAGUGUAUUGAAUUGCUGUUGAUCCAUUUCAUAGAUGAUGUCAUGGAUGUUAGCUUGGCUAUAAAGUUUGUGAAUUAUCUAGAGCAAAAAUGUAAAUUCCUACCAAUUUCACAAAAAGUUGAUGGAAAAAUAUUCUCUAAAUUUGAUAAACAAAUAUGAAACUAAACAACUUUGGAUAAAGUUUAUUAUUUUGUGAAAUAUCAUUUACAUCAAAUUUUAUUUUAAAAUUGCUUUUCAUCAUUAUGCAAAAAUUAUACAAACUCAUCAUAUUUCAAAGAUAGAAACUUUCUUUGGCAUUGUCGGGUUAUCUAACAAGAAGAAACUAUCUAAUGUGGCUAUGCACAUCAUUUUGUGGUGCAGAACGAGAGCAUGAUUCAACAACCAGUAUGCUUGAGGAACCUCUACACCAUUGGCGAGUUUGUUAGAAAUUUAGCUCAUAAAAUAUAUGAUAUCACAAGCGUCGAGUAACAUCCUAUAUACGAUUCCGGCAUCUCUUUUAUUUAUGCUUCUGGCACUGAAAUAUAUAUGUCUCGACCAAAACCUCAAGAAAUGGUGAAGCUUCACCACAAUGAAGAGGAGGUUGCACAACAUUUACAUUCAGUUCUCUAUUGUGUUGUCCAACAGCAUCACGUCUUUGUGUUAUAUGUGUCUAAACAAUAGAUAAUGGACUCUUAGAACCAAUGUACUAGGUUCAAGUGAUAAUAGAUAAGAAAAUACCUGCAAAUCAUUUAAGAUUUGAUCACACUGAUCGUAACUUUAGUAGCAUACGCAAUGUUGAAAUUCAUUUGAAGUUGUAAAACUUCAUUACGAUGAUGAUUAUCCAUCUGAUAAAAGAAUAUCUAAUAAAAGAAUAUGAAACUAAACAACUUUGGAUAAAGUUUAUUAUUUUGUGAAAUAUCAUUCACAUCAAAUUUAUUUAAAAAUUGGUUUUCAUCAUUAUGCAAAAAUUGUACAAACUCAUCAUAUUUUAAAGUUAGAAACUUUCUUUGGCGUUGUCAGGUUAUCCGACAAGAAGAAACCAUUUAAUGUGGUAAUGCACAUCAUUUUGUGGCGCAGAACGAGAGCAUGAUUCGACAACCAGUAUUCUUGAGGAACCUCUACACCAUCUGUGUGUUUGAAUACAUACCAAAGAGUAUGUGGAAAACUCAUUCAACAUACUGAAAUGUGUUGGUUGCUUGUUCUCGAGUUUAUAUUCACUAUGUAGUCAGGAAUGUCUUCAAACAUCUAGCAAUGAAAUUAUCGAUUGAGCUCAUAGGAAUGUACAAUGAUUGCUUAGAAAGAAACAACGUGAUUAAGAAGGUGGUUGAGGAGAGAAAACACAUAAUCUGUAAACUAAACCAAGAAAUAGUAGUGACCAUCUUAAGCCGCUACAAAAACCAUCUAGACCCUAUUAGAUUUGCUAAAGUGUUUGUGCGAUACCUUGUUCACCAGGAGUGACUUACUACAACUCCAUUGCUCCUCGGUUUAGCUAGUUCUCUUUUAAUGUCGGUUUGAUUUUGGGUUUUCGUGUAAAAAUCAAAACUGGUAUAAAUUCUUUACCAGAGAUUAUGGGCCUAUUGUAGUCGAAAAAAAAAAGACUAUAGGCCUAUUGUUUGAAUAUAUUGGGCCCAUUAAAUCUGUAAGGAAGCCCGAUUUGGCACAGAUCGUCGUUAUCGUUUCGGGGUCUUGGAAAGUCUCUCUUUCUCUCUUUCUCUCUUUCUCUCUGCAACAAAGGAAAAAUGGAGGUAGCAGCAGCGACUGCGACGAGCUUCACAACGCUACGAGCUCGUACGUCAGCGAUAAUCCCGUCUUCAAUACGUAACCUGAGAUCGAAAGGGAGAUGUUCGUCAUCUUGUUCUCUCAGAGCUUCUCUCUCGAAUGGCUUCCUCUCUCCGUAUACCGGAGGAAGCAUCUCUAGUGACUUCUGCGGCGCCAAGCUUCGUCCGGAAUCGAUUAAUCCGUUAAAUAUGUCCAGUUCCAAGCCUAAGCGCGGAGUUGUCACUAUGGUACUUAAAUUUAUACUUCUUCACAUCGUUUCUCAAUUAACAAAGCUCUACAGUUUUAGGAUUUUUGAAAUCGAGGUUUUUCGUGGCUAUAGCUGAGAUUUAUGCUUCCGUGGUAGUGAAUUUUCAGAAAUUGUAUUGGAUGGCGCGUAUUUCACCUACUGCUGUUCCUUAAUGUUAGCGAACUAAUAGAUUAGAAAUGACUAGAUAUAGGCAGAUAGCUCACAAUGGGAAGAAUGUUUGAGGAUCUUUUAGCUGUUUGAUUGAUCGGGGAUGCUACAUGUUUAGGUAGAGGGUUGAGUAUGAAGCUUGACCCGUUGAUUUUUAGAAGAAACUAUGUGCUAUGCCAUUGCCUUCUGAGAAAGAAGUUGAGAAUGUGUCAAAAUUUUCACUUCAUUGUGUGUACCAUUUUCAUAUGCAUCACAGAGCAAAACAUUUUGAUUUUUUGCUGUCAUAGGGAAAUCGGAGACUACUAUAUUUCUUUACAUAUUUUGUCACUUGUGUUUUGUCUUAUGUAUCGUAGUUGAAUUGCAACUUUGUUGAUUGAUUUCAUGUUUGGUGAGCCUUUAUUUUUUUCCCAUUGCUCGUGCACGUCUGAAUGGGCCUCCUUCCAUUAACAGGUUAUACCUUUUUCAAAAGGAAGUGCACACGAACAACCUCCUCCAGAUUUGGCAUCAUAUUUGUUCAAAAACCGAAUUGUUUACUUGGGGAUGUCUCUUGUACCUUCAGUAACUGAGUUGAUACUUGCAGAGUUUCUUUACCUUCAGUAUGAAGAUGAGGAAAAGCCGAUUUACCUCUACAUAAACUCGACAGGGACAACCAAGGUAGGCUUCCAUAGGAAAUUCUGCCAUUUUUGAGAACGCAUGCUGAAUAGUGAACUUGAAACUGUGGUUUGUUUCAAAUGAAUGAUUAAAAAUCUGUAGAUAUUUAUCUAAUCCUUUAAAAUAUUUUAACAGGAUUUAUUUUCUUACAUUUCAGAAUGGUGAGAAGUUGGGCUAUGAUACCGAGGCUUUUGCAAUUUAUGAUGUCAUGGGGUUAGUAAUCUUUAUCCCUUCUCUUUAUUUACUCCAUUUUCUUAUAUCUUUCUUAACAAGAAUCUAUGGCUUGACGUGAAUCCUGGAACUGCUUUCCCGAGUAUCUAAACUGCACUUUAAUACGACUAUCAUAUCCAGCUUUUCUUGGCUUGUUAUUUUGGGAAACCGAACAUAUAUAUCCAUGCAAUAAUCAACUCUUAUAUUAUCUGUGACUUCAGGUAUGUCAAACCACCAAUCUUUACUCUUUGCGUUGGGAAUGCUUGGGGUGAAGCUGCUUUGCUUCUGACUGCCGGUGCAAAAGGAAAUCGUUCUGCAUUGCCCUCAUCAACUAUAAUGAUAAAGCAGGUUCUUCCUGAGCUUUCUUUUUAAAUUUAAGUGGCGUCUCUUUCUAGAAACUUAGGUUUUAUGAUUCCUAGUUUUUGUGCAUGCGUCUGUUACUCAUUCAUAUUAUUUUCUAUUAUGUAAUAACUUUGUAGCCCAUUGCUCGAUUUCAAGGCCAAGCAACCGAUGUUGAAAUUGCAAGGAAAGAAAUCAAGCACAUAAAGACAGAAAUGGUGAGAAAACCAACUUUACAUGAAAUCAUUUGUGGACUCUUGUGAUAUGCAUAGAAUAUCUUAGUUGCACCUUCAUUAUACAACAGUAUCCAGUGGUGUUUGUGAUAUGUUUAAUAUGCAGGCAAUGAUGAUGUACUAAAGGACAUCUUAAUAUGCACCAAUUAGUCAUCAAAUUAUUCUCUUCGUUAUGCAAAUAUGCAUUCUCAUUCCUUUACUCCUCACUAUUAUCUUUAAACUUAUCUGAUAAGAUUACCCGUGUGUCUCUGUUCUGCAUAAUGUUAUACUCAAGGUCAAGCUGUAUUCAAAGCAUAUUGGUAAAUCCCCGGAGCAGAUUGAAGCGGACAUGAAACGCCCAAAAUAUUUUAGUCCCAGUGAGGCUGUUGAAUACGGGAUCAUUGAUAAGGUACGUUAAAUGGCAGAAAAAUCUGUAAAUCAUAUGAGUGGUUUUGUUUUCUGUCUACAUAGAGUGCUUAUCUUCUGCAAAAUUGAAUUAUUCUCGUCCUGUAAUCUGUUUGCAGGUGGUUUACAAUGAAAGGAGCAGCCAAGACAGAGGAGUUGUGUCCGACCUUAAAAAAGCACAACUCAUUUAAAGGUCAGAGUUGUCUUCGAAAAUCCCCCAUGAUUAACAGGUAAGAGCUAAGACUUUCUCGCUAUCAUUCUGCAUAUUGAGUAUAAUGAUGAUGAAAUUGGGUUUUGCCUUUUUGGACUUUUGUCUCCUAUAAUUAUCGAGAAUAAAAUUUACACUUCUUGGGGGGACAUAUACUGGAAGAACUACUUUCGUUCUGUCAAUUUUGAACCAAUUAUUUAGGAGCAUUUACCAACAAAGAGCAACACCUGUAAAAGUUGAAAUGCUUUGCACACCCCACAAAUAGUUAAUGAUAAUUACUUUAGCAUUCAAGCAAUAGCCUAACGAAUACACGGAGACAUAUUUUUGUAAUGUAAGUGCUUAUAGUGGCCUCGUGUCUUCUCGUUUUGCAUCCCCGUUAAUUCCAAUAGUUACUUCCCAAUUUCCUCUGUUGCUCUUUUGAGACCCAUUUUCUUUUAGUGAUAUCAUUUUCAUUGCCCAUUACAAAUAUAAAUAUUGAUGGCCGACAUAUAUCCAAGGAUUGUGCUCCUUCACACACUGGAACUCGUAUCAAUUUUUGUCUUAAGCAAAUUAUUAACCGUAAACCUUUGUCCUUCUUUAAUCAUUUGCAUAUUAACACCUAGCAUCGAUAGGUCUCGAUGACUAAAAGUAAUGUUAUUCUCCUAUUUAAAAAUGACUGUUACGACAUUAUCAUUUUGUUAUGACUUCUAAUUCUAUUUGGCUUCUCCUUUUUUAAAAUAAAAUACUUUAUAGUGACAUUAUCAUUUUACUGUGAUUUUUUAGGUUGGUGAUUUGAACGCGGAUCGAAGGGGAAGUCAUGAACCGAAAGUAAAGUCUUGAAAACAUGUUAAAAAAGGUUACUUACUAAUGCUAUUAUUUUAGGGUUAUUCGAACAGAAACAAGGCCAUAUAUGUGUAGGCUUGUGAAUGCCUAGAAACAGGAUUGGUGUAUCUUCAAUAUGCUUUAUAAACUUUUAUAUGAAUCAUUUUCAUUUGAUCACUCCUUAGUCCUGAUGCUUAUCUUCAUCAGUAUGUCUAUGUGUGAAUUUGAUGGAGAGAUUAAUGAGCGAUGACAUAACGAUAAAACCCACCAACCCCAUUAUCUGUAAAGACUAAGCCCUUUUCCUAUGAAAAUCCCACACUUGUCACAAACACGCAUUGUUAUUUUCAUUGGACUUCACAUGUCAACUGUUUUGAUGGCGUCACCGGUUCCUUGCGUUCAAAACAACUAAACAAGUGUAUGUUUUUUUAAUGAAUCGGAAAUACAAAAUAUCUAAGUAAACCUGAAGAAUUUACCUGUAAUUCUGGGUUGUGUAAUUAACGAAAGAGGUCACAAUUUUGUGUUGAGCUAAUGAUUGUCUAUAAAUUUUCCUAUGAAUUGGAAUUCUCAUUCAAAAGAAUAGUAGUAUAUUUGUGACAAAGAGAAUUAAUAUCUCUAGCUAGGAAGGUGUGGGACAAGAAAUAUCAUUGAGUGGAUUACAACCAAACCAGCAACAUAAAGGGUUUAUAUUAAUAUGAAUUCUCUUUUGUUAGACUUAUAGUAAUCCUUUUUGUCUUUCUCUUCUCCUACUCUUUACAUUAUUAUAACGAUCGUUUUAUUCAAAUAAAAACCAAGGCUGCUGCUAGAGCCUACCACCUAAUGUGUUCUCUUAUCGACAUCACUAAAAUUAGGAUAUACACUGUUGUUUCUGGUGAAAAAAUAUUCUAAAGGGGUAUUGUUAGAGCCAGUUGAGGAAUAUAACGGGUCGAAGACCUCUACAGUAUGGUUUCUUUAAUGAGUUCGAUAAAUGAUUCUUUUAUCUAGUGAAUUUAGGAAUUGAGAUUUUUAGAGUAUAAAUACAUGAUAAAUAAUUUGUAAUUCAUGAUUCACAUAAUUAUUAAAAAAAUUUUAAACAGGUAUUUGCUUCAAUUUACGAUUUAUCUCUCUUUGAUUAAUGUUUUCUUUAGUUUGAUUUACAACAUGCACAUCUAAGCGCAAGUGUAAUUACCUACGUGGUAUGUUUAUCUUAAUUUGAACAUCAAAGAUAAAAACAUAUUUGAUGAAAUAUCUUGCUGCUCAAUAUUUAUGAAUUACAGAAAGUAAAAUGCUAUUUUAGUCAACGUCUGUGUGUUUUAAACGGUUUUUUCUUUCCACGUUCAAAAUCUCAUGUGUGUGCAUGGAAGAAUUAUUCACUCGUAACACAACCGGCUAGUCAGACUCAAAGAUCCUCCAUAUGUAAAUUUAGGUCUACAUUAUCCAAAUUUGAUCAACAUGCAACUGAAGAAACUCUUUCGAUAAUGAUCAAAACGGGUAAUGCUUUCUUAGAUUCUUCCAAGUCGUCUACUCGUCUCCAUAUUGGAAUUAAAUCUGGUAGCAGGUUCCAUCAAGGAGGAUGCGAACUGAAAUUCUUCCAAACCAUAUCAGAUUGGAUUUAAAUCUGCAAAACUCUUAGAUGCUCAAUUCAAUAUUCCGUGAACGUGAGCUACAUGGCUCCAUAGAUUCUUCCAAACCGUUCCAGAUCGGAUAUACUUUCUGUCCAAGUAUUGGUUACAACUUGCUAGGCCAUGUAUCUAAUAUAUGAUUAAUAUUACUAAAGUGCUAGUACUGAGGGACAAUGAAAACUUUGUGAUUCCAAAAAAAUAUAGCACGCUUGGCAUAUUCUAUUGAGUUCGUUCAUCCAGUGCACAAAACAACUAACUAAUCGUAAACCAAUCUAUUUAAGUAUUAGGUGUCAUGAACUUCUCGUUUUGGAGGCACGGCCUAUCAUUUUUUUAAUAAUUACUAGCUAUACCCAAAAACGAUAACCCCACCAUUGUAUUUUGCAUUACAUAUUCUGGAUACUUCCUCUCACUCUCACGUUUUAUUUUUCUUAUGACCAAAUAAUUUCAUACAAAAUCUACACUGAUUGUCAAAAUAUAUAAUCAAUACACAAUAUUCAGUUAUUUACAAUGGUUAAAAGCGAGAAUGCAUCAACCAAACAAUAGUAACAUAAGGGUUAUUCUAUUGGUGGAGACCAUAAAAUUUGUAAAUAAAUGUAUCGUUUCUCUGCCAAAAAAAAAAUGUAUCGUUUCUCUUUCACCGCAACACUCAUACGUACAAAAUACAAAAGUAUAAUUUCAAUAUGUGAUCCUCUCUAAAAUUAUUGUAAGAAAUUAGAGAUAAGCAUCCAUUGAUACAUGCAAAUUCAUGGUCUGGACCAACCUCUUACCUCCUCAAUAUUCCACGCCUUAUAUAUUAUUCAAAGUUAAAAGAUAGAAUGGACGAAAGAAUUAUAACUUAUAAGAAUAGCAAAUUGCACUUUAACAACAACAACAGCAACAAAAAAAAAUGAAUGUGUUUAAUACAAUUGAGCCUCCGAAGUUAAAUAUCAAAUUGGGUAAUGCAAGUACGCGUAAUAGCUAAUAUAAAUUUGAAGUAUAGCUUUUUGCCAAGUGGAAAGGAAAAAUAGUACCGAUGCUCGAUCAAAUGCAUACAUUAUUAUAAUUAACACUCUAGCUACCUUCAUCUAUAAAUACCGUAUUAAACGUAUCAUCUAUCUUCACAUAUCUGUUGUACCACUAAUCUAUUUUCGCAAAUCACUUGUUAAAAUAGUCUCUUACAAUAGUUAUAGAUAAAAAUAUGAAGAGAUCUCACGUUUUGCAUCUUCUGCUUGUUCAAGUCAUUUUCCUUUUGCCUCUCCUUUGUUUAUCUGAUGACUAUGUUAGCUCUAGAGCUACUUUUUAUGGCAGCCCCGAUUGCAAAGCAAAUCCUCGUACGUAUUUGAAUUUUUUGUGUCAUAUAUCAAGUACAUUAAUUAUGUCAUUUUUAGUAUUAUUUAGCAUGAUUGGUAAAGCUACAUUAACAGGAACAUCUCAACAUAUAGAGUCAAUAUCAUUAUCACGUUAACUAUUUAAUCUAUGUAUAACAAUAUCAUUAUCUACGUAUAAGUACAUGUAGAUGAACACGAUUCCAUUAAGUGUCCGUAUCUUUGAUUCGAGUAUGACAUUACGUUUAAUAGUGAGAUUUUUCCAAGAAUCCGUUGGUAUGGAUAAAAUGCAUAGAACUUUCUAAUAUGAAAAAGGAUGUAAUAAAUUUAUUACUGGUUAUGUAUGCAGGAGGAGCAUGUGGGUAUGGAGAAUUCGGAAGAGAUAUCAAUAAUGGUGAAGUGAGUGGUGUUUCAUCCCGACUAUGGAACAAUGGAACUGGCUGUGGUGCUUGUUAUCAGGUUUGUUUUUUACAUAUAUUUUAUCUAGUCCAAUAUUUUAUCAAUAACAUUAUGCUAUAUACUAUAAUUUCUCGUUCGAUUAUCAUUACUAAACGAAUAUCAUCAAUUAUUAUCGAUUAUAAAAAAAGGUGAGGUGCAAAAUACCUCCACACUGCAACGAGGAAGGAGUAUACGUGGUGGCUACGGACUACGGAGGAGCUGGUGGUGACUUCAUAUUUAGCCUUGAGGCGUACGGACGUAUGGCAAGACCAGGCACAGAGGAUCAGCUCUAUUCCUUUGGUGUGGUCGACGUCGAGUACAAGAGAGUCCCUUGCCGGUACGGAGGGUCCAAUCUGGUGUAUAAGGUCCAUGAAAAAAGCUACAAUCCUCAUUAUCUUGCCGUCCUUAUCUUGUACGUUGGUGGUGUCAAUGACAUCCUCGCCGUUGAAGUCUGGCAGGUAAAUUUCAUCAAAAAGAUUUCAACAAACAAAUAUUUGUAUGUCUGUUUUUGAGGAUCAAAAUAGUUUUAUUAUAAUCUAUAAGUUUUUGAACCUAGACUUUUUGGCUUUUCAAAAAAACUACAUACCUAUGCCAAAUUUAUUUGGCUAUUCGUGGUAAUUACAUCAUUUCUACGUCGCCAUUUAAUUAGUAGUGCAAGUUAAUCCGGCUGGUCAUUGUCGAUUUACUAAUGACCACUAAAGACAUGUUUAUCAAUUUAUCAUUAGUGGUGACGACGCACUGAUAUGUUACAUAAUCUUAUCUAAUUGCAUGGAUUAGCUAGAGUUAGUGAAGAUCCUAGCUAUUGUCAAAGAUGAAACCCAUCAUUAAUCUUUCUUAAAAAUCAACACAGUGCCAAUAUCUCUACGUAGGAAAUAUUUCAUACAAAAUGAAAAAAAAAAUUGUAAUGUUUUGAAUUUCUUGUUCCAGGACUCCUUUUAGCUCUAGUUUCAACGCUUUUCUUAAAUUAAACACAAUGUAUUCUACAACACUCAUCAUUAAGACAAUAUAUUUCUUAAAGAUUAAUAACAUAGUUGUAAGCAAAAAACGGUUCGAUGUUUUUUGAGUAAAUAAAAACAUGAAUAUAUGAUUCAGGAGGAUUGCAAAGAGUGGCGACGUAUGAGAAGAGUGUUUGGAGCUGUACACGACUUGGAGAAUCCACCAAGAGGCACUCUCUCUUUGAGGUUCUUAGUCUACGGAAGCGCCGGAAUCAAUUGGGUCCAAUCUCCGAACGCUCUUCCCGCCGAUUGGACCGCCGGAGCCACUUACAACUCCAACAUUCUACUUACUUGAUCCCCUAACAUUUUGCAUCUUUCUCUCUAUCUAUUGUGUGGUUUCUCUAUACAUAUGUAAAAUGGAGAUAUAUUUAAAUAACGCCCUCUAGAACCAUAUAAUAAUUAUCAUAGUAUAUUCUUAUAGUUAUAUUUCUUGUGUCUAUUUAAGAAUAUUGUAAUGAUUUGUAAGGUUUUGAUUAGUAAUGGAAUCAUCAAAAUAAUGAUAAAGUUUUACAAAUAACUAUAACUUCUUCUCAAUCAAAUAGUUUUCAUGCUGCCAGAACAAAUGGGCCCGAAUAUUUUAUACACGCAGGCCCAUUAGUAUUCUUUAGGCCCAUUAGAUUUAAAUAGAAUUUCAUACGUCGUCGUAUCCAAAAUAGACAAAACUUCCGCAGAUUCUUUGCGAAAAUCCAAUUAAAACCAGAGAAGAAAUCGGUGGCUUAAUUCGAUCUUCGAAUCCUGCUCAUGCUCAUCCUCUUCCUCAGUCUUGUUCGAUUCUGGGUGAUAAUUAGCGAUUCUAGGAUUCUUCGAGGCAAAAUUUAACCGCAACUCUAUAUUCUACUCUGUUUUGUCUCCAACUUUAACUGAAGGUCACUAUUCGACUCUGGAGUUUGUUUUACAGUCCUGUUUUGGAUUUGGGUUGAUGUGGAGAUGCUUUAAUUAUCUAUCUGUUGCGUCGAGCUGAUCGCUGUGAGGAAGAAAUCCUAUUUUCGUUGAAACUGUGGAGUCGCAGAGUUCGUACAACACUUUCCGAACAGGUCUAGUGAGUAGGAAUCCCCAUUAGCGAAAUAUGCCGCAGGUUAAGAUCAUCGCGAAAAAUUUCAUGGACAUGGUGGCGUCUCUUACUGCCAUCAAGCUCGAUAAACUCUACAACAAUGUCUUCAUCUGCGAGGCCAUUCUCAGGUUGAUUUUAUGUUUUCUUUUAUUCAUAGAUGAUUUGUAUGAUUUGAAGAAACUAGUAGACCUAGUAAUGAAAUAUAUUCUUGGAGGAUUUUGUGGAUUUUACUUACCUGGUUGAAAAUAUUGUGGUUGUAUCAGGUCUUUGCCACCUCUCGCCAAGAAAUAUGUAUUGCAGUUGUUGUACACUGAUGUUCCUGUACCUGCCACGAUGUUGGAAGAAUGGGUGCUUGCAGAUGGCGUCUCUAAGCACAGAGCUGCUAUAGAUCGAAUGAUUCAAUUAAGGAUUUUCAUGGAAACGACAGAUAGGUAUGCGCAUUAUUGCUUCUUUUAUCCUAUCUGAAAUCUCUAGAGUUCAUUUUAAGAGUGAAUCACGAGUUUGUAGUUGGUUCGUUACUUCAGUACAUGUAGUGUGGAGAAAUAUUGAUGUUGAGUUCUUAGUUUUGAAAUUGUUUUGAGAAAGAUGUUGUCAUUCUCUUGACGGUUUGGAAAUUAACUUGGACACUCAAACACUCUAAGCUUAUACUUAUGCACUGUGCUUGGAUUGGUUAUGAUUGAUAUAUGGCAAGAUGAUAAUUUUUCAGGAAAAAGGGAACCAGUUACAGCCUAAAUCCUACAUUUCAAAAGAAUCUUCAGAAACAUAUAAUUUCUGGGUAAAGACAUCUUUACGUUGAUGGUACAGUCCCUUUUCGUUUUUCUCUAGGUCUGGAAAAGAUGCUGAUGAGCUAAGCUUUAAUUUUGCAGUGGAGUUUUGCCUAGGGAGCCUAUGAACUCUAACAAUGCCAUUAAGCUUCCAAGUCUACAAGAACUCGAAACCUAUGCACUUCAGCAAUGGGAGGUGUGUAGUUUCUAAUUACAAAUUGAUAAUGCUAGUAAAAUGGUAAUAACGUGUAAGAGAAAUAUCUUUUUAAGUAUGGAUUUGGUUAGUAACUUAGUAUCUGGUGAUUUGUAAUUAUGUUCGUCAGUGUUUCUUGCUACAACUCAUAAAUUCGGGUCAAGGUGAGAAGCUAACUGGUAUCAGUUCGUCCAUGAUGAAAAUCUUCCAGAGAGGUUUAUUGAGUCAGAGGUAUUGUUGCUAUAUUUGUCUGUAAAUUCAUAACGGUGGCAUAUGAUAUAGUCAUUUAAUACCGUUUAUGUGAUUUUACAGAGACAGAGAUGGCCCGAGAUUAACUGAGAGUGGCUUUCAGUUUUUGGUAUGCUAGACGUUAGUCAUUGAUCUCCUAUUACUAGUAUUCAUAUAACUAACCUUAUUGACCCUAAAUUUCAGCUGAUGGAUACAAAUGCCCAGCUUUGGUAUAUUAUCCGAGAAUACAUAUCGAAUGCCGAGGUUUGUAUUAUGCCUUAACAAGGUUUAGUUAAGUUGAUAUCUCUGUUUUUUCCGUAUGAAUAACCGAAUGCCAUUGGUGUUCAGGAGCGAGAUGUAGAUCCAGCAGAGUUAAUUUCGUUUUUGUUAGAGCUUAGUUUUCAUGUUACUGGUGAGGUAUAACAGAAAUUCACAAAGUCAUUCCAGACGUUCUUGUUCUUUUGUAAUGGAAGCUUGUUAAAUAAUUCGUUGAGCUCAAACAUUCGUGUACAUAUUGCAGGCGUAUAACUUAAAUACCUUGACAGAAGUUCAAAGAAAUACACUUAAAGACCUUGCAGACUUGGGAUUAGUCAAGCUUCAACAGGUUAGACCAUUUGUGAUACCUUUUUCAUUACCAAAAGAAGAUAAACUUUGCAGAAGUUAAAGAUAGAGUGAUUAUAGAAGUAUAUCAUAUGCUGAAACGAUCUUUAUGAUUAUUACAGGGAAGGAAAGACAGUUGGUUUAUUCCUACUAAACUGGCUACAAAUUUAUCAGUCAGUCUGGCAGAUUCAUCAAUCCGAAAAGAGGUUACACCUUUUUGAUUCCCCUUCUUGUCCCAUUUCAACCUACUACCAACAGUUUUCUUGAUUUUGCGUAUCCUUGUUGUUUGUUAUUCCUCAUCAGGGAUAUGUCAUGAUGGAAACAAACUUCAGGAUGUAUGCUUACUCAACAUCUAAGUUACAAUGUGAAAUUUUACGUCUGUUUGCGAGGUAGAAGCUCCUGAACACCGCUCUCAAACUCUGGUCUUCUGCAUCUGUUAAAUCCUUUAGGUGUAAGUAGUUGCUACUCCAUUUUUCCAGGAUAGAGUACCAACUUCCAAACCUUAUUGCUUGUGCAAUUACAAAGGAAAGCUUGUACAAUGCAUUUGACAAUGGCAUCACAUCAGACCAGGUAGAGUUGGUUUCAUCCGAGAAAACGUUAACAGAACAAGAUAUUAUGCUAUCUUUGACGGGGACCUUUUACUGUCCAUGAGACUGAUCAAGUUGUGAUGCUUCUCUUAAAAUUCUGAAUAUUUGUUUUUACCUUUCUUUUGGUGGUUGCAGAUUAUAACUUUUCUCCAGCAGAAUUCUCAUCCACGAUGUGCUGAUCGAGUACCAUCUAUUCCAGAAAAUGUCACUGACCAGGUCUAUACUCUCUCUCCCCACAUCUAGUGUUAAUGAUAUGAAAACGUUUAUAGGAUUGAUUUAUAGACUGAAAACGUGUAACUACCUCCACUUUCCAAUACAUUGGGUCCGUGCUAAUUGUUUACUGUUCUUUGGCAGAUACGGCUUUGGGAGUCAGAUCUGAAGAGAAUCGAGAUGACACAGGCUCACUUCUACGAUGAAUUUCCUUCAAAGGUAACAAACCUGAUUCCUCUUUAAAUAUAUAUCUCAGAACCAUUAUAGUAAAUCUGAGUAGCUGGAACUGUAUCAAAAUCAUAUGUUGGCAGGAUGUGUUUGAAGCAGCUUGUGACUUUGCUCGAGAAUGGAGAGGCCUUCUCUGGGAAGACUCUAAGAGAAUGCGACUUGUUGUGAAAUCCGAAGUUCACAAUAAGAUGCGUGAGUUUCUUCACACCCAAAGCAAGUAAAGUUUUGAAAUUCACAAGGGGGAUGAUUGGGGAUGUUUUCAAAUUUCCUCUUAUUCAUUUGAUGAUUCUCUAAAAUGUUUUAAAACCUGUCUUAAUGAAUCAUGCAAUUGUUAGAAUUAUUCGAAAUCCAAGGUUAUUGAAUCAGCCAUUUGUAAAAGUUCUUUAAAACCUCGUAUUUUUUGGAAAACUAGAGAUUUCAUUAAACGAAAAUAAAAGUCAUUUGUACAUUUGUAUGAAUAAAUUUUGCCUUCCAAGAAAAGUACGUCGCACUUUUUGGAAAAAAAUACCUUGGACAGACUACAAUCUCGGUCUUUGUUUUCUAUUCAGAGAACCAAAUUCCAAAUUAUUAAAACCCAACAAAAUGUAAGGCUACUAUUUCAGCUUGAUCAACUAAGAGAAUCUGAAGCCUUGGACUUGUUCAGACAGAGGACUAUGAAUCUAUUCUGUGUCCACAUGAUGAAUAAUACUACAACAUCUGUCUUUUACCUUGCUUGAGGUUUUUCAGUGGCUGAGGAUUCCGAAUCCUGGAUCUUCGCUCCCGUGUUUGCCUCUACAGUAGCAUUUGCAUCUCCACGUGCCCGAGCGAGUCUCUCAGCUUCUUCAAUCUUUCUUAUAGUUUCCUCUUGUGUUGCAGUCAUCAUUGUCCCCAUCGUUUUCUUUUCUGAUUCGAGCUGAACCUCCAUUAUGGUACCAGCUUGCUUGUCUAUCGGUUUGAAGUAGUCUUCAAUCUGAGACUCCUGUAUUGGUAAAGACACGAAACAAAGUUAGACAUGAAAAGCUUUCUGAAACUUGACACGGAAAGAAGUAGAACGAAAGGGAUGAAAGCUUUCUGAUUUAAGAAAGACACUCUGAAGACUGCUUUUGCUCUUCCCCCCCCCCAAAACUCUAUGCUUUAAGAAUCGCAAACACCAUGAAACUAAAAACAUUUUCCCUUCUUUAAAUGUUUCGGAACCAAGCGUUUUCCCUUCUUUGAAUGUUUCGGAACCAAAAGUACAGUACUUGAAGGACACAAAAUCUCAAACAUUUUACACUUAUUGUAGAUACAUUAUCGAUAUGACACAGGCGAUAUACUCAGUGGGGAAUAACGUAAAUCACUUGCAAACUUUGGACUGAGAAUAAAGACAAGAGACUAACCGUAUUCUCAAUCUGCUUAUUCAAAUUCCGCAUCUCGUCAACCAUACGGCGGACUUCAGAUAAUAUAAUCUUCUCUGGGAGUCUGUUUAUCUCUGCUUUCCUUUGUUGAGCCUGCAAGAACAAAGGUUACCAUCAUUUUGAUCAUUUAAAUCAGAUGAAAAAGGGCAACAAUGACCAAUCUUGCUAGAAGGUAGAAGUCACAAGUACUGCUGAACAGAUAAAAUGCCAAAUUCUAAAUGAUUAGGAAACUCUAAUGUAAGGAAGAUCAUAUUUCAUCAGUCACUUCAGUUUGAAGCCCAAUUUUACUGUUUCUAGAUACUAUUCAAUUAUCACAACACACAGAAGUACAUAUCGAAAUCAGGAACUGAUCAAAACCCAUCUUUAGUUUCACAAUGAAUAAACAUAGAUAAUCGACAUAAGAGUUUCUUCAAUUUCUCAUUUUCACAGUCAAGUAGAAAGGGUUCUUCAAAUUUAUGCAAUCGACUAAAGUCCAAUACUAAGAAAUUAAGGUUUCAUCAUCUUAUUCUACCAUUCAUUCUAAGACAAUAGAUUGAAGCAUAGUGAGGGACCAAAAAAAAAAGAAAAAACCUGCUGGAUACGCUUUUCGAGUUGCAACCUAUAAUUCCGAAUUCUCCUUUCUUCAUACCCAGAGAGUACUCUCACAUAGAACAUAGCUUUUCUCCCAUAUUCCAGCAGCUUGUUCAUCUUUCCUGCGAGCCACCUGCGAGUUUGUCGAAACGAUCAAUGAAGAACAAAACAUAUCACAAUCGAUUAGUUUUUAAUGGAUUCUGCAAAUUUAAAUUUCCGCAUAUCACAGUCAAAAGAUGCAACAAGAUGCGUGAAACUAACUAAACUUGGAAAUGAUUGUUCAAAACCCAGACUUGGCUGAGAAAUCCGAAGUACUAUCGUUCGUUUAACAUGGCGCAUCAGUUAAUCAUAAUCGAUCAAAUGGACAACGAAUAACUAUUCAAAGCUUCGAUACAAACAAUCAAACUACCGAUCUAACGAUUAAACGCCAGAAUCUAUUGCAUCGAAGACUACGAAAUGACGGAAAUCGCAGGUCCACUCCAAGAAAAUCAGAGGGAAUCGAGAUUAGAGAAGAAGCUGCAAAUGUGUAAUUAUGUAAUUAACUUCAAAUUAGGUGCUAAGUAUUGAAUGACAGAGACGUACUCUCUAGUAGAAAUCGGAGACAGCGAAGACCGGAUUGCGAAAACGGUAUAACUUCAAAGUCCUGGCUCUGCAAACGCACAAGUUGAGCGAACGACAAAACCGCAACGAAGAACAAAACUUUGGAUUACACUGACAAACUCCGGUUAACUCCGGCUCCGGCGGCAAGAUAACACCGUCACCGAUCUCUCGCUUGACUUGAAGGAUAUCCACUGCUUCCGUGUCGUUCCCGUAGUGGGCUCAAAAUAUGGGCCUUUAUAAUAUGUGGCAAGCUUUUCCGGAACUUGGCCUAGUCCGAUUUUAAGUCCUGCCAAAAACUUUUUUAUUUGAAAAUAUUUAUUUUAUUUCUAUACACAAAGCUUCAAUAUUUGCUACAAUAAAUUUUUGGACUUAAACUAUCUUGAAUUUUGUUAUAACACAUAUCAUAUAUGGACUCUUAUACCGGCCCAUUAGACCCAUCAGGGCAUUGUACUUAACCUAUAUUCCCUAUGUACUCUAUAUAUACAUUCCAGUGAUUAAUAAAGUUUCGAAGUUUUCACAACACGUUAUCAGCACGAUAAGACUCUCUGAGCGAAAAACCCUAAUAAAUCCGGCCACCACCAAAACUCUAAAAGCAAGUCGAAACUUAAAAGACGCAUAUCUUCCAAACCGUGAGGAACCAGAAGACGAUCUACAUAUCAAAUCGAAGCCCUCGACGAGACGAAUCUACUGGGGAAAACCGUUUGUCGAUCCAACGUCGGACGCGCCCUCACGCACACUUACAGUACACGACGAUCAACCGAAAAAAAAAAAACCAAAUCCAAGUUUUUCCUUCUUCAACCAGCAGCUUCUCCAGUUUUGGUGAUCAAUCCUUGGAAUUUGUAGCGGCUAACUGAGGUCUAUUAGCUCCCAGUUUCAUUAGCCUGUCAGAAAUCCAAAGGUGGAAAAGGUAUCUUCUAAAACUGAGAGCCAUAGAACCUGUUGUUUAAACACUUCAAAACCCUAUAAAAAAAAAAAAAAAAAAAAUCGAUCUCUAAUUGAUUGAAAGUGUUUGAUACUCUGAUGAUUGAUUGAUAACUUGUUGAUUGAUUGUUUAAAUUACAAGUUUAUGCAUGUUCAAAGGUUUUAAACUCGUUUUAUAAAACCCUAAUCUACAAAAACCUAACAACCGUUUUUGGCCAUGUUUAUGGCAUAAACCUAUUCGAUUUUCUUCAUGUUUAAUAAGCUUGUUGCAGCUUAUUUGAUUGUUGAUUCUCUUGCUUGAAACACUUGAUUGAAUAAACUAAAAAAAUCAACCCUAAAUCCUAAGCUUAAUUCACGAUUUUGUAAUCUUCAAAAUCGUAAAUCAUAAUGCUUAAACCCUAGUCCUUUUCACGUGAUUUCUUUGUUGUCCUUGUGAAAUUAUUAAAAUCAUAGACCAUAGAUCCUAUAGAUCUCGAAAUCACAUCCAAAAUAUGUUUUCCAAACUGUUAAAACCCUAGAUAAAACCCUAAUCAUAUUCGGCUCCCCUAGGGUUCCUCCUAAACCGCCUAAAACCGACUAAACCUGGUUCUCAUUAACCGAAAUUAUAUUCGGCUUUAACCGAUUAAAUCACAGCUAUUAAACCGACAUCAUGUUCGGGGUAACUAAAACCAUACCCUUUAAAAUUUACUAUUUCCGAGAAAGUUCCCUCUAAUAGAAAGUUUCCUCAUAUAAAAACUUUCCUCAUAUAGAAAUUUUCCCGACAUAGAAACUUUCCUCAUUUAGAAAAUUACCCAAAUUAGAAACUUUCCAAAUUUAGAAACUUUCCUAAAAUAGAAAUAUUCUCAAAAUAGAAAGUUUCAUCAUCAGCAUUCAAAAUUUUCUCAAAACAAUCCCUAACAAAAUCAAUCUCAUGUUUCUGAUGUCAAACAUUCAGAAAUGUGAAUUCGAGGCCCUUCACGUCUCCGGGGAUAACUACCUCGAGUGGGCCCUAGACAUGCGCUUGUUCCUUGCAUCGAAAGAACUCGAUACGUGUAUUACCGACGGUAACACCGCAUCCCGUAAGGGACAGUCUCAGGCGAUAUGUCACAUACGCCAUCAUCUGGCCCCGAGCCUUAAGCAGCAAUAUCUCACUCUUGAGAAUCCACUUGAAUUGUGGCAAGCGCUGAAAAAGCGAUAUGACCAUCAGAAAAUGGUCCAGUUGCCUCAGGCAGAUUUCGACUGGAAGAACCUUCGGUUCCAGGACUACAAAUCCGUAGAUGAUUACAACAACGAACUCUUUCGUAUUGUUGCCAUCCGGAAACUCUGUGGCGAGGAUGUGACAGAUAAUGAUCUCCUCGAGAAAACAUUAUCCACAUUCAGCACAGAGAAUGUUGUGCUCCAACAACAAUACCGUGCAAUGAAACACACAUUGUACGAAGACUUGUUGUCCUGUCUUCUCCUCGCUGAGAAGAAUAACCAGCUGCUUAUGAGGAACAGCGCUAUGAGGCCCCCGGGAUCGGCUCCUGUCCCAGCUUCUCGUCAAGAGUCCUACCAUGUUCAACCCGAUAGAUCCUCAGAUCACCGCCGUGGACGUGGUAAUGGACGCGGUAAUGGCCGAGGACAUGGACGUGGAAGACGUGGACGCGGACAUGGUCGUGGCAACCGACCUAACCUCAGUUAUGGUCCUGGUCGUGGUCGAGGCAUCACCAAGCCGACCCGCCACACACCCCGAUCACUCUGCUUGUACCAGAUGUGGGAUGUUCAACCACCCAACAAAGCAAUGUCGCACCCCCAAGAUCCACUGCGAUCUAUACUAGAAGUACGGAAAAGCUCCUGCUGAAGCCAACAUGACUCAGCCAGUCGAUGCUGCUAACCUGGAAGGUGACGACCUCCUUGAUGAUGAGAACACCACAAACGAGCAGACCGACCCCAUGGACUAUGAAACAGCUGAUCUCCUCGAUUAAUUCAAUCAUCUGAAACUCUGAUACAAUUUGAUUUUGUUCUUUAUUUUUUUUUCAUUUUGGGAUUUGUUUCAUUUUUUUUUCCAUUUGCCUUUAUUCUCAGACACUGCUUUACUUUAUGAUUUAUCACAUUUUUUGAAUUCCUCAAUACUGAAUUCUAUCUUCUAUUCAUAAUGAAGCACACCAGCAAAUGGAAACCAUAGUCGUAGAUAGUGGAUCCAGCCACACUAUCUUAAGAAACAAAAGUUACUUCAUAAACCUAACCUAUCAAACCGCAAAUAUUAGCACCAUCGCGGGUCCCUCAAACCUUAUCGAAGGAUAUGGCCAUGCCUAUGUGUUGCUAUCAAAUGGCACACAACUUGAAAUACCAGAUGCUCUAUAUUCUCCUAGUUCGAAGAGAAAUCUUCUGAGCUUCAAGGAUAUAAGACAGAAUGGUUUCCACAUAGAAACCCAAGGUCAAGGGAACAAAGAAUCCCUCCUAGUCACUAAAACCGUAGACGGCCAUAAACAAAUCCUCGAAACCAUACCCGCGCUCUCUACUGGACUUUACCAUGCUAAAGUCAGUAUGAUUGAAGCUAAUACCACUCUCAAAGGCCGGUUUACUGAUUAUUCUAUUUGGCACGACCGGCUCGGUCAUCCCGGUGCAAAUAUGAUGCGUAAACUAAUUCAAAACUCUCAAGGGCAUACCCUCAAAGAAAACCGAGCUUAUCCUCAACACCUCAUGUGCACAGCUUGUUCUCAAGGCAAAUUGAUCACUCGGCCUUCACCAGUUAAAAUCUCUAAACAAACACUUCAUUUCCUAGAAAGAAUCCAGGGCGAUAUCUGUGGACCUAUACAUCCAUCUUCCGGACCAUUCCGGUACUUCAUGGUCCUUAUAGACGCAUCGACCCGUUGGUCAUAUGUUUGUCUCUUGUCCUCUCGGAACCAAGCCUUCGCUAGGUUCUUGGCCCAAAUCAUAAAAUUGCGGGCCCAUUUCCCUGACUUCCCACUAAAGACUAUCCGCCUUGACAAUGCUGGUGAAUUUACCUCACAAGCGUUUAAUGACUACUGUAUGGCCAUGGGGGUAACCGUGGAAAAUCUUGUAGCACAUGUCCAUACUCAAAAUGGAUUGGCUGAAUCAUUCAUUAAACGCAUUCAAUGGAUAGCCCGACCAUUACUCAUGAGAUCAAAGCUCCCGGCCUCAGCAUGAGGACAUGCAGUAUUACAUGCUGCUGAACUCAUACGCAUCCGGCCAUCUAGUGAACACAAAUAUUCCCCAUCCCAACUACUCUCGGGUCAUGAGCCAGACAUCUCCCAUCUCAAAACAUUUGGGUGUUCAGUAUAUGUACCCAUUGCUCUACCACAUCGAACCAAAAUGGGACCUCAAAGAAGGAUGAGAAUAUAUGUUGGUUUUGACUCUCCCACCAUCAUAAGAUAUCUCGAGCCAACCACUGGAGAUCUCUUCAAGGCCAGAUAUGCGGAUUGCCAAUUCGAUGAAUCGGUAUAUCCCUCUUUAGGUGGUGAGACAAACAAGCUGGUCAAAGAUCUUUCAUGGAAUCAAACAUCAUUAAAUUGGCAAGAUCCUCGGACUCUAGAAUGUGAUUCAGAGAUCCAAAAGAUUAUUCAUUAUCAAAAGCUAGCUAAUCAAUUGCCAGAUUCCUUUGCUGAUCCGACCAAAGUAACCAAAUCGUACAUCCCAGCUUGUAAUGCACCAGUACGAAUAGCUGUCCCAACGGGACAGACCCAAGUUGCUACAGAGUCUGCACCACGUCUCAAACGGGGCAGACCUCUCGGUUCCAAAGAUAAGAAUCCCCGGAAAUCAAAGAAAGGUGCAAUAACCGAAACCGGGAUUCCUGCAAUAUCAGACAUAGCCCCGGCUGAGACUCAAUCUAAUGAACCCUCAAUGGAAGUUCGGGACGCCGAAUCUCCAGGUUCAGAAGAUAACAAUGAGAUCUCCAUCAAUUACAAUAUGUCCGGAAUACAAUGGAAUCGAAAAGAAGUCGACUUAAAUGCACUCUUUGCAUACAAAGUAGCACUUGAUGUUGCGCUCACGCAAGAGGAUCUAGAACCCACGUCAAUAACACAGUGUACACAUCGAACAGAUUGGCUAAAAUGGAAAGAUGCCAUAAACGUGGAGUUAAAGAGUCUCAAACUCAGAAACGUGUUCGGUCCGAUCAUCGGGACCCCAUCACACAUCAAGCCAGUGGGCCACAAAUGGGUCUUUGUGCGCAAAAGGAACGAACUCGGUGAAGUCGUUCGAUACAAAGCACGGCUUGUAGCACAAGGAUUCUCACAGAGACCCGGAAUCGAUUAUGAGGAGACUUAUUCUCCAGUGGUGGAUGCAACAACAUUCCGAUUCCUCAUAAGUCUGGCCAUAAGAGAAAAUCUCGUUCUGCGGUUAAUGGAUGUUGUAACCGCAUAUCUCUAUGGGCCCCUGGACAACGAAAUAUAUAUGAGACUCCCAGAUGGCAUUGAACUAAAAGACAAAAAUGCAUCUCGAGAUCAAUACUGCAUCAGGCUGAACAAAUCCUUGUAUGGACUGAAACAAAGUGGGCGUAUGUGGUACAACCGCCUCAGCGAUUACCUCAUCAAAGAAGGCUACAAAAAUGACCCCAUCAGUCCAUGCAUCUUCAUCAAGAAGUACUCAAACAAAGGAUUUGUAAUCAUAGCAGUAUACGUGGAUGAUCUAAACAUCCUCGGAACAUCUGGUGAGAUCUCCCAAACAGUCGACUGCUUAAAAGCAGAAUUCGAAAUGAAAGACCUAGGCAAAACAAAGUACUGUUUGGGAUUACAACUUGAGUACAUCAAAGGAGGAAUCCUUGUGCAUCAAUCGGCUUAUAUCGAAAAGGUACUCAAGCGAUUUAAUAUGGACCAAGCUCACCCAUUGACCAGCCCAAUGGUAGUUAGAAGCUUAAGUGAUGACCCUCUUGGUCCCAAAAAGGAUGAUGAAGAAAUCCUUGGUCCUGAAAAGCCAUACCUCAGUGCUGUAGGAGCGUUAAUGUACCUGGCUAGUCACACUAGACCAGACAUAUGUUUCGCCGUGAACCUCCUCGCUCGAUAUAGUUCAUCUCCAACUCAGAGGCACUGGAAUGGUAUAAAACAUCUCCUAAGAUACCUUCGAGGUACUCAAGACUUAGGACUCUUCUAUACUAACCAAAAUAAAGAUGGGUUAGUCGGCUUCGCCGAUGCAGGAUAUCUAUCAGAUCCGAACACUGCCAAGUCUCAAACUGGCUACGUUUUUACGCAUGGAGGAACAGCCAUCUCUUGGAGAUCAAUGAAGCAGACACUCACUGCCACUUCAUCAAACCAUACUGAAAUCCUAGCCAUUCAUGAAGCUAGUAGGGAAUGCGUCUGGCUGCGCUCCAUGACUCAGCACAUCCGCAGAGAUUGUGGUAUGGACGAAGACACACAGCCCACGGUGAUGUAUGAAGACAACGCGGCAUGCAUAGCUCAGCUCAAGGAAGGAUAUAUCAAAGGAGAUCGGACGAAGCACAUUCUACCGAAGUUCUUCUCAACCUCAGACUGGCAGAAGGACGACACUCUCAGCGUUCAGCAGGUCUGAUCCAGUGAGAAUUCAGCUGACCUCUUCACCAAAUCAUUGCCUACUUCAACACACCGGAAGCUCGUCAAACAGAUAGGAAUGUAUAGACUUAGAGAUCUGCAGUGAUGCUACAAUCAGGGGGAGUAAUGCGUGUUGUACUCUUUUUCCUUCACCAUGGUUUUGUCCCACUGGGUUUUUCCUGGUAAGGUUUUAAUGAGGCAACAUUCCCCAGCGCAUUAUCGAGAUCCCGAUUGAGUAGCUGACCCGGUUCACUCGUCCAAGGGGGAAUGUUAUAACACAUAUCAUAUAUGGACUCUUAUACCGGCCCAUUAGGCCCAUCAGGGCAUUGUACUUAACCUAGAUUCCCUAUGUACUCUAUAUAUACAUUCCAGUGAUUAAUAAAGUUUCGAAGUUUUCACAACAAAUUUUAGUAUAUUCAGAAUUAUUGGAAGACAACAAGUAGUUUUUAAUACAGCAAAAACUAUGAUUAUGUUAAAUGUAUUUUUCAUUUUAUGAAAUAAACAAACGGAUGCUUUUUUUUUUGUCAACAUACAAACCGAUUCUUAUAAACUGGCAUUUCCACAUAACUAUACAAAUAAAUAAAAAAAACUUAUAUAUUUAAUUUAUUUUUUUGUUAAAUGUUAAAUUUUAUACCAAUUUUUAGAUUUGCGACAGCGAUUACAGAAAAAAACUAAGAAAAUGGAAAGAUCAGAAACUACAUUUAUGUUGAAACCCGUUAAUGAUUCUAACGUCAGCAAUCAUUGAUGCAAGAAUAUUUUUCUUUGCAAAUCAUUGUGCUUUGUUUUCUUCGACAUAUCCGAAAUCCAUAUUCCAAAUUAGUUGAUCUAAAAAUAAUUUCCUGGGUAUGCAUUUGAUGAUCUGUCAUAUUAAAACCAUAGUUUUUUAGAACUAAUCAAAGGCAUAUUUACCUUCACUCGACUAACGGCUACUAGUGUUAGUAAAUAGUAGUGAGUAGUGACUGUGACUGUAAGCUUGAAGAGUUUUUUUUUUUUUGUCACAAACUUGAAGAGUUUUCUUAUCCAUAUUUUUAAGCUCACUGCUCAGAGUCAAAAUCACAGUAUUGACGAAAGUAACCCUGGAAAGAGAGCAUUAUUACAAGGAAGAAAAUACUCCUUUCCUCUUAACGGCUAGUUUUGUGAAGGAUCGAUCUUUUUCAUCUUGUCUGAGCUUAGACAGAUCCGACCAAAUUAGACACUACUCUCUCUCCUUUCUCUCUUUCUCUCUCAGUGAAUCUUUCUCAUUUCUGAUCAAUCUUAGUGUUAAUGGAACAAUUCGAGCACAUGAUAGUGGAGGAGUUUAACGAAGAGGAUUUCUACGAGACGAUAGAAGCACCCAAGUUUGUAGACCUUACCGCACCAGAUCAUCGCCCAGAAGGCGAUGAUCGUUACUGGUUUUGUUCCAGAGUUGGUCAGAAUCUCAUUCACUCUCUUUGACAUCAAUUUUGUUUUUUCUUUUUUUUUUCUUUUUGAAAUUUGAAUCAAUGUUCCAUAGAUCUGGGAAACAACACAUUAAUUUCUGAUGAUCCUGGGGUUAUUAUAGUAAUUUGAUCUGAAAAUUGCUAAAUUAGGGUUUCUUAGUGAAGAUUUCGCUUAAAUUAGCUUGUGUUUUUGAUCCCUUUUGGUUUCCUGGUGAAAAUGUGUAUGCAGGAUGUGAUCAGAAGCAUGAAGAAUUUAUGGAUUCGGAAGCAAUCUACCAAAAAUUCGUUCUUCGGGUUAGCUGAAAAAUUCAAACUUUUUUUGUUCUCUGUUCUUUCUUGAUUUGAUUUCGUUUAAAUAUAUUAGUCAAACUUAAGACUUUUGAUGUUGAUCAACGAUUACUAGGUCAUGGCAGCUAGGAGUCCAAGUGUUCGUCUUCGUAAAGCUCUUUACAGAAAGGAUUUCAGGUAAUGAAACUCAAACAAUGAGAAAAAAAAAAUGUGUUUUUAACUUAGAGAGAUCAAUCACUGUAAUGUGUGUUUAACAUUACAUUAUUCUACAUACUUUGGUUAUUCACAGUGUUGAUCCUAAAUGCCCCAACACGGUUCCUGCAAAGCCUUCGAGAUCACGCGUUUCUAGAUUGGCCAUGAUCUCAUCAAUCCCUCACAAGGCUAAUAAUGGUAAUAUGAGGCCAAAAGAAGUAAAAGCAAUUUCCACAAACAAGAAUGCAACUCCAAAGGCAAAAGUUAGAGGAAAGGAGCCAUCAUCAGUGAUCUCAUCAGUUCCUCGGAAGGCAUUGACUGAGCGCAAGAAGCAAAUGCAGAGUCCAGCAGCUUUUAGGAGUGUGCAGAAUCCAAGAGCUGCAAUAACUAAACUGUCGCAAAACAGAGUUGUUGCAAAGGCUUUGGUGUUUCAUUCUCCAAAGAAGUUGGUGAAACUGAAGAGAUCUGUGGAGCUUAGUUCCUCUGUGAAGAAGUUGUGUAAUGGGAUGAGGAAGCUUGAUAUUGAGAACAAAAGAAAUGGCUUGAGGGUUAAUGAUAAGGCAGGGAGUUCAGUCCCAUCUAAAAGACCACUAAAGACACGAGAAGUGAAGAGCCGAGUGUUUGAUUCUGUGCGGUCGCAGCAGAAACAGAUCGAUGAAAAGGCCAAAGGUUCUGGUACUUUGAAAAAGAGGGUCAAGGAAAAGGAAGAGCCUGUGAUUUGCUUUGAUCCUUCACAAUCUCACGAAGCUAAGGCUAAGGAACUUGAGAAUCAAUCUUUGUGCUGCGCAAGUAGUGAUAAAACUAGUGGAGAUGAAGAGUUCUUGGUCGAAAACAAAUCUGAAAAAACUUCAGACGCAUUGAAGACUAACAUGGGAGAUCAACUCCAGGCCAGAGAAGAUCCUGCUGUAGUAAAGGAGAGUGGACUGGAUACAUCGAAGCAAUGUCAAGUUGCAGAGAUUGAAGACAAGGAAAAUGCAGUACCUUUGGAGUGUGAGGAGAAAAAGAAUGCUACUAUUUCAACGGAUGUCGAAAGAGAAGACAUAUCUGUAACAAAGGAGAGUGGACAGGACAAAGCAAAGCAAUAUGAGACUACGGAGAAUGCAUUAGCAUCGGAGUGUGACGACAAAGAAAAUGCUACUGAUGCAGCGGAUGUUGAUGAAGAGAGCGAUGAUAAGGAAAAUUCUUCAGCCUUGGACAAUAACAGGUGAGCAAAAUGUUGUUUCAUUGCUUUACAUUGGAUUUUAUUUUCACACCACCUCACCAGAUACACUUGUUUUGUCUGAAUCUUGCAGGAAAGUCGACCAAUCCACCUACCCUUUGUUGAAAAAUAAAAUCUUUGGCAAGAAAGAAACUUGCAAAACGACUCAAAAGGUAGCUAGGCUUAUUCUGUAUACUUUUUCUGAUGAGAUCCUCUAUAUGUGCUCAUGUACUUUCUACUGAACCAGGCGAUGACAAUAGCCGAUAAGUGUUUCAAUGGCAAGACUGUGUCGGCUAAUACCCGUGUCAAGUAUACAAAACCUAAGCUCACGAAUCCAAAGCCUUUUCGACUAAGAACCGAUGUAUGAUGUGCAAUACAACCCACCAAAAAAAUUGUUCUCUAAUAUGCAUUUCUUUUCUUUCUUGUUUCUGAUGGAGGAAUACUUCAUGUUUUCAGGAAAGAAGAAUACUCAAGGAAGCAAACACGGAGAAGAAACAACAGUGUGCUCUUUCCAAAGAAGAAGAAACUACAACGAUUCUUGGGUUCCAUGGUGAAAACUUGGGUCCAAAACAUCAGCCAAAUAGAGUAAGUUCAAAGAAGAAAGUGGCAAGCAAAAGAACUGAAACCAUGGAGGAAGCCUCGCGGAUUAAGGGAAUCAUAAACAAACCUUCUGUUUGUGAUGUUGCUUCAGGGGAGAAAAGACCUGCAACUGUCCCAAAGGGACCAAACUUCCAUAGCAUUCAUGUCCCAAAGAGCUGUACAAAGAGAGUGGCAUCACAAUUCUAAGAUUGUUUUUCUUUUUCUUUUAGUUGCUUUAAUUCACACGAGAGCUUGUAAUUGUGGUUGAUCUUUGAAAAAGUAACAGAAUUGAGAUUGUUUUGGCGUGUAUAAACCACUUGCUCAAUUUUUUUUUUCAGAUUGAUCAAUACAGAAACAAGAUGAUGUUUCUUUGAUGCUCAUGACUAAAGCUUUAUGAUACUGGAUGAGUUCCCUCGCAUCUCGGUUUUUUAAUCUCUUGCCAUCGUUAGUAUAGUGACCUCAGAGAUAUUCUCAAUCCAAGAAGGAUCUUCUUGUGUGCUUGUAGUUAUUGAGGUCUGAGGAAAACUUGAGAGUUGACGUCUGUUUAAAGAACUUCGAGUCUUGCGCAUCCUAUCACGAGCAACUCCAUCAGUGAAGAUGGAAGCAUCACCAAACUUUUGCAAUUAGUGACAACCAAAUACUCGAGAUUCCUUUUUUCAGAUCCUGACAAAUGCAACUGAGAGUGAACAUAAGAAGCAAAAAAUGAUUGUUGUUUGCAGUUGAAGCAUGAUGUAAAUUUGAACACGUACAGAGGUUUACUGAGAGACAUCUUAACCAAACUUUUUUCUUUUCCGAACUUACUCAUCAAUUGAAUAACAUGAUCAUGUCAUUAAAUCUAAUGAAUCACCCUUCAUCUUCACCAUCUGGCUUUGACCAAAUUAUUAACCAAGCUACUUAGGAUCCGGAUUUGAAAAUUGUUUAAAUAAACCAAACCAAUUUCUCAAAUUUAACCAAACCGAACUGAAUCUAAGACUUGACAAAAAGAUAGUAUUAGCUCGUACGAUUACACCAAACGAACCUUAAUCAAUCGGUUCAGUGUUUGAAUUAAACCGGUUUAACUUAACCAGAUUCUUUUGAUCACGCUUAAACCGAAGUAAGCUAAGAUCAAACCCAAACUCGACUUGAUCAAAGCUCUAAUGAUCAUAUCAACUUAACUAAAGACAUGAUUAAACUUCUCUUGAUAACAUGCAAAUGAUUUUUGACUUUGUAAUUAAACUCAAGCUCUUUUAAUCCUUUAAACUUAAGACUACCCUCAUAACAACCUCAAGAGUACACAGUUUGAUUAGAAUAUCAGACUUUGAUCAAGGAACAAGGGCAUGACUGUUUAAAUUUUCGGAAUCAAUAGAAAAAUAGGCAGUUCUCAAUUAAUACCACUAAAAGUUUUCGUUCCUAGCAUAUUAUUACUAGUUUUUGUUUUUUCCAAAACAACCACAAACAUUGAUUUUUCCACAAAUAUCACAAAACUAAAACUAAACUUUUAACCUAAAAACUUAAUUAUAAACCCUCAAAAUUAAACCCGAAUACAAGAUACUAAAUCUAAUGUCAAAUAUUUAAAUAAUAAACUCUUACUCAUUUAUUUAGUGGUUGUGGUGUUUGUGAAAAGAAACCAUUAAUUGGUAGUUUUAGAAAACAAAACUAGUGAUGGUAUGUUUGGAGCAAAAACUUAUAUUUCAAGGUAUUAGUCUAGAAAAACAUAAUGAAGAAUGUUUUGGAUAUCAUUCACAGAGACGAUAACAAAGUAUAUAUAACCCAACAAAGUAUAUCUACUUUCUUAACUAAGAAAAUCAUAUGAGAGAUAUACAGUGCUGAUAACCAAAAUGAUUGACGACUCGAACCUAAUUACAACAAGCCUUUGAAAAUUUUCAUAUCAAGAUGAACAUCCAGAACAUGUAUACUCCAUGUUGAAGGAGGGUAUUAGAAAAUCAUAUAUACAAUCAAAUACCGUAUAUUUUGGGAUCAUAUAAUGGAUUUAAUAAGCACGGAGUUCCUCUUUUCUAAUAUAAACCUCCUGAAUUCGACACUCACUAAACUGGAUCUAAAGGGAUAGCCUUGCAAACAAACAAAUUGUUUCAGGAUUUGUGGAUUUAAUGAGAUUCCAAGGGUUGUAGAAGACCCUUGAUGAAUUGGUUUUCAAAUCAACUAAGGAUAUGACACAUCAAAGAUGAAUCGAAAGGCCUUGAAGGAUAUAACACACCAACAAGAAGAGUUUGAUCUUACUUAGAAAAGAUUUAAUUUUGAUAAAAAGAUAAGAUAGAUUCUAAAGAGAGUUUACAAGAGAAUAUAAAGAGAAAAACAGACAAGUCUACAAAGCAUUAAAGUGUCUACGAACUAGUUCUUUGAAAGCUGGCCAAGUUUGAAUUCAAACACUCUUCACACGCUCCUCUUCUUAUUCACUUGGGCUCGGCUGAAUAGGUUUAGAUGUGGGUGAUCUAAGCUAUGCCUCAUUAAAAAACCUAUCUCAAAAAAAACCCAUUGGGACAAAACUUGAGAUAGGGAAAAAGAGUACAUAGCUGGAUCUCAAGUCCAUUAGCCUUUUCGGACUUGGAUCACAACUAGUGUGGUACAAUAGUAUAGUUGUACCAAUCUCUUUUCCCUUUUGUUCCAUAAGCACUCUUUUGCUUAAGUAUAUCUCCAACAGUUUCCUUGAGCCUCUUGGUCUUUGCUCGGGUCAUAAGACCAUUUGAAAUGAGCAAACGGUCUUCUUGUUCCAUUCCUUGCUUUUUGUCUUUGCUCCUUAGCUCCUUAACUUAUUGUGGCUCUUCUUCAGGUUCAAGCUCCUUGCUGAUGCUAUCCAAGAUCAUAUCAUUUUCCAUCGGCGUUCUUCUUAUUUUCACCAUCGUUGUCGUUUGAUUCAUGUUUACCGGAAUUGUUGGAGACAUCAAGGAAUAUGUUACUAAUGCAGCGGGAUAGUGCCAUUGUCAAUAAGGACAUGAUUGUUCUUAGAUGUUCUUAGAGUAAUAUAUACUAGCACCCAAGCUGUUUAAACUAAAGUAAUACGGCAAAAACAUACACCAAUAGUAUAUCAUCAUAUAGAUCAAAACAUGCUUAUUACUCAUUGUCCCAACCUUUUCAUGAACAUGGGGAUGCGGAUGAGCCAUUAAAGCUAGAGCUUGAAUGGCACCAGUAUAAGUUGGUGCAAGCUGUCGUAAUAAUCUUACAACAGGUAACAGACAAGCCAGAAGAUCCAAUACGGCGGUAUUGAGUUCCCUAAGAGUGUAGUAGGAGAUAUUCAUUUCGUGUAAAUCAUUUUGCUUCAAGAAAUAGGAAUUACCAGUUAUAGAUAUAAUUAAAUGGUACAUCAAAGGGUUACUUACAAAAUUGAAGUUGUCACGCAUCUCCGGGAUUCUAUGCGUAGUAAGAACUAAUGUCACUCUAAUUCAGCCAAUCACUAGCUCGAUAAAUUUAUGGUUUAAGAGGAAUGAGGGUUCCUAUUGUUUUAUAUAAUCAUGUUUUGAAUGUUAUGGCCCAAAAGAACCGACCUUUUUGCCAAGGUUUCGUAUUAGAAUCACUUAACUGAACAAGUUGUCCAUUUGGCAUUUUCGAUUAUUUUCCCCGGUUUUGUAGUUGUUUGCAAUGCUGAUUUAAGUGUCAAUUGGAUUGGUAUUACUUCUAAUUAACUUAUUAGUUCCUGUAAACAAAAAAUCUGACACUAAUCUUCCAGCAUGUCAAAACUUAUGCACAUGUUACUUAAAAAAACAAUGAAUAAAUUACAUGUAUGAUUUUUAUAUAAAAAAAACAACUUGUGUAACUCAAUGGGAUGAGGUGAAAGCCCUUUUAAUCCACUGAUUGAUUAAAAGGUUUAUUAAUAAUAUUAUACCAAGAGAUUUGGAUUUCUCCCAAAUAAUGUAAUUUCUGCAGAUUAAUGAAAGCAAAUUUAUAAAGAAAUCUUAUGCACGUAGAUUUGUUCAUCAUGAUCGUGGAUCCUUGUGGAAUGAAUAACAUUAUCCAUUAUAGAAUUGUUUUUUAGUAGUUCUCUCUAAAAAAUUUCUGUGUUAAGAAAAUUAAUAGGUUGAUGAAUGAGCAACAUAGAGGUCAGAUGCAUUUAUUAUAUAUAAUGUUGUAUGGAUAAUAUUAAAAUUGCUUACGUAGAUGUAAAAUUAAUGAUAUAUAUGAUUUUAGGUGACAUCAGCAUCUGAAUGGAGGAUAUCUGUCUUUUCAUCUAAUUAAUAAAUUAUAAAUUUUAAAAUAAAAAAAAUUAAAAACUAAUUAAUACCACUACUUCUAACUUAACUAUUAUAUUUAAUGUUUAUUUCAUAUGUAUUUAUGUUCAUAACUAUUAAGUUACAUUAAUAUUAAGGCUUUUCAAAUUCUUAAUAAAAAUAAAUAAAUAACAUUUCUAACUUUUUACAGUUCUAACUUUUUGGUAUUUGUCUAAAAUUUUUAAAUAUUUUUUUAUAUUAAUUUGAUACUUUUCUUCCAUCUUAUCCUCAUUAUAAACACUUUUUUUGAAGCUUGUUGUAUGAAAAAAUAUGAAGAUGUAGCGUUAUCUUCAUUCAAAGAUUUGGCGAUUUUUAUGGGUCAAAUAUAAUAUUAUUAUAGCUGCAUUUUAUUGUGAAAUAUAAAAUAUGAGGUGGUUCUUGCAGAAUCAAGACAAUUGUACAUGUCAUAAAUUUGAGAACAUUAAAAAUCAGAAGUAAUUAUAUAUUUUCAAGCAAUUCAACCAAAAAAUAUGACUUUUAUCUACGUCUUUUUUACUCAUAUAAUGUUUAUGAUUUCUAGAAUAGUAGAAUAAUUUUCUUAAUUACCAUACUUCCAAUCUUUAAAAAAAAGUUAUUUGUUUUACAAAGAAUUUAUUUUUAAAAAACUUAAUACUAAACAGUCAAACAAAUUACCAUAUUCUUAUAAUUAACUAUAUAUAUAUAUAUAUCAACACAUAUAUAUUUUUAAAAAUAUUAUGUGAAACAAAACCUGCGCGUAUGCGCGGAUACAAGUCUAAUAUCUUAAAUACACACCAUUAUGGACUUCUUUGUGUGUGUAAUUUAGUAGUUUACCUUGGACUUCUUUGUGUGUGUAAUAUCUUAAAUACAUACCAUUAGUUUAUAUUACUAUGUAUAUUAGGAAAUCAAUAUCUCCUCUUUUUUCACUGUAAAUGUUGAUUCUCCUAUAUAACAUUUUGUGAUCAUAGACAUAGGAAUCUAGAAAAAAAAUUGUAAAAACAUCAAAAUGAUUUUUUAAUGUCUUUUAUGAAGAAAAUCCAACAGAUUUGUCUUUUUUUUGGGUUAAAGAUCCAAUGACACAAAACUUACUCUUGAACAAAAUUUGUAUAUUACCGUAUUAAACAAUGUAUCAUGUUGUAAUGUUUUCCCAUUGUUAUUACCGAUUACGUAUAAGAUUUGUCAAUGGAAGAUAGAAAGAUUCAGACAUCCCUUUUUGCAACCAAUGACUUUUCUUUUUGUUAUGACAUGAAUUAAUACAAAUAAAUUGCGGUUUGGAAAAUGGUAGGGGCAGUUGAAAAAGACAGUCAUGUGAAUGUCACUUUCUUUUUAGCUGUCCUCUUGGGUCGGGCUUAUCCUAUUCCCUACCAUAUUCACUACCCUCUUUCAUUUUCUUACAUUCUCAAAUUCAACAAUUUUGAAUUUUCUCACUUUUCAUAAAAAUUUAAAUUCUAUUCAUGUAUUCUUUCUAUAAAACAAAAAGAUAAAUAGGAGUAUAAUUUACAUAGAAAUGAAAAUUAAUUAUUCUAUAGAAAAUUCCAAGAUCAGGACCCUCUUGUCCCCUACAAAUAUGCGAUUCUUAUUACCAAUUACACCGCUUGCAAUUUUAGCUUUUUCCUAUACUAACUGACAUACAUCGUUAUCAUCGACUAACAAGGAGAGAUAUACCGUUAAUAUUGUGUUACUGUUAUCGGGACAAUAUUUAUGUCAUAUGACUAUGAAAUUAAGAAAGUAAUUAUGGUCUGUGACAAUUUGGAUGGAUAAUAUGAAUAUACGGUAUACCAUAUACAAAGUCACAUCUUCCACUAUAGUCAACGGUAAAUUUAUUAAGCAAACAGUGCAAACAAAUGUCUGAAUCGUACAUAUCAAACACAAACUCAUAUAUGAUAAAAUGAUGACACUAAUAAUUCGAAGAAAGAAAAAAAAUGAAAGUAAAUACACGAAAACGAUGCGAACCAAUUCAAGAAUAAUCUCAAACGAUGAGCAAAUGUGCUGCAGCAACUCCAACAACGAACGAAAGUGCUACGACGUUGUUUCUUACAUUGAAAGCUCCAGAAUCCUGCGAGGCCAUCCCUGGUGGCAUAGGUCCCGGAGAAGGAGCAGAUUCCAUUGCGGAUGGCGGCAUCGGCGGAGAAGCCAUAUCGGGAACUGAUAAUGGGCUUGGGCUUGGGCCCAUAGGAGUAGUUGGUUGGGCCAUUGGGCUUGAAGAUGGAGUCAUUGGCAUCAUAGGUGGUGGAGUCAUGGGCAUUGGUGGUGGAGCCAUGGGCAUAGGUGGUGGAGUCAUAGGCAUAGGUGGUGGAGCCAUAGGCAUAGGUGGUGGAGUCAUCAUUGGCAUCGGAGAGCUGCGGCCGCUAGACAUCGGCGGCAUCGACAUUGAGCCAGAAGGAGCCAUCAUGGGAGAUUGAGCUAAAGAGAAAUGAAUUAAAACCAUAGGCAAUGUGACCAAAAGGAGGGCUUGUGAAGAGGCCAUGGUUAUGUGUGUUGAAUAGUGGGUGUUAUGUAAAGUGAUAUAUAGAGAGAGGUAUGUGAGUUGUAAAAGAAUGGGAGAGAAAAGUGAAGGUUCUUUGUGCUAUUGGGGAUAUAUAUUAGAGAUUAUUUGUUUUUAUUUUUGGACCGUUGGAUAUAGUGUGUGACACGUAUCAGUCGAUAGAUAGGUAUGAGAUGCUGAUUUAUUUUCCUCCACAUGUUGAAAAAAAAAAAGAGAUAGAAGAAAAUUCCAAAGUGAAAUUUCUUUGUAGGUACAGAUAGAAUAAUCAAUACACAUGAAAAUGGGACUAUUAUGAUUAUAAUGCAUUUUAUUUUCAUUCUUUAGUGGAACCAUCAAUCGGAUUCACGGGUUGGUUUUUAAGGGGGCCAUAUAUCAAAAUUAUUAGGAAUGUCAUUUAAUGGUGUUUGUUAGUCAUUAAUAUGCUAAAACGAUGAAAUUUUGAAAUGUUAGUAGACUUUUAUAACCAAGUCAAGAUAUAAUUUCAUCAGAAAAAAACAAUUUAUAUGGAAAAGGAUAAAAGACCAUAAUGCUAUGGUACAAGAGAAAAGACAAAUAGGGACCAUUUGUGUUGCAUUUGGUCACACAGGCCUAAUAAGCUCCACGGCCAAUAUUAUGUCCGCACCCACUAACCGACAUUUUUGGUUACCCCAUACUCUUUUCUUUUUUCCUCUCACGAGUACUCUUUGUCCCUCAUUUACUAUUUAUCCAUCUUUUAAAUUAUACUUUUUAAAACAAACAUGUAACAUGUUCUAUACAUAUAUAUAUAUACUUUGAUUUCGUUGUUUUAUUGUACAUUUCUUCAGCUCGUUUGAAUUUAACCGUUAUGAUCGUCCCUUGAUCAAAUGUAUUCUCUCAACUCAUUAGUUCAGGAUCCAGGAAAAUUAGAUGAAAUAGACAAAUAGUACAUGCAUCACUUGAAGUAACUAUAAUUACUAUACCGUUAAAGUAGUUGUAUAGAGAUUUCAAUAUUAUAACGUUAGGGCUCUAAAUAUAUGGGCUCAUUAUAAAUGGGCAUGUAGUCGCAUGAGGCCGAAUCCCAGCUGGCAGAGAAAUGAGCGGGAAAUUUUAUGUACAAAAUGCUCGAAACAAUGUCACACGUAGCGCACGUGCCAUUCUCCCGCCCGUUUCUCCAUUUUCCCCAAAUCUCAAAUUCUCAAUCCCUAGUUUCUCUCUCUCCCCAGAUUCACAGCAUUUGCAUUUUGCAAUGUCUGAAGACUCGGAACCGCGUCAACUCGGGAGAUCGACCGCCGGCGGAGAGCUAAUAGGUCUUGGUCUCACUGAGUCAGACGGCGAGGAGCAUUUCUAUCACCAGAAAGCUUUGGAGUUAUGUCGUCACCUACUCUUCGUUGGCCACUCAGAACUAGUUACAGAUCUUUCUUCACAAUGUACACACUUCCAAGCUUCGCCUGAGCUCGUCAAAGUUCUUUGCUCGAUUCCUAAUUCCCCUGUCUCCCUUACCGGAGACGGCUUAUCCGUGACUCUCUCGCGCGAGUUGCUCUCCGAUCCGGCCUGUUUCGCCUGUAGUUUGGGUGUGCCGGAAAAUGUUUUGUUUGAACAGAUUACGCGUUUCUCGGAUCCGAGAGCUCCCAAGCCUAAGCGAAAUGGUCUCGGGCAUAUGGGAGGUACUAACUUAGCACUUGUUUCAUUUUAGUCGUUAUCUGGCAUCUGAUUUUGUUGUUUAGUAGUCACACUUACAUAGAGAUUCUCUUCUUGAUUAUGGAUUAUUAUGAAAAAUUUCAGAAAAUGAGGAGCAAGAAGAGCUGCAGCUCAUGCCAUUGCCCAAAAGAAGCCGAAAGGAGGAACCAGAUGUAAGUAAUCUCUUUUAACAAAAAGAUGAAUUUCUCAAGGUAUAAUUCAAUUUCAAAAAUGGGGAGUUGAUUCAUUGAUUUUUUUUUUUCUAGGUGAAUGACUACUCUGUAAUGGAUAGCAGAGCUAACGACAUGACAAAUAUUGCCAAUGGGUCCAUGCUUGAGACACUGAAAGCUUUUGAAUCCCAAGCUUCGCUUUUAGUUUUAGGUAGAGAUGGUCGAGAAAUAGGAGCAUUUGACCAAAGUCCUUGGUCUGGUCCACGGACUAGAAUUUUUGGAUGCGAGAUUUUCUCCAAUGCUUGUGUGGAUGUCGAUCCUAUGCACUGCUUGGGGGAACGCAAGCAAGAUUCGCCAUCUCCUCGAGAGGUUGGAUACUGUAAGCAAAUUGAGAUUGAAGAUUUUCAAAUUGUUGAUAACCUAAGAUUAUUCGAAGACGAUGAGGAUAAAAACGAGAAGGAUUUGUUCCAUAAGGGGGAGAUACGAACUCCCGAUGUGCAGUCCGAUCCUGCUGCCCCUUCGAUGCCAUCAGAAAAUGAGUUAAAAUCUGUAUAUAUUGUAGAGGACACUGAAGAUAUGCUUGCCUUGAGUUGUAACCCAUUAAAGCAAGAGGACAACGCUGUAGACAUCUUCAGCACCCCUGUCAAAGAGCUGCCUUUGAUGCCUUCUGCAACAAUAGCUAAUCAAGAUAGAUCCUUGGUACAGAAAACACAGGAUCUGUGCAAAUUAUCGGGAAACAGCAAAGGUUACAGCUGUUCCCCUGAGAAAAAACACACCAGGAAAUGUAAAGCUAUCCAGAGGUCAAAGCAGAAUCUUAACUCCGUUCGACCUAAAGAUCAGAAGGUAGACAUUUCUUUUUUAUCUAGAGUGAGCCCCUUGCAAUUCCGUUUUUUUAUUUAUUUAAACAGCUUUCCAUGUUGCUGAAAGUACUUUUAUACCAACAUUGAGGAUUAAUCCACUAUAUUAAGAUUUCUCAUAUCUGUUGUUUAGGAUGAGUCAAAACAGAACACUUUUCCAGUUUUUGAUUCUUACACUAUUGUAGAGGAAGAAGGCUCAGGUACAUUUUCCUUACAAUUUCAUCUAUAUUCCUGAUUUUGUUGAAACAGCUUAAUUGGUUAUCGGCUAAUGAUUGGUGAAAUCCAACUGUAGGUGGCUACGGGAUUGUUUAUAAGGCAAAGAGGAAAACCGAUGGAAAAGAGUUUGCCAUUAAAUGUAUGAAACAGAAUGAUAUGUUGCUAGAUUUUUUCACUUCGUCACAUCGUUUUUGGUUGGCAAUUUGGUCUCAUGUGUUUUCCAUACAGGUCCCCAUGCUGGUGCUCAGAAAUACUAUGUUAAUAAUGAACUCCGAAUGCUGGAGCGUUUUGGGUAAGUAACAAAGUUUGAUCCGCUAAUGAACCUCCUACAUAUUUAAACCCAAAUAUCUGAAAUUGCCUAAAUGUUGGUUCACUUAGGGGGAAAAACUUUAUAAUAAAGUUUGAAGGCUGUCUUAAGAACGGAGAUUCCGAUUGCAUGAUCCUUGAGCACCUUGAACAUGACAGACCUGAUUGUUUGAGGAGAGAAAUAGACGUGUAUCAGCUACAGUUGUACGGAUACUGCAUGUUCAAAGCUCUGUCAAGUCUUCAUAAGCAGGUAAAGCAGAUGUUGGACUAAAACUUUUGAGCAUUCAUAUUUCAAUCACGCAACUAACCAGUUAUAUUGUUUUCUUUUGCAAAUGUGAAGGGUGUUGUUCAUAGGGAUGUUAAGCCAGGCAACUUUCUUUUCUCUAGGAAGAGUAGCAAAGGCUGUCUCAUUGACUUUAACCUCGCCAUGGUUAGCAUUUUUCUGGCACCCUUCUCUUAUUAAUACUUUUCUAGCAACAUUUAUUGGUUAGUGUUUUGUAUAAUAGAAUUUGAGGUUACGAAACCUGUUUAGUGCUCUUAUAUAAUAUUUAGGUCAGUGUCUACUAGAGGCACUGAAAAGCUUGAGCUGAGCUAUCACAAACGUUUGUGUUCAUAGUUUGUGUUAUGUUCCCACCCACUGAUAUUAAUUUCACUUUCCUCUGUGGCUUAAUUUAGGAUUUGCACCAGAAGCACAGGAGAGCCGGUAAACUUCUCCCCUCAUGCAUUUGGGUUGAAUUAAGUAAAACAAAUGGAAACUAAAGCUAUCCCUUAUAUGUAUAUCAGAUAAAUCAAAAGCAGCUACAGAUCUCCCAACCGCCAGCAAGAAGCAUCAUACUUUGAUUAAAUCUCCUGACACGACCAACCGAGUGACCAACAAAUCUUCUCAGAAAACUUUAGCGCCAAAUAGUCUGAAGAAAGCAGCGGGAAAGAUAAGAGCUCAGACUGACAUGAGUAGAUGGGAGAGGUUCAAUAGCCAAGGCGCGGAAGGGUCUGGCUUAACUUCGGCCAAAGAUGUGACCAGCACAAGGAACCACCCUUCAGGUGAAAAGAGGAGAGAGCCUUUGCCAUGUCAUGGAAGGAAAGAGCUUCUAAACUUUCUGCAAGAGACAAUGUCUGGUUCAAUUCCAAACCACGAAGUAUCAUCCAAAGCUCCUACAUCUAUGAGAAAACGUGUUGCUGCUCAUCCAGGGAAAGCUGAGAAACAGCUUCUUCAUCUGACCCCAAUGCCGCUGCGCUCUAAUGGUCGGCGUGAAGCAGGUGGAUUCCUGGUGUAUAAUUUGACUCUUGUUUUUUGUUUCAGAGUUUAACUUUAACCCUAAGAAAAAAAUCUGACUUACUAGGGGAUGUAAGUAAGAAGAAAGAUGGUCCUUGCUCAGGAACGAAAGGCUACCGAGCACCAGAGGUACGUCAACUGUAACUAUCGCUCACUUUGCUUAUAUGGUAGAGAGAGAGAAUGUUAGUGGGUUUAGGCUUCCGAGUUACUAGUAAAUCCAUUUAUAUAUCAUACAAAUCUUAUGCUUUGAGCUACUUAUUAGAACAUUUUAUGAUGGGAAAGCUAAUUCUCUGGGGCGGUUCUUGGCUGAAUUGGCUUGUGCAGGUUUGCUUAAGAUCUUUGCACCAAGGACCUAAGAUCGACGUGUGGUCUGCAGGAGUUACUCUAUUAUAUCUAAUGAUGGGAAAAACACCUUUUACUGGUGACCCUGAACAGUUAAGAUUUGUAAUUGACUUACUUUGCCAUCACUUCAUUGCAUUCUGUUUUCUUUCUUUCCUUCUUACAACGGCCUCUUGAUUCUCAGGAACAUAAAGGACAUUGCGCAGCUACGAGGCAGUGAAGAAUUAUGGGAAGUAGCCAAGCUGCAUAACCGUGAAUCUUCUUUCCCUGAGGUAAUAAUCGCACCUUAUCACCCUUGUAGACUCUUCUUUGCAUCGAUUGCUGCAUUUGUGUGGCAUAAUAUGGCUAUGUACACAUGGUCGGUUCUUAAAUCUAGAGAAAGAGAAGGUUGAUCUGGCUAAUAUCGCAUGCUCUGUUCUCCUUUACCGCCAGCAUUUGGAUUUAAAUAUCAAAUACUGUAAGAGGGUUUUCAGUUAUAGCGCUUUGGGUCCUAUUGCGGAAAACGGGGUAUAUAUUAUUAUAUACAUUACAUGAUCUGAUACGUUGUAUGGAUAGAUGAUAAAAAAGAGAUGAAUUCACGUAGCAAUUUUGUUUUUGCUCCAGGAAUUAUACGAGUCAAGGUACUUGAAGAGGAUGGAGCUGAGAAAAUGGUGCGAAAUCAACACAAAACGCAGAGACUUCCUAGACGUGAUUCCACGGUCGCUGCUUGACCUUGUUGAUAAGUGUUUGACUGUUAACCCAAGGCUACGAAUCGGCGCAGAGGAUGCUCUCAAGCACGACUUCUUUUAUACAAUCCAUGAAAAUGAAACCCUUAGAAAACAAAGGCUCCUAAAGCAGCAGCAAACGGGAACGCAGCCUCCAGUGGUGGCUAAUUCAGUAGGCCAACCGCUAAGCUAGAAAUCACAAAUGUAAAUUAAGUAAUAACAAAAUAUUAUAUGAAAGCUUCACUCCACAGGCCACACCACAAAUCCCAUAGUAGUAUAUGUCUAUAUGACUAGGGAACAUAUCAUAUUUGUUAUUAGAAGCAAGUCUAACUUCACUUGGGCCUUAAAUAAAUUUCGUGUUGGGAAUUGAUAUCAUUCAGUAAAAGUCCAAAAGUCUCUCGUCUGCGAAAUGGAAGAGAGUAAUGUCAAGUUUGUUUCUCACAGACUCACCCUAUGAAUUGCCGUGCAGCGUACGGAUCUUCUUAUUUUCUCUCAAUCUCUUCCUGUGACAGGAUUCUUCAUCACUAAUCUGCAACGAAUACUGGUUCACUUCCAUGGCGUCUUCUUCUUCUCGUUCCUGGAGAUACGAUGUUUUCCCGAGUUUCAGCGGUGAAGUUGUCCGCAAAUCAUUCCUCAGCCAUCUUCUGAAGGAGCUUGACCGCAAAUCAAUCAAUGCAUUUAUAGAUGAUGGGAUCGAGAGAAGCCGCCCGAUCGGCCCUGAGCUUUUAUCGGCGAUUAGAGAAUCGAGGAUCUCAAUCGUCGUCUUCUCAAAGAGUUAUGCUUCUUCCACGUGGUACCUGAAUGAAUUGGUGGAUGGAGAUCCACAAGUGCUAUAUGGAGUUUGACCAAAUGGUGAUUCCACAGCGUUGACCCUUCGGAAGUUCGAAAACAUACCGGAGAAUUUGGAAAGGUGUUUAAAGAGACAUGCGACGGCAAAACGGAGGAUCAGAAGCAAAGGUGGAUGCAAGCUCUCGUAGAUGUAGCAAAUAUGGCCGGAGAGGAUCUUCGGAACUGGUAUAAACUAUAAACCUUGUGUUAUCAUUCCAUAGUUCGUGUCGUGCAUUGACUUCGAUUGUGCUUUUAGGGCAGCUCUUUAAUGUCACAAUUUGUUAUUAGGUGUAACGAAGCCAGCAUGAUUGAAAAGAUAGCCGAUGAUGUUUCGAAUAAACUUAUCACAACAUCGGAUUGUUAUGGCGAUUUGGUGGGGAUUGAAGCUCAUUUAGAAGCAAUGAGCUCAAUAUUGUGCUUGGAAUCCGAGGAAGCUAGAAUGGUAGGGAUUUUGGGGCCUUCUGGGAUUGGUAAGAGUACCAUAGGAAGAGCUCUUUUCAGUCAACUCGCUAGCCAAUUCCAACUUUUGUAACUUAUAAAAGAACCAACCAGGAUGACUACGGCAUGAAGUUGUGUUGGGAAGAAAAUUUUUUAUCAGAGAUUCUUGGUCAAAAGGACUUGCAGAUAUACCAAUUAGGUGCGGUGGAGCAACGGUUAAAACUCAAGAAAGUUCUCAUUGUUCUUGACGAUGUUGAUGAUAUAGAGCUCCUAAAAACCUUGGUUGGGCAAACGGAAUGGUUUGGAUCCGGGAGCAGAAUUAUUGUGAUCACUCAAGAUAGGCAACUUCUUAAGGCUCAUGAGAUUGACCUUAUAUAUGAGGUGAAGUUCCCAUCUCAAGAUUCUGCUCUCAAGAUGUUAUGCCAAUCUGCAUUUCGGCAAAACUCUCCACCUAAUGGUUUAAUGGAAUUGACAGUUGAAGCUGCCAAGCUUGCCGGUAACCUUCCUUUGUGUCUCAGUGUCUUGGGUUCGUCUUUAAGAAGAAAGGACAAAAAAGAGUGGGAGGAGAUGCUGCCUAGACUCCAAAAUGGUUUGGACGGGAAGAUUGAGAAAAUAUUAAGAGUCGGCUACGAUAGAUUAGAUGGCAAAGACCAAGAGUUAUUUCUCUUCAUUGCAUUUGCAGGUUUAUUCAAUGGUUUGCAAGUCAGUUACAUCAGAUUAAAUGAUGUCAUUGAUGUGACAAUCAGUGUCAGUGACAUCAAAUGCUUGCUCGGAGAUGGUGUUACCACUGGGCUUACAGUGUUGACUGAUAAGUCCCUCAUACGUAUAACACCGCACGAAACUAUAGAGAUGCACAAUUCGCUACAGAAGUUGGCUAGAGAAAUUGGUCGUGCAGAGUCUAUAAACAAUCCUGGAAAACGACGAUAUCUGGUGGAUGUUGAGGACAUUUGCGAUGUUUUUACGGAUAAAACCGUAAGUUUUCUCGCAUAUGCUUUUAAUGCUCGGCUUUAUAAAAUUUAAGCGUUAUUUGGUGAUUGAUAGAUAAACUUUUACGAUUGUUCCCACCUGCUUUAUUUGAGCGCGGGGCUCAGAUGUCAUAAGGAGAAAAAAAAAAUCUCGCCUGCCAUAAAUCAUUGUGUAUUGACGUUUUUAGCCUUAAUGAACUGAUUAUAAAAUUAAAUAAAAUCGUUUAUUUUUAAAAAUAAAAAUAAAAGCUGCAAAUAAGCUUCUUCUUCCCCGAGUUAGGUUUCCGUACACAUCCGCCGCCGCCGCAGAGAGCUUGAUUCGAACCACCGUCGUUUGCUGGUGCCGGCUCAUUUUUUUUGUUUAACUACUCUUUCUUAUCCUGCCAUUUGUGUGAGAAGACUUCGAAAAGGUAUGGUGGUGUGUAUUUUGGAGAUUUAUAAAUUAGAGUUUUUUUUUGUUUGUUUGGUGGUCGUUUAACUAUGUACAUUGCCUAAGUUUGUUGUUUAUUGGUUAAGUUCUCUUCGAAUCGAUGUUAAUUUGUCGAUUUUUAGUGUUGAAUCUGUUUGGUAGAUGUGAAACGAGGAUGUGAAACCAAAGAUUUUAGCCAAGAAAGUUUGGGAAUUUAGAUAACUGGUACAAAAGGUAUAAGUAAAAGAUACGGGACAAGUAGUACAAAUGGUAGAACUGAUAAUUAUGGGACAACUAGUACAAGUCUCUGUUAAGACUGAUAAUGUGGGACAACUAGUACAAAUGUUAUAGUGAGAAAUUCGGGACAACUAGUAUAAAAGGUAUAACUGUGAAACGUAAUUGGUAAUAUUAUUUUUUAUUUGCUGCGUAUACCAGGAUAUAAUGAGCAUUGGCCACACCAACAUAAAUUUUGAGUAUGGAGGAUAUUAUUCACGGAACAAACGACCAACAGGUGUAACCCAGGAGUUUAGUUCAGGAACAAACGACCAACAGGUGUAACCCACGAAGAACUGGACAACUGUGUUUUUUUCAUCUAAUCAUGUUUUAGGACAUCUAGACAGCUAUGUACGUAUGUUGUCAUUUUCAUUUUUUUCAUAUGUUUAGAUAUCGGGAAAACUGGACAACUAUUACAACUAUGUUGUAUUUGUGAAGUACAAUUGACGUUUCAUAUGUUUGAAAUUGGGACAACUGGACAACUAGUACAAUUAUGUUGUAUUUGUGAGGUACAAUUGACGAAUCAUAUGUUUGAAAUUGGGACAACUGGACAACUAGUACAACUAUGUUGUAUUUGUGAGGUACAAUUGACGAAUCAUAUGUUUGAAAUUGGGACAACUGGACAACUAGUACAACUAUGUUGUAAUCAUAUGUUUGAAAUUGGGACAACUAGACAACUAGUACAACUAUGUUGUAUUUGUGAUGUACAAUUGACGAAUCAUAUGUUUGAAAUUGGGAUAACUGGACAACUAGUACAACUAUGUUGUAUUUGUGAUGUACAAUUGACGAAUCAUAUGUUUGAAAUUGGGACAACUAGUACAACUAUGUUGUAUUUUUGAUGUACAAGUGACGAAUCAUUUGUUGGAAAUUGGGACAACUGGACAACUAGUACAACUAUGUUGGAUUUGUGAUGUACAAUUGACGUUUCAUAUGUAUGAAAUUGGGGUUUAGUACAAACCCUAGACAACUAUGAAAGACAUCUAAAAUGAGGUUUUAAAGAAGCUUCAGAAAAUGGGAUAACAAAUUAUAAGUUUAGAGUCAUAAUAUUGGUUUGACACUAAACACUCCUUAUAAAACAAGAGAGUCUUCACUAAUACUCAUCACAUGAUGAUGGAUAAAUGCAAAUGUUUGGAUUUAAUCAAAACGGAUUAAUCAGGACUUUUUAAUUGUGGUAUGAAACUUCAAACAAAUAUGAACAACUACAAUAUGUGGUAUAUGGUCAUGGGUCAACUGGAAAUAUUUGAAAAAGCUUAAAGUACAACUCUUACAAAUAUUGGACAACAAUACAAGUACGUACAACUAUAUGAUAACCCUUAUCAUAUUAUAUUUGCACGUGAAGCACAUGUGUUUACUAUGGCGGCAAAAUAAUUAAAUAGUUUUUAAAAUCUCUUUUCUUUAAAUUGUUCUUCCUCAUAUUCUACUGAGAACUUCCUCCUUUUUUAGGGUUUCAGCCGCAGAGCAAUUUCACAAGAUUAAGAUAAUGUCGAAGAAGAAAUCUUCCUAAAAAAGACUGCCUUUCCGCCGAAGGAUUACGGCAUGACCACCAGGUGGGGGCCCGAAGUUAAUGGAGUCCGCACCAUUCUUCCAUGUCCCAUACAGAUGGGAAUUCCCAAGGUUUGCCACCACGGAAUUGCUCCAAUUGGCUGUUUAACCAACCAUUCAGCGUUAGAUAGGGGACGUAGGUACUUUGGUUGUUUUUAUGGUUGCCAUAGUUGAAGAGAUUAAAAUGGUAAAAGAAACUCAAGAGGAGAUGAAGUCUUUGUUUGAUGUCAUUAUCUCGAGAAUUGAAGCUCUUGAGGCUGCUGUGACCAAGAAGAGUUGCUCGAAGGAAGUUUGAAGCUCAAGAUCGUUUGUUGAACCUUGUCCUACAUCGUUGUCUUUGUUUCUUGAACCUUGUUGUCCUUUAUUGUCCUACAUCGUUUAACUAUGUUGUCCUUUAUUGAACUACAUUGUUAUCCUUUACUGAACUACUUUGUUGAACCUUGUUGUCCUUUAUUGUACUAAUUUGUUGAACCUUGUUGUCUUUUAUUGUCCUACAUCGUUUAACUUUGUUGUCCUGUAUUGAACUAUUUUGUUGAACCUUGUUGUCCUUUAUUGUCCUACACCGUUUAACCUUGUUGUUCUUUAUUGUCCUAAAUCCCAAAGAAUUGACCAUUAUUGUCCUAAUAUGUCCCAAAUCCAAACAAAUGUCCAAAUUCGAAUAUCAAACAUAAAAUCCACAACAUAAACUAAACAUCCGCAAACAACAUAACCUGUAACUUAAAAGAAAAACAUAACAUCCAGAAAACAAGAUAAACUGCAACAUCCGACACUUCUACUUCGAUAACAUCCAGUCUUCUGCUCUUGUUCUUCACCCUCCUGCUCUUGUUCUUCAGCCUCAUCCUCUUUUUCAUCAGCCUCCUGCUCUUGUUCUUCGGCCUCCUGCUCUUCUUCUUCAGCCUCAUCAUUUCCCUCCUCUUGUUCAUCAGCCUCUUCAUUUCUCGAAUCUUGUUCAUCACCCUCCUCCUUUCCCUCCUCUUCUUCAUCACCCUCCUCCUUUCCCUCCUCUUCUUCUUCACCCUCCUUUCCCUCCUCUUCUUCUUUGCCCUCCUCCUUUCCAUCGUCUGCUUCAUCACCCUCAGCCUCGUCUUCUUCUUCCAUGGGGUUUAUCGUUUCGGUUUCAUCUUCUGUGGGGAUUUUUUGGGCUGCGGUCUCCUCGAUAGGAUUCGGAGAGGUUUCUUUCUCCAUUUCUGUUUCUGAACUACAAACAUCUUCGCUUGUCUUUGUCGCGGCUUCGGUGGGAAUAGGGUUUACAACGGCUUGAGGAAUAUUUCCUUUCUCUUUAUCGGCGGCUUCAGGAUUUACUUCAGAUUCUCUCGCUGCGGCUUGAGAAUGCGAUUCCGUUUUAGGCAACGUUUUCCGACUUUCAGUUGACUCAUACUCGACGCCUUUUUGUUUCACACGAGUCAUGGAGAAGUCGUAACGAACCGAAGAUGGAGAAAUCGAUUAAAACGGAAGUUGUAGAUGGUGGAGUGGAAAUAAAACGAACGCAAUCGGUUAGCUUCUAUCAACACUCGCCGGAUUUUACGCCGGAAAACUCUCUCAAAUCUUUUUUCGAAUUUCAAUUAACUGUGUGGAGGUUUUUUUCCAAGAACUGAUAAAAUGGUAAAGUAAAUUAGGGUAAAUAAAAAGAAAUGCGAGUCGAAUCCGAUUUUAAUUGGGUAGGUUUUCAAAUGCCCAGAUAUUGUUGUAAUUAACGAGACAUUCAUGUAUAAGGUAAUAAACAACCAUCUUUUUGCUAUUUAAAAAAAAUUAAAAAGGAAUUGAUUAUACGAACGAUGGCAUUGGGGCUCUUUCUUCAGCGAUUUAUGGCAUUUUAGCAUUUGAUUCGCUUUAUUUUAACACUGUUACAAUUGUUUUUUUUUUCCUGUUAACUAACAGUUACAAUUGUUAAGAUAAUAGUUUUCGUGUGAUUUUUUUUUUCAGGGCACAGAAGCUGUAGUAGGAAUAUAUUUCGACACAUUAGAAAUCAAAGAGCCAUUUUCAAUAGAUGAAAAAUCGUUCGAAGGCAUGCGUAAUCUCCAAUUUCUAAUAGUUCGAGGGUCUCCACGGGGUAGAUUGCGUCUACCUCAAGACCUCGUUUAUUUACCCCGUAAACUCAUAUUGCUAAAGUGGGAUGGUUAUCCAUCCAAGUGUUUGCCUUGAACUCAGAAUGGAGAAUAGUUUGCUUGAGAAGCUGUGGGAAGGAAUUCAGGUACUAUAGUUUUAAAUUUAUUUCUAAGUUUCAUACGGUGUUACUAUUAGAACAAAUAACGGUCUUAUUUUUCUAUAUAUAUUGUUGUUAAAAGUUUAUAGAAUAUGUGUUCAAAAUGAUUUUGAACCUGUGCAUUUAUUUUUAUUUUCCUGUUUGUUUUCAGCCACUUGGAAGCCUCAAGCAAUUGAUUAUGAAUUGGUCCACAUAUUUGAGAGAACUUCCAGAUCUCUCUAAGGCCAUAAACCUCGAGAAAGUGUAUCUUGAUGGAUGCAAAUCUUUGGUGACAUUUCCUUCCUCGAUUCAGAAUCUCCUGAAACUGAGAGAUUUACAUUUGGAAAAUUGCACAGAGCUAGAAAGUUUUCCAACUCUUGUCAACUUGAAAUCUCUCGAGUACCUCAAUCUCCGAGGAUGCUCCCGGUUGAGAAAUUUCCCUCAGAUUUAUAUGGACAGUUCACAUGGAAUUAGCAUCGAAGUAAAAGACUGUUUCUGGAACAACAAUCUCCCUGGACCCGAUUAUCUCGGUGGCCUUAUGAGAUGUAUGCCUUGUAAAUAUCGACCAGAACAUCUCGUUCGUCUUACAGUGAAAGGCAACAUGCUUGAGAAGCUAUGGGAAGGCGUCCAGGUACAUUGUUAAUGUUUGAAUGUCAUAUGAUUGAAACAUAACAAAAUGUUUGGUUGUUCUGUUUCAGUCGCUUGGAAGUCUCGUGAGGAUGAAUCUGUCAGGAUCUGUAAACCUGAAUGAAUUUCCAGAUCUUUCAAAGGCCACCAAUCUGGAGCGUUUAGAACUCAACUAUUGCCAUAAUUUGGUGACUGUUCCUUGUACAAUUGAGAAUCUCAAGAAAUUGGUAAAGUUGGAAAUGAAAGGAUGCAUAAGGCUGGAGGCUCUUCCAACCGAUGUCAACUUGUCAUCUCUCGAAACCCUCGAUCUCAGUUGGUGCUCAAGUUUGACAAGUUUUCCUCAAAUUUCAUGGAGUGUGAAAAAACUCUAUCUAAAUGACACUGCCAUUGAACAAGUUCCCUGCUGUAUAGAGAAAUUCUGGAGGCUCCUUGAACUAACGAUGUGUCGUUGCAAGAGGUUGAAAAACAUCUCCCCAAACAUUUUCAGUCUGAGCCGUCUUGUGAAGGCAGACUUUUCAGACUGUGAAGGAGUAGAGACGGCAUUGAGUGAUGCAACUCCAGUGGCAACAAUGUCAACGGAGGAUCAAAUUCCUUCUAUACCAUUACACACAAAUGCCUAUAGAAGGGAAUAUUUUGAGUUCAAUAAUUGCUUCAAAUUGGAUAGAAAUGCGCGGGCACUCAUCCUACGAUCAUACGUGGCGCCUACAGUCUUACCAGGUGAAGAAGUGCCUGCGUAUUUCACGGAACAAGCUUCUGGAACUACCGUAGCUGUCAAGUUACCUCAGAGCUUUCUUUCUCAAGAACACCUCGCAAUUAAGGCUUGCGUCGUGGUCGGCAAGGGUUCGCAUUCAUACUUAGGGUUACGCUGGCACUUCAGAGGCGAAGAGCAUUGGGACACAAUAUUUGAAAAUCUGCCGGGGUCUUUUAAGAGGGAUCAUCUGGUUUUGCUUUCCUUCAAGUUCCGGCCUUCACUUCGUUUGGGUUUGAGUGACUUGAGUCCAACUAAUUUUCACUUCGACGAUGUUGAGUUUGAGUCUUCCACCAUCAACCCAUCCUCUGGCACCUUCUCACCGUCGGUCCAGAGGAUAACAGGAUGUGGUAUAAGAUUCUUGAAUCGGUCUACUACACGUCGUCGUCUAUCUAAAUUGGACUACUACUACAACGAUGUUGUCUCUGAGUUCUUCUUCAACCGAACAUUAAGAGAGGAUGCUGAGUACUUCUCUGGAAGAUGAAUCUGAUGAUGGAAGCUCUGGAACAGAGUACAACCAAAAAUCUAUACAAAGUUGUUAUCAAGAAAACAAUCUGUACAAAAUGUGAUGUUGUAGGGAUUGUGAGAAGAAAGAACGGAUGCGGGUAAAGCUUUUUGAACUCAAAAUUAUAAGGGUAUCUCUUGAUCUUUUUUUUCAGGAUCAAUAUCAUAGGUCCAUAGGGAUGAACUAUUUAAUAGACUAGAUCGUUUGGUUUUAUUAUGUAGAUUACAUUAAAAGAAUACAUGUGGGAUGUGGCGAUAAAGUAGCGGACACAGGUAUUGACGCCUCCAAAUAUAGAAUUUCUUCUACAAGUAAGAUACCGUUAGUUUCUUCUAGCAACUUUCAUGUCCAUGGAGCAUCCCUGUAUCUAUCCCUUUCUCCUUCUAUUCCAUGUCUGGAGGGGCAAGUUUUGUCUGUUGAUCCCCGAGAUAACUGAACAACUAGAUAUAUACAGAAACACUCACCGUGGAUCCUUUGUCGCACCCAGAGCUUACCAACUUUUUUUUACGGUAAGUGAAACAUCUUACAGUUCUGUUUUGUUCUAUAACAUCUUGCGAAUUGCGAUCGACCGUGGCUAUGCUGAUCUUGCCAAGACGUUUUCGUAGUUUUUUACGCAAUCCAUUUUUCCCUGCAGGUGAUGGUGAACUUCUCGAGAACCAGAACCUGUUUACGCACUCUAUUCUUACUUCUUUGUGUUACUGUUUCCCUCUUUGAGAAUUUCGCUUUUCAUGAAAGAAUAAACAUCUUUCAAAUAGCCACAAUUCAGCACAUUCUGGAAAAUUUUCUUUAGCAGGUUUUGUUUUGUACCAUAAAUCUAUCGGUUUUUAGUUGGAAAUUCGUUGAAUUUGUGAGCUUGGGUUUUACAUACUUGACUCGGGUAGUUUUUCUUUCCUUCUAACAAAGCAAUGAAUAAAUCAGGAUUUGGCCAAACUAAAAAUGUAUAAAAAAAAAUUCACUAGUUCUAAAUGGCAAGACCCUCUUCAUCAUCAGCAACAUUUGGAUCGCUGUUUCCAUGACGUUUCCUACACUCGCAGUAAAAAACAGUGACUACAACAUAACUCAGCACCACCUCAGCACCAUACAUACAAAUCAACUUCCACCCGUCUAAGCCACCGCUCACCACCACCGACCUCCACCACGACCCUGAGCUCGAGUCUACAUCUAGCUCCUUGGCCAGCUUCUCCAUCCCAUGACCAAUGAAACUCGAAAGAAACACAAAUACACCCGCCAAAGCCAAUCCAGUUAUCCUCCUCCCUUUCAUCAGAGAAUUUCCUUCCUUAAUCGCAUCAAAACCGUAUCUUUCUUCUAUCACAGAGACGACAAGGCCAAGCCCUGUUAUAGCCAUUAUGUAUACCUCAACGCCGAGACUGAGAACCGUGAUGAGGUAACGCAAUGUGGGUGUAUAACCCAAGAGAGCUGAUAGAAACAUGGGAAUCGGAGAGUAGAGGAAGAGCAGACCAUAGACAACAAUGGAAGUUGCAGUUACUCGCAUCCACGAGGACUUCACUGAUGCAAACGAUGACUUCAGAGACGUGUUUAGGCCGUUGUGUGAGAAGGAAGUUGAUGUGAUGACGGUUAUGGAUGCGAUACAGGAGAGGAUGAAGGACGGGACGAAAUAUCUGGAUUUGAGGUGUAGAAGCGAGACAGCGUCUUCUCUAGACUCUUGCCAGAUCUGUCUAGCUUCGAACCUUGUGUGCACGACGUUGGCCAGGGCUUCUAGACGGAAGACAUGGUUUUUAAGACGAAAGGAGGAGAGAGUUAGGGAGAGGUGUAAGGCUGCGAGAGGGAUUGCUACAAAGGCAAAGACUGGGAAUAAUAUGUGUUUGUUUCUCAAGAGAAUCAUGAAGGAGUCUAGGAGUGUUGUGGUGAUCCGCGUGGAAGAACCAGGUCGCUUUACUUCAAUCAUGAUAUCAAAAGGCACAUAGAAGCCUGCUGCUUAAAGCUUCAACCAAUGUUGGGACAACUCGAAACAGAGUAGAUACACUAUGCUUCUAGAGAAUGUCUUGUAUGAGGCCUGUGUAAACAAGAAAGCACAAAGCUUUUAGCAACUCAGAGAAUCAAUACAAGACUAAGUGCAUUGCAAAACCACAGUUUUCUCAGCAAAAAGAAUCACACUUAUCAGGUGGAAAUCACAGUUCCAUAUGAAAGAAUGACACUUUUAGCGAUUAUUCUAAUGACACUUAAACAAGGUUUGGUUCAAACAACAACUCCAGAGAUCAUACAUAGUUGACCGAAAUGUUAAGACUUUUUCUACACACCCCGGAGUUUUCGGAGUUCCAACAAGUUCGAGUUCAUUGAAGAAUAUAAACCAUAAUAUGAGUACGAAUUGAUGCUAUGUCGUCAAAUUAGAUCAAAUUCUGUGAUCUUGUGGACCAAACGUGUAUGAAGAAAUCAAACAAUCGACCGAGAUCAACUAGAAAUAACGAAUCCAGAACUAGAUUCUAUUUCCCAAACAACAGUCUCUAGAAAAAGGGUGAAUUUCGAUUCCCGAUCUAAAACUUGACGACUAAAUCCCAACUUUUAACAUUAGAACGGAAACAAUUAGGUUUAAUCCAAUCUUUUUUGCUUGAUUACGGUCUAUCUGAGAUCGAGACAAACCUGAAAGAUGCGAAAACACCGAUUGGUGUAAGAGGAAAUCCGAAGAAGUAUUGCUUGGAAGGAGAAUUCAUUGAUUUGAGAGACAGAACAAGUCAAUAAGCUUUGGGUUUUAAAGUUUAACCACUGUUUUAUAACUCAGUAAUUCUGUCCUUUGCGAAAAAAAAAGAAAAAAAAAACUCAGUAAUUCUGUCCUGAUUUGGGACAAUUUUGGAUGCCAAUUGCUUUUAUAAUGUUUUCGACCAAUAGAGUUACUUUACUAUUGGAUUACUAAUUAAUCAUUACUUAAUAAUGUUUUUUUGGUUAAUUGAGUUGUGAUGUUGAAUUAGUUAUUUAUCCACUAGAAAUUUCACAUUUUUUUAGUUUUUUUUAAUCAAAGACUCUAGAGUGAGGUAUCAAACAACAUUUUAUUGUAAAAUAUCAAAAUAGACAACUUUUUCAGACAAUCCUCUAUGAGGCUAUGAUUAUGAAUGUGUGUGACUGCGUGUAAUGAAAAAAAAAAACAAAAUACAGUAUACGAGGUAUAAAAAGAAAGAAUUGUCUCGACAACACAACAAAGAGUUUGCUUGCGGCACCAAAUCAUUGGAGUCUUCUUGGUAGUGAAAAGUUGUUUCCUUUCCCCAAAACUGAUUCAACCCGCAAAUGUGUUCCCUUCUCAUUGGAGCCAACAUUUUGCUUCUUGAACUCAGCUUCUUAACGCUGCUGACAAAUUCCAAAUCCAUCUCCGGUUUAGUAUUGUGACUAUUACUUGAGCAAAUCGAAACCGCAAUUGAACACAAGAUUCUAACAUUGCAGAGACAACUCAAUGCUCAUAUCCAGCAAGGUCUUUGGUAAUUCCUAAGUUUCACAAACCAAUGGAUUCAUAGACUGAGAGUCAAUUUCUGCAUCUAUAGAUGAAAUCGAAAACCAUCAAAAAAAUCAACCAAGAUGGUUUUUUCCAAUUUCCUCGGUUUACCUGAAUGAGAGAAGAGCCAGAGGAUUACGCCGCAGAGAAGAAGAAUGAGAGGAAUGAAAUGGAUGACGUUUUCUGCAGAUCUGAAUCGGGACUUCUCUCUCUUCCCCGGUUGAGAAUUCGGGUCGUACCUUGGCAAAAGCAGCUCCACAUCAUCUUCCAUAGCUGUAACGCUCUGAGAUCGAGGCGGAGACAGUGACGGCGUUGAAAGAUUCGCCGGAAACUGAUCCGAAACUCUUGAGCCACUUGCUGAUCUACGCAUCUCUCUCUCCCUAACGUAACUUCUCAAGUCAAAGGUCGAAACUUUUUUCACACAAUAACGCAUAUAAAUACUGUCGUCACGUCAGAUUUGACCAAUAGAGAAGAGUCAAAGCUCUUCUCUUUUUCACCAGUAAUCGCCACAAGAACAAGACCCAUCUUUGAAAUGGUGAAACCUUGUGGUGUCUCUCACCAUGAUCUCUCGUCUCUCUAUCUCCGAGAUAAAUUUGAUUGCUUUAUGGCAAUCACCACAGAUUCUCAGGUUCUUGAAAACUUGUAUCCGUGAACCUUCAGGGAGUUUUAAGCACCCAAAAGCAACAGCUAACUUCUCGCUAUGCCAUAACAAUAGUUUCUUUUUCUGCUCUUCCUCUACAUCGUGUAAAUCAAACUCCAGCUCUGGUAUGUAUCCAGCCAGCUCCAUCUUUUUCUCCAACUCCUUCAGUUUCUUGUGUAUUGACUCUAAUUCCGGGUGGAUCCGAUCACUUGAUCUGAAAUGGUGAACCUUGUUUCGAAUCUCGAUCCAACUGUAUCCUGGUACCUGAAACAAUCGAUUGAACACAUAAAAAGUCUUGUAAAGCGAAUAAAUAAUCACACCUUUUGCAAUCACCAUACCUUCACAACAUUGCUCUGCUUCAUUCUCUUACGAACCCUUGCAACGUCCUCCCAACGACUCAUCGAUGCGUAGAUAUUCGCGAGCUGCACAUACCCAGCUGCAUUACUCGGGUCAAGCUCAAGCAGCUUCUCGGCUGCGAAUUCAGCCAAUUCCACAUUCUUAUGCACCCUACAAGCCCCUAAGAGCGUCCCAAAGACUGCAGCGUGUGGUCUAAACGGCAUCGAUCGUAUCAGUUUCAACGCCUCGUCCAGCUUCCCAGCCCGACUCAGAAGAUCAACCAUACACGUGUAGUGAUCAGGCCGCGGUUCUACCCUGUAAUCUCUCACCAUCGACUCGAAAUGCUGCAUCCCAGUAUCCACUAAUCCAGAAUGGUUGCAAGCUAGCAAAACCGCUACAAACGUUAUCCAAUCCGGUCUGAUAUUGUCAUCUCUCAUCUCACUGAACAAACGCAGAGCCUUUUCUGCUCUACCAUGCUGUGCAUACCCGCAUAUCAUCGCGUUCCACGCGACGACAUCUUUCUUCCUCAUACCCUGAAAGAGCUUCCAGGCAUCACCAAGUUCACCACAUUUGCAGUACAUACUGAUCAGCGACGUCAAUGCGGUUAUCUCACUACACAAUAUAGAUUUACACACUAUCUGAUGGAUCUGCCUCCCUAACCGUAACGCAGAUAACUCGCUGCAUCCAAGCAAUACGCUGCUUAGACCUGACGGGUUAGGCCUAAUUCCAUCAAAAAGCAUUACUUUGAAAAGCUUCAAUCCAUCUCCUGGCCGAGAAUUUUCGACAUAACCAGAGAUCAUAGCAUUCCAUGUAACGAGAUUUUUCUUCACAGUCAUGUCUUUGAACACUGCCUCAGCUAAUUCAACCUUCUUGGCUUUCAUGUACCCUGUGAUCAUCGCCGUCCAGGCCACCACUCCUCUAACAGGAGCCGCUUUGAAGAAACGUGAUGCCAUUUCCAAAUCUCCGCAUUCUACGUAACCAGAGAUCAUCGCGUUCCAAGAAACCUCGUUCUUCUCCGUCAUGGCGUAGAACAAUUCCCGCGCUUUUUCCAUUUCCCUUCUCCGUGCAUACCCUGUGAUCAUCGUGUUCCACGACGCCGCGUCCUUGAAUGGAGCCCGAUCGAAAAAGCUCUGAGCUUUCUCGAAGUCUCCGUUACGAACGUAGCAAGACAACAUGAUGUUGUAGGAGAAAGUAUCUGGUUCAGGGAUUUCGUCGAACAGUUGGUGUGCUUCCUUCAAUCUGCUUGGAUCUUUUGAAAUCCCAACGAGCAGGGUGUUCCAGGUGACUGUGUUCUUAGCUCUCAUCCCGUGAAACACUCGGAGAGCUUCGUCUAUAUCUCCGGAACGUACAAAUCUGGCUAUAAUCUUGUUCAACGGGAAGAUUCGGUCUUGGUCACAAGGUUUAGUCGUCGUUUGAAGCGUCAAGUUAUCGGAGCGAACCAGAGAUGGCUCUGGCGAUGAACAAGAGGAAGACAAACAUGAUCCCACCAAAAUGGCAUCUGGGUUUUCUACGGAGCGCAAAAAGAAUCGAAAUUUCCAGCGUUUGAACGUCCGGUGAAUGUUGAACCGAGAAAGCAUUUUUCAUGGUUUAUGACAGAACAAGGAUGAAAAUGUUUAUAAAUCAUACCAAACAAAAAAAACCUAAAUUUGGAAUUUAACACCUAACAAUUGGGAGAAUCUGAGACAGAACUGAGUUCACUCUCAUUGUAAUAAACUGUUGAAUCAUCUUAUUGUUGAGUUAUUUCUAAUAAGAGACUUAUGUUUUAGAUUAAGUCAAUUGUUGUUUGCUAUUUUCUCGUUAGUGGUGGAACUAGUUGAACUAGUUGAGUCAUGUCCUUGUUUUACGGUUGUUUCAGUUAUUGUACUUUCUUUAUAAGGCAUUAAGGCCGAUGGAAUAAGAUCAGAUCAUUCUGAUGCAAUUUGUGAAUCCUUGAAACCAACUUUACAAUUGGUAUCAGAGCAAAAACACAAACGAGUGAUCAAAGAGAGAGCAAAAAAAAGGAGAGAGAGAAGAUGAGCGACGAUAAAACUCUUACCAAAAUUCCUUCAUUCAAUGGUCAUUACAAUCAUUGGAGUGAACUGAUGGAAAAUCUUUUGCGUGCCAAAGGAUUAUGGAAUCUGGUGGAAGAGGGAUUCACAAAACCGUCGGAGGGAGCCGAGAUGACCGCAGCGCAGCGGAAACAAAUCGAGGAACUCAAGGUGAAAGACCAUCAAGUGAAGCACUACCUGUUUCAAGCCAUUGAUCGGGUGGUAUUUCAACAGAUCUUAGAUCGCAGAACAUCCAAGAUCAUCUGGGAGUCAAUGAAGAAAAAGUUCGGAGGCAAUGAACGAGUGAAGAGAUCUCUCCUCCAAACCUUAAGAAGAGACUUUGAGAUUCUUGCAAUGAAGGCUGAUGAAAGCGUGGACGAUUACUUUGGCAGAGUAAUGUCCGUCUCGAACAAAAUGAGAAGUAAUGGAGAGGAUAUGCCAGAUUCGAAGAUUGUGGAGAAGAUACUUCGAACGCUCACUGACAAAUUCACAUACGUGGUGGUGUCAAUUGAGGAGUCCAAAGACACAAGCAGCAUCACCAUCGACAAACUGCAGAGCUCUUUGUCAGUCCAUGAGAAAAAGUUCAAAAGGACCAGCUAUGAGGAAGAUGAUCAAGCUUUCAAUGUCAAAGGCAGAGGAAGGGGAUCCUCCAGGGGUCGAGGCAGAGGGAGAGGUCGCUCCUUCAACAAAGCAUUGAUUGAAUGUUACAAGGGCCACAACCUUGGGCACUUUCAGUAUGAAUGUCCGCAGACAAACAAUGGUGCAAAUUACGCUGAGAUUGAAGAAGAAGAUGAAGUAUUACUGAUGGCGUUUGUUGAACUUCAAGGCACAAGAAGAGAAGAUGCUUGGUUUGUUGACUCUGGAUGCUCAAACCAUAUGUGCGGAGAAAAGGGUAUGUUCUCAAGUCUGGACACUGAUUUUACGCGUAACGUCAAGCUGGGCAACAAUCACAAGCUGAUGGUUGGUGGGAAAGGAGUAGUGAAGAUAACACUUAAAGGCAUCAGCUAUGUGGUUAACGACGUGUAUUAUGUCCCUGAAUUGAAGAAUAAUCUGUUGAGUGUUGGGCAGCUUCAAGAGAAGAGUCUGGAUGUGCUAUUCAAGGGAGGAGAACACAAAACCUGCAGCAUAUUUCAUCCAACAAGGGGAAAGAUAGCUGAGUCUGUCAUGAGUGCUAAUCGGAUGUUCAUUCUGCUGGGAGAAACAAGUGAGAAAAUGAAGGAAGAAAGAUGCCUGCAAGUUAACAUCUCAGACAAAGCUGAACUGUGGCACCAUCGAUAUGGGCAUCUCAGCCACAAAGGACUUCAUACCCUUCACAGCAAAGAGAUGGUUGUGGGUCUACCUGAACUUGCAGAGAUGAAGACCAUUUGUGAAGCCUGUGUCAAAGGGAAGAAGCAUCGUGUACCAUUUCCUAAGCAAAGCAAGUGGAGAGCAACUGAGAAAUUACAGCUUGUCCACUCAGACCUCUGUGGUCCGAUCAUCCCUCCAUCAAACAGUCAUAAGAGGUACCUGAUAAGCUUCAUUGAUGAUUUUUCCAGAAAAACUUGGAUAUACUUUGUGCAAGAGAAGUCCGAAGCAUUUCAAAUGUUCAAGAUAUUCAAAGCACUCGUGGAGAAGCAAACAAGGUUGUUUAUCAAGUGUUUAAGGACAGACAGAGGUGGAGAAUAUAAUUCCAGCGAGUUCAAAGAAUUCUGUAAGGAGAAUGGGAUCAGAAGGCAGCUAACCACAGCUUACACUCCCCAGCAAAAUGGGGUUGCAGAGCGCAAAAACCGAACCAUUAUGAAUAUGGUGAGAGCAGUCUUGAUGGAAAAGGAGGUGCCUAAAUCUUUCUGGCCGGAUGCUGUGCAGUGGGUAAACCAUGUUUUGAACAGGUCUCCCACCUUGAUUGUUAAAGAUGUGACUCCUGAAGAGGCAUGGAGCGGAAGAAAGCCUUCGGUCGAGCACUUCAGAAUCUUCGGAUGCAUCGGGUAUGUUCAUAUCUCCGAUGUAAAAAGGACCAAACUUGAUGAUAAAAGCGCAAAGUGUGUCUUGCUAGGCUUCAGCAGCGAAUCCAAAGCAUACAAGAUGUAUGAUCCAGUGGAGAAAAAGGUUCACAUUAGCCGAGAUGUGCUAUUUCAAGAAGACAAGGGCUGGAAUUGGGAUGUUGCUUAUUCGGGUGAACAGAACAUGGAGCUUGCGUGGGAUGAUCAGUACGAGUGCAGUGAAAAUCAAGAAAUAGAAGAAGAAGAAGCAGAGGUAGCUGAAGAUGAAGCAGAAGAAAGAACUAAUGUUCCUGUGCCAAACAAUCUAACUGCAGACACAUCAACGUCUGCAGGCAGAACAAGGAGACCACCUGUUUGGGCUGCCGACUUUACCUCAGGAGAGGAGCUGUCAGAUAUGGAGGAAGAAGCAAAUAUGGUCAGGGUUGAUAGUCUCGACAGCACAAUCUGACAUUUAUGGCAUUGAUAGUCAGAGGUAGCUGAAGAUGAAGCAGAAGAAAAAACUGAUGUUCUUGUGCCAAACAAUCUAACUGCAGACACAUCAACGUCUGCAGGCAGAACAAGGAGACCACCUGUCUGGGCUGCCGACUUUACCUCAGGAGAGGAGCUGCCGACUUUACCUCAGGAGAGGAGCUAUCAGAUAUAGAAGAAGAAGCAAAUAUGGUCAGGGUUGAUAGUCUCGACAGCACAAAUCUGGCAUUUAUGGCCAUCUCAGAUCCUACGAGCUUUGGAGAAGCAAGUUAUAAAAUGAUUACUUUUAUAACAUCUCAGAAUACGAACAGAAACGAGAAAGGAAGUGAAACUCACUGAAGACUCGAAACCGAUGAUAACAUUAGAAUUGUCUGUCUGAAACAAGUAUCAUAAAUAAGAAAACAACAAACGACUAAAGACUAAAUGGUAGGUAAACAAAGGAAAAAAAGAGUGUAUUGUUGUUUCAAAAGUAAAAAAAAAAACCGGUCAGGCAUAAGCUUGCAUAAAAUCUAAGAAACUGACGACAACUAAAAAUUUACACCUGACAACAAAAGACCGGUAAACAGUAAAUCAUUCAGACUCGAUUUCAGCAGCGGAGGAAAACUGGAACGAGUUUCGAUGUUUUCAUUGGAUGGAUCUUACUUGCCCCCAAGAGAUGGGAACUGAGCAGUAUCUCCAAUGACAGGCGCAGCUUCACUACGGUGGCCACCAAAUCCGCCGCUAGAAGCACCUCCACGGCCACGACCACGACCACCACGUUCACGGCCACCACGACCUCCUCCUCGGUAGUAGUUCUCACCCUCAGCUGGCUUCAGAAACUCAUUGAUGCUCACAGCCUGCAAAUCAGAAACACACAUUCAUAAGCAAAAAAGCUUAUUGACUUCUACAAAAUAUUUUUGAUUCAGAAAACGAUUUGAACCUUUUUGGCCUUCUCUUCUUUGUCAUCUUUGCGUUUGUCCUUGUCAGAACCCUGUGAAAUAGAUCAAAGCAAGGGUCAGAAUCGUCUAAGCAAGUAGAUUCUAUACACGAUAUUGUCUUACCAACUUGAUGAAGAUUUCAUCGUUAGACUUCUUGUUUGAGAGUUGUUGCAUUGAUUCAAACACUUUAGUAUCAACUUUCCUCUCGGAGGUGGUCUGAGAUUGAAGGGCCUUUUUCUUCUCCUCAAGGAUUUUCUCAUACUCAUCCAGAGUCAUUUCCUAAUUCGAAACACAAGCCAAAACACAAUCAAUGUGAAUAACAAGUAAAUACUGGUGAAAGGGCCUAAUAACUACAACACUGAUUUCAAGUUCCAUCAUCUAUUCUCGGCUUACCUUGUUCUCAGGCUCUUUCUCCUCCUCAGCUUCAGCAGUGUUCUCCUUGUUAGCAUCAGCAGCUACAUCAUCACCAGCAGGCUUCUCCACAGCAUUCUUUUCAGUCUCAGCACCAGCUACUUCCUCAGUCUCACUAAAAGAGACAAGAGAAUCUUCUUUUAGUCCAAAUUCCAAAUUCUUAUCACAUAAACCAACACAAAUGUUUUUACAAAAUGCAAUCAAUCCCAAAAACAAAUGCUUACCCAGCAAAGACUUCUUCUCCUGGUGUUCCCCAAUUUCCACGACCAGAUCCUUCACGUUUGAAGUCACCCCUAACCAAAAGAUAAACUUAAGCUCAUGAGAAUUUCAAUUGCAGAACAUGCCACAACAACAAUAAAAGUUGAGCGAGAGUAAGACUAACCCCCUGCCAGUUCCACUGCGACGCUCGUGCGUCCUUCGAGGACGUUCGCCUUCACCAUCUUCACGUCGACCACCACGGAAAGAACCACGAGGAGCACCUCCACCACCACCACGCCUCUCAUAAGAAGACUUUGACACGUCUCCUUCCUCUGAGGGCUUACUGUAUCCCCCUGAGUAUCCAUUGUUACCUCCGGGACCAUCACCACGUCCAAAAUCACGGUUGUAACCACCAGGACCUCCACGACCACGGCUAAACCCUCCGCUGCCUCUACCACCACCACGUGGAGCUUCACUCCUAGCCUCUUUCACUAAUUAACAACAUUAAGGUACCAACCUCAAUCAACUAAAACAACGAUACAAAACUCCAAAAAUAAAUUCAAUGAAUCAAUCUAGAGAAUCUAAUAUAACAACACAUACAGUCUACUAAAUAAGGAAAUCGAAUAGAUGAGAAGUUUUAUAGUUUGCUAAUCGUGUUUAAGAGAAUCUCACCAGCUUGAGCAGGAGGAAGUGGCUUCGACGGAAGCUUCCCAGCAGCUGAAAUGGGACCAGACUUCUUGGACUUAUCAGUUUUCUCCGGUGGAGCGAUGGAGACGGCGAGCUGGCUUGGAUCCUCAGCGUCGUUACCCAACAGAUCAAAAGGGUUCAAAGUUGCCAUAUCUUAAAAUCAAUCGAAGUGAUUAAAACACACAAACUUUUUUCCUCCCCAAAAGUAUCACACAGAGUCACAGAGACAACUAACAGUAGUAAUAAAGUGAAGCCAUGGAUUAAUAGAUCUAAAGAGUAGAAAAGAAACGUCGGAAUGAAAGAGACGAAAUGGGAAUUAGGACAGGAACUAAUUUGAGUUUGGUAAGAGAAAUGAAAAGAAAGAAAAUGUGGCAAUUUUUGGAGUGGCCGAAAAGCGGCGUAGACAAACCUAAUCGCUUAAAACACCCAGCUUUUCUCACUGAUUGAGUGUGGUCGACCGCAUGGUAAGAUUGAAAUGACCGGCAAGAUCUAACCGUACGAUGCAGCGAUCCUGAAAUCGACAAGAAAACAAUACAUAACUCAACAAGUCAUUAUUUGAGCAAACAUGUUAUUCUUCCAUGGGCCAUUUUUAGUAUUGUUUGAUCAUAUAGGCCCACGAAAAAUUGAUACUUUUUAUUUUAUUAUAUUUUUGCAUUAUCAAAUGAUCUUUAUACGAUCUUGAUAUGUCUAGGACUCUCAAAUCAAUGUCGACAAAAAAAGAUAUGUCUAGGGCUCUAGAGUCUACAAAAGUUUUUGUGAUUUGAAUAACUUCUUAUCUUCUUAUCUAACAUAUACACAACAAACAAAAAAUAUUGUGAUAUUCAAAGAAGUCUUAUGUUUGUAAAUUAGUAAUACUACGAUCGUUUACCUUCUUGGCUUCCAUGCAACGCCAAAUUUCUAUUUAUAACAAAUGUCAAAAGACUCCAAAAUAUUACACAGUAACACAACUUCUAUCAUUUGCAUUUAACAUGCCAAUGGCGAUAAAUAAAAAGCUUUUAUUCCAAAUAGGAACAAACAAAAUAGUCGGCAAACUAAUAAUAACAAUUAGGCUUGUCGGCAAAAAAAAAUACAUUUUUUCAAAAGUGCAUAAAGAAAAAGAAAAUUAGAGCUCUGUCAUGACGACGGACUAGGCAAAACAUCUCCGUUAUCAGGAACAGUAGUAAUACGGCUAAGUCUCAAAGACUUUCCAGUGUACAAAGCCUUGACGUUUGACCGUUGCUCAUCCAAAAGCUUCCUCAAACUACGUUUCGCGUUUGCCCUAAACGGACAGUUCGACGCUAAAAAACCGUCGACCAAAUGCAAAUACGCCUCCAAGUCAUGACAGCACGCCACGUCAGCAUUCGGUUUCAAGUACGGAGACAUCUUCAUAUCUACGCGCAGCUCCGCUCCCACGUGCGAGUAAGCCCAUGGAUUGUUCUUCUCCACCAUCUCCAUUAUUAUACCCCCUUGACUUCUCCCGUUAUUACGAUUCUGCCCUUGCUUAUCGUUAUCGGAGAAUAUCCCGGGGACUUUCGUCACCACGUCCUGGCUGUUCACUACGCGGAGGACUUUCACUCCCUUCGAAUCCAACCGAUCGGCGAACUCCCGGUUUCCGACUCGAGGCCCGCCGAAUGAAAACACCGACACCGGAGGCGCGUGUGGAACACGCUCGGCUAUGUCGUCGGCGGCGAGGAGCGCAAUGGCGGCGCCGAGGCUAUGUCCGGUGACGCUGAUGCUCAGCUCCUCUCCGGCGUAUAGAUCGACGAGCCGGCUGAUUUCUCCGAUUAAUGACUCGGCGAGGCUCGGCGCUUGGUGGCUACCCGUCGUGUAGAGGCUGUUGAAUCCGCAUUCCACUUUGGGCCGGGUCGGGUCAGAUGGAUCGGGUUUGGGUUCGGGCAUGGAGACGAGAUUCGGCCUGAAAUUUUCUGACCACUCGAGCAACGUGGCGGUUCCACGGAGCGCGAUGACGAUCUCCCUCCUCCCCAUCCGUCGGAUCUCACUCGGAUCAUCGCAGACCGCCACGUACCCAACCCAGCUCGUCUGCUUAGUCAUCCACCGUAGAUCUGGUGCCACCUCAUCAAUCCACUUAGGCAAACGAACGGAUGACGUGGCGUAAAGACUUUUUGUCACUUUAUAAGACCCGUCAGGUAACGCCACGUGUCUCGGCGAACCUUCCGGGUCAGAGUGAAACGCUUGGUAAGCCGCCUGCACGAACUCUCCGUACCGGACAAGCUCUCGCCGGAGAUUCUCGUCUAGCGGAUCCAGUAACCCGGCCCAGUUAUUCGACCCGUGUAGUUCCCGCCAUUUAGACCCGAGUUUAUUCUUCGGCGAACGCUCCUCCGAUGACUUGGAGAGAAGCCUUUGGAGACGCUUGAGAUUCUUCGGCGACAUUUCGUCGACGGCUGCUUUCAUCUGAGGCCAGAUUCGCGCCAAAUUCAAACCUUUGAGUAAUGUCGACGUCGACGUCUUCGUUUUAUCUUGACGAGAAGAGACACUGUCGAGAUUAUCUGUAAAGGUCGAUGAGGUCUUGAGAACAUUCUCAAGGUUCAUGAGAUGUUCUCUGUUGGUUUUUCUCGCCGGAAAAACCGAAAGUGUCUUCGUCGGGAUCAAAGUCGAUGUUUGUGUGCUGCAAGUGAAACGACGGCGUUUUGCAUGGAAUAAGUCGGUGUUCGGCGUAAGUGUCUGCAUGAGAAAACUGUGGAGAGAGGUCUUGGCUCAAGUUUUGAUGAGACAAGAACAGAGAUGCUUAAGAAAGUAAAAGGUCUGGUAUUUAUAUGGAAACAUGUCGAUGGUGGCUGUGACGUCAUUUGAAUUAGGAUUGAGCCUUGAAUAUUGAAUGUUAUUACCAUUUUGACCCUCUGUUUUGACUUGACUUUGUUUUUAUUUGAUUUGUUUAUUUCCUUUCUGAUUGUAAGGAAUAUUGAAAUUCUUAUUUAGGACCGUAUUGGCUGGCCAUUGUUUAUAUUUUGGACCGUUUCCAUUAUAAGUCUCCGUGUGUUUUCAAGAAAAGUCCUGCUAUUUUUUCUUUGCACAUGCAAUCAAGCUACCAAAGGGCCGGGUACUUCGAUGGCAGUACGUAUUGUGUAUUCAAUAAUGUAAUUUUAACUAUUAAAAAAAAACCUCAAACUAAUUUCAGGAUAUACAAUUACGGUUUGAAUUGUUAUUAGUUACUUGUGGAUACUGUUGUUUUGCCGUUUUGAUGGACGAGUCUGACUUAAAAGUAGUUACUAGAUACGUGAAAUAGAUAGACAGUAGAAACAUGUUUUGGUCUAUUGUGCCGUCUUCCUAGUUACUAUGAUCGUUGGAUAUAUUGUUCUAUAAAAGGUACAGUCCGAAUAGUAUAGAAAGGAACCCUCUUUUCUUGAUAUAAGAGAUGGCAAAACUCAAUUGGUUUUAUGCUGUGUGCUUAAAGUUAACGCAGUAUAUUCUGACACGCCACUUCUAAAUAUCAAUUUCGAAGACCGGUUUCCGAAUUUUAAGAUUUUUAAGUUUGAUUUGCUAUGAUUUUUAGGUCACUCUCCAAUUAUAUGUAAUAAAAGAAUGUGUGUUUUAAAAACUGAUGAAUUUAAAGAUUGUGAAAAAAAUAUUAAAUUCAACCAAAUCCACCUAAUAUAUAUCCUCUUGUAUAGAUUGUUUAUGAAUCGGUUAUAACUUAAUAAUAAAGAAUGCCUCAGAUUUUUGGUCUACCAUAACAUUCUAACAACUAAUAAUAUAACAGAUUAAAACAAUUGUAAACCAAACAAUAAAUACACCGCGUAAAGCAAAUAGCGUAGGAUGUAAAGUAUAUAUAAAUUUUGACGAAAUAAAAGGACUAUAAGUUCUGAGUUGGUCAAUCUCAAUUCAGUUUAUAAUUUAUUUCUUUACCAUCGGUUAUUGUCGGUAUGUACGAACUAUAGGUGUGUGCAUUUGAAAAACAACAAGUUUAUGUGUGAAAGUGAUAAAGUUAGUGCAGUACCGUUAGAUAACCUUGUACCAACUUACCUUGCGGUCAUGGUUUUAAGAUUAUUGCAUUUCAAACAAUUAUAGUUAUUUACGUUCCCCGUUUGGAGACGGGAUCAAAAAGUUAUAUAUAUACAUAAAAAAAUCUUUAACAAAAUUAUAUUACUUAUGAUAGAGUUUCCAUUUUCCAUAUGAAUUGUUUUUAACUUUGCAAAUACUGCUUUACAAAAUAAAAUUUAAUUUGCAAGGACUUUGAAGUAUGAUCAAUCAUCGAUGUACUUUAUCUUGUCAAAUGCCUGAUAAAAAAAAACAAUAGAUUGCAAGACCACAUGACAGUACCUAUUACAAACGAUGAGUGAUGAACAGAAAUGGAUCAAGCUCAAUCGAUCAUGGAGAAGAUGAGCUCGAGAGAGAAAGAUGAGAAGAAGAUAUUUUGGGAAAAUUUCUGUUAUUUCAUUAAAGGAAAUGUACAAGAGUUAUAUACAAUUGUUGUGUGAUACCCGGGACAAACCGGUUAACUAUUUACAGAUAGUAUUUACAAUAACCAACUAAACCAAGGCCUAAUAUCCCCUCUCAAGAUGGCGCAUAUAUGUUAAUCACAGACAUCUUGCUUAGUAGAGACUCGAACUGAGUUGGAAAUAAUGGUUUAGUGAGGAGAUCAGCGAGUUGGUUACCUGUACGAACAUGCAGAGUUUUAAUUAAGCCCUUGUCAAUCUUUCCUCUAAUACUGUGACAAUCGCGUUCAAUGUGUUUGGUACGUUUGUGAUAAACGGUAUUGUUAGCGAUGUGGAUAGCUGAAGUGUUGUCACAAUAAAGAGAAGAAGCUUCUGAAACAUCGACCCAUAGAUCUUCCAGGAGAUAGCGUAGCCAAAUCAUCUCCUUUGCUGCAUAAGCUAAUGAUCGAUAUUCAGCCUCACUGGUGGACAUGGCAACAACAUCUUGCUUAUUCGAUUUCCAUGAGACCAGAGAAGUACCAACGAACAUGCAGAAGCCUGAAACUGAUCUGCGUGUGUCUGGACAAGUUGACCAAUCAGAGUCGGCAAAACCAGAUAGUUUCAAGUCAGACGUAGCAGAGUAAAAGAGACUCUGUCCUACGGUACCCUUCAAGUAAUGCAAGACCUUGUAAGCUGCAUUAAGAUGAGGAACACGAGGAGAGGACGUGUAUUGACAGAGUUUAUGGACUGCAAAGGUAAUAUCCGGGCGAGUAAAUGUCAGGUAAAGUAAUUUACCGACCAGUGUUCUGUAUUGUUCUGCGUUCUCCAGAAGAUCACCAUCAAUUUUGGACAGUUUGAGAUUUGGCUCCAUCGGAAUAGAAGAGGGUUUACAACCAAGAAGGCCAGUCUCAUCCAACAACUCAAGAGUGUAUUUUCGUUGACAAAGAGAGAUGCCAGAAGAGUUACGAGCAAUCUCUAAACCAAGAAAAUAACGCAAUUCUCCCAAAUCACGCAGCUUGAAAGAGCAUUGUAGAGCAUCCUUGAGAAGUGCAGUGGCGAUGAUAAUAUCGUCCACGUACACAAGAACAGCCAUAUAAACGUUACCCGCAUUUCUGAGGAACAGAGUGUGAUCACCUGAAGACUUAUGAAAACCAAGGUCGAGCAAAGCUUCUGAAAACUUCAAGAACCACUGACGGGAAGCCUGUUUAAGACCGUACAGGGAUUUUUGGAGCUUGCAGACAGCAUUAGGUGGCAGCUCUUCUCCUCCACGAGGAACAUAACCAGGAGGUAAAGACAUGUAAAUCUCUUCUUUUAAAUCUCCAUUCAAGAAGGCGUUAGAAAUAUCCAACUGAGUAAGAGACCAACCCUUUGCAGCAGCAACAGCAAUCAAGAGUUUAACAGUAGAAAGCUUGGCAACUGGUGAAAAGGUAUCGACAUAGUCAAGGCCUUCCUGUUGGGUAUAACCCUUAGCAACCAAACGAGCCUUGUAGCGCUCAAGACUCCCAUCAGCAUUCAACUUGACUUUGAAAACCCAUUUACAACCAACAGGCUUUUUACCUUCAGGUAAAGAACAGAUAAUCCAUGUUCCAUUGUCUUCAAGCGCAGUUAACUCGAUUCCCAUAGCAUCACACCACUCCUUAAGAUCCUUAGCCUGUUUAUAAGACGUUGGUUAUAGGAUCUUAUUCACAGCAUUAAUGAAGAUCAGAUAAGGGUCAGACAACGCAGAGUAGCAAAGGACCUCAGAGAGUGGAUGUUGAGUGGAAGAAUCAAGAGAAUAGCAAUGAUAGUCUUUAAGAUAAGAAGGAGGUUUAGAAGCUCUCGUACGUGUAGUAUCAGGUACAGCGUCUGAAGAUGUACCAGGUGAGGAAUUCUCCGUAUGAUCAGGGUGGACCACAGGAAAGAAAUCCAAAACAUCAGGAGAGAGACUUCCCCUCUGUCUAAAAGGAAACAAGUCCUCGUAGAAGACUACAUUGCGAGAGACAAAGACUGAAUUACUCUGAAGAUCAAGCAGCUUGUAACCUUUGUAUCCCGGUGGAUAUCCAAUGAAAACGCAGGCACAAGCUCGAUCUUGGAACUUGUGGCGAUGUUUAGGUGAAGUACUGACAUAGCAGAGACACCCAAACGUUUUCAGAUGAGUAUAUUCAGGCUUUUUGUGAAGAAGCAUCUCAAAUGGAGUUCUGUUGGAAAGGACCUUGGAAGGAGUCCGAUUGAUGAGAAAAACAGCUGUGAGAACACAUUCACCCCAUAGAGAGAGAGGCACUUGAGACUGAAACAACAAAGAUCUAGCAACAUUCAGGAUAUGCUGAUGCUUCCGCUCAACAACCGAGUUUUGUUCAGGCGUCUCUGGACAAGAAUGGUAGGAAACGAUGCCCUUUUUUUUGUACAAAGAAUCAAAUUUUAAUUCAGGUGCAUUAUCAGAUCGAACACCUUUUAUCUGUGCAUCAAAUUGUUUCUCAACCAUUGCUAUGUACUCAGGAAAGACUGUAAGAACAUCACUCUUUAAGCGCAUCAAGUAAAUCCAAGUGACCCUUGUGUGGUCAUCUACUAUUGUCAAAAAAAUCUUAAUCCCUCCUGUGUUGGUUCUGAGAAAGGCCCCCAAACAUCAAUGUGAAGCAAUUCAAAUGGAGAAGAACAGAAGUUGUGACGAGUAGGAAAAGACAAUUUCUUUUGCUUAGCACGAUGACAAAUAUCACAAUGCAGUAAACCCUUAUUUUUGGCUUUGGAAAUACCAAGUUCAUCCAUACGAAGGUCUAAACGUUCAAAAGAAGUAUGGCCAAGCCUUUGAUGCCAAACAGAUGCAUCAAUUACAGAGUUGUAAGAAAAGAAGUAGAAACAGGUUCUGCAGGUGCUGAAUCAUCCACAUCCAACACGUACAGAUUAGCUACCCGUCUACCGCUUCCAAUCGUCGAGCCCUUGAUACGAUCCUGUAUCAGACAAGAGUCAGGAUCAAAUAUCACUCGAGAGCCCAUAGCCGAUGUCAAAGCACUGAUACUCAACAAAUUCAGGCAAAACUCAGGUAUAUACAGAACAUUCUUCAAGACAAUAUCAGCAUUGAUUACAACACCACUGACUUUAACUGUAGCUCCAUUAGGUAAGUUCACAUGAUGCUGAACAGCAGUAUUAAUAUCACAGAACAGCGAGAUAUCGUGUGAAACAUUAUGAGUUGCACCAGAGUCAAUAAUCCAGGUUUUAACAGCAGUCACACAUUCAGUAACAUUAAGAAUACCGAUGAAACUGAAUGUGAAGGAUGAGAAAGUAAUACCAGAUGGGUUAUUGGCUUGAGAACUCGUACUUGCAGAAGACACAUUAGUGGAAGGAGUAUGUGGUUUCGGCUGUAGCUGAGAACUGAAGAAAGCAAUGAAAUUAUGUAUCUGAUCCUUAGUCAUGCUUCCAACAAGGCUAUCCAAACCUGGCUCUGAUACCAUAUUACAAACGAUGAGUGAUGAACAGAAAUGGAUCAAGCUCAAUCGAUCAUGGAGAAGAUGAGCUCGAGAGAGAAAGAUGAGAAGAAGAUAUUUUGGGAAAAUUUCUGUUAUUUCAUUAAGGGAAAUAUACAAGAGUUAUAUACAAUUGUUGUGUGAUACCCGGGACAAACCGGUUAACUAUUUACAGAUAGUAUUUACAAUAACCAACUAAACCAAGGCCUAAUAGUACCAGACUAGACUUUCUUUAUAAGAAAUCUUUGUACAAUUUAUCUAACAAUACAAACAGAAACAACAAGUUUAGUGAAAUUUUCUUACAUGAUAUUGCAGAGUUAUAUAAGUGACAUCUACCGUCCAAACUUAACAACCUUUCAAGUUUCAACAUACAAGAACUUCCAGAGUCGUAGAUUUAUAUACUUCGUGUAUUUCUAAAGUUUAAUCACAAAAGUGCAACUCUUAUUAGCAAUAGUAAUUCAAUCGUUCGUCUACAAAUGCGAAACAUUAAUACAAACUCAAAUUAGAGUUUCAUGGACUACAUAUAAUGUAUACAGUAAAACCUCUAUAAAUUAAUAAUGUUGGGACCAUGAUAUUUUAUUAAUUUAUCGUGAUAUUAAUUUAUCUAUAAAUUAAUAAUUAUUAAUUUAUAGAAAAAAUUGUUUUUUGCAUAUAAUUUUCUAAAAAUUUAUUUAGAAUAAUGUUAUAUUUUAUAAUUUUAACAAAUAUCAUAAUAUACAUUAUGAUUAAAAAUCAUAACUAUCACAAUAAAAUAAUUUUCAGUAUAUUAGAUUGUCCAUAAAAAAUAUACAUGUUCAUAAGUUUAAAAUUUAUAAAAAAAACUAUGGUUACUAUCAGUAUUAUUGAUGAUAAAAUUGAAGAUAAUACUACAAUACAUUUACAAAUAUUUACAUGUAAGAAAAUCAGUUAUCACAUCAAAAAAUCAUCAUAAAUUUUGAAUGUAUAUAGUAAAACAGCAAUAAAAGUUACUAAUAUAAUAAUUAGAGAGAUGACUUUAACUAAAAACAAACACAUUAGUCAUAUUUUAAAAUAUUAAAUUUAUAUAUAUUUGCAUAAAAUUAUAUAAUUAUUAAUUUAUGUUUUUGUUGGGACCAUGUAUUUACAUAAGGGUUUCAAAAAAAAUUAUUAUCUUCUUAUUUUAUCUAAUUUGAUGGAUUUUUACAUUGACCCGACUUGAAACCAGCAAAAUUUAUUAAUUUAUAGUGAUUAUUAAUUUAUCGAGUAUUAAUUUAUAGAGGUUCUAAUGUAUUUAAGGUAUGGAUCCCACGUACUAUUUUUAUAAGUUUACAAAAAUCAAUUCUUCGUAAACGUAUGACUCACAACUACAACAACCUGGCGUCACGCCUCAGUACGUAGUUUAUUAAAUAAACAGGUCAAAUAUUUAUGUUGCAUUCAAUACCAACUGCACAGGAAAAUAUUCCCAUAUUCAUGCAUGGUAACUCGUUCAACAAAUAAGAAUAAACUUACGUAAGCAUUACCACCCAACCAACAAAUUAAAUCUGGAAACAUGUUUGAAGUUUUCAAAUCACAUACUAGACAUUUCAAAUAUAUGAUCACCUUUUCAACAACUGUAGUGAAGUACUGAAAUAAAUAUAUACUUUAUUUUACAUGUCCUGUUAUUUUACAAUAUUUAGAUUUACAUUGUCAAGAAAAAAAUAACGUUCUUUGUUCUUUUGUUGGGCAUGGCUCGAUGCCUCGAUGGCUAGAGGAACUCUCAACUAAGCGUGUUGAACCGUUAAGGUUUGCCAUCCAGCUCAGCUGUAUUAACGACACGUGGAAAAGUCAGACCCAUUGAUUCAACAUUUGACUAAACUUCUACAGUUCUACUGUUCCGACUUACGAAUGUAUAGAGAAUCGCAGCCGCUUAAUGGGCCUCAUUGACUUAUUAGCCCAUAAAUGUCUUCGUGUAAAAUAUAUGUGCACAAAAAAAUGAAAAAGACGUUGUCAAGAAAGAAAAAAUGAAAAAGACUAUACAAUCUUUUUAACUAAGAAAUCUCAUUCUUUGUAUACAUCGAAACAGAGACAGAAAACACAACAAUAUUUGCUUUUGAGUUAUAGAAUGAUUUAAGAAAUUAUUAUUGUUUUGGGAUAGUUUUUUAUAUGACUUUAUAUAUAGAUAAAUAUCACAUUUAUGUUCAAAAUCUGUUUAUAUUAACAAACUGGUUUAAGAAAGAUAAUCUAAAAUAUAUAGCAUAAAAUAAAUUUGAAUUACCCUUAAUUUUUUUUGGGGUAAAAUUUACCCAUAGUUAUAGAAAAGUAAAUACUAUGGAUAAACUCGAAACUAGUAAACUUAUCAGGUAAGUAGUCUUCAAUCACGUGUCUAUUCACUAGAGAUUUCUCGGAAAAAAAAAAUUCUUGCAUCGGCCUAUGAUAUCGGACUGUGAGAACUGAGAAUCAUCAAAAUGCAAGGAGGAAUAGUGCAUCUCACCACUCCAGUCUUCACUGAAUGUCGUCAACAUGUGAUGGGAGCAUACACACAAACGGAAAAAAGGCCGAUUCGUACCUCAACACUAUAACUUGUACCAAUAAAUAUCCAUACAAUUUUAAUAGGUUAAUCAGUACCUGAACUUAUUAAAAUUGGUAAAUACAUACCUCAACAAUGUUUUUGUGGCCAAUUAGUACAUUGACUUACUGUUAGUCAAAUCUGUUAAUUUGCAAACAGAAUCCGACUCAGAUGCCACGGUGGAUGUUGUGUUCGAAUGAAACCAAUACAACGUCGUUUAAGGUUAAAAAUUUGGAAAAAGAGGCAAAAACAACGUCGUUUUAAAUUUAUUAUUCAUUAAAAAAAUAAACCAUCUAUAUCUUUUUUCAUCUUCGUCGUCCCUCUUCUUCGUCAACUUAAAACGGGGAAGAACAUCGAUAGUUAGGGUUUGGGUAGUGUUCGAAAAAAUCGGAAUGACUUCAUUGUCGAACUCUUACGCUUCCUCGAAGAUUCCAGGUAGGUUUAAGUUUGCAAUUUUGAUUUUGAUUUUGAUUCAAACACUUUCAGAAAAUCAAAUCGGAAAUUUCAAUUUUGAUUUUUUAAAAAUGUAUAAUAAAUUUAAAACGACGUCGUUUUUGCCUCUUUUUCCAGAUAUUUAACCUUAAACGACGUCGUAUUGGUUUCAUUCGAACACAGCAUCCACUAUGGCAUCUGAGUCGGAUUCCGUUUACAAAUUAACAGAUUUGACUGACAGAGAGGAAGUCAAUAUACUAAUUGGCCACAAAAAUAUUAUUGAGGUAUGUAUUUACCAAUUUUAAUAAGUUCAGGUACUGAUUUACCUAUCAAAUUUUUUUGGGUAUUUAUUGAUACUAAAUUAUGGUGUUGAGGUACUAAUCGGCAUUUUUCCCACACACAAACUAGGAAGACAUUCACUGGCCAAACCUAACUAACGUUCAUGCUUUGAUGGUGUAUUGUAGGAACGCCCCGAACCUACUUAACACAUGACACAUGCAUACUAUCGACAAACGGAAAACAUAUUAGUCCCAUAGAAUAGUGAGUGAUGGAUGCUGUAUCCGAAGUCCGAACCCGAUUAAAAUAUAUAUCACAUAGAUACCUAGCUAGACGCCUAAUACAAAGUGAUAUAUAUAUAUAUAAGAGAUAUUGACUCUCGAGUCUCGACCAAUAUAUAUCUUAAAAUAUUCAAAAUGUACCCUAAACACCUAAAAUCUUAGAACAACCAUAUACUAUCUCAAGCGGUUGCUUCCUCGUUUAACCUCUUUACGAGCCUUUUGUCACUCUAGCGUAAGAGGGCCUUUGAAAUAUCCCACAUUGGUGUCUCGAGUGAUUUGAUCGCUUCUUUCGUGGUGUACAAGUUUAUUUACUCUUCACUGAAUCACGUAUUAAAAUAUGUUUUAGCGUAAUCCUUGAAACAUUAUGAACUCCUUGGAUUCUCUAUUAAUGAGAACACAAUAUAUGUAGAAAUCGAUCUCACGCAACUAAUAAUCUACAUACUAUUUUUACUUACAAUUUAUGUAACUCAUAAUAUUUAUGUUAUUUUCAUAUGUUUAUCUUUCUCUACGCAAACAACACAACAAAUGUGGAAAUAUAUAUGGUCCAAUGGCUGACUGAUGAGAAUGACAAACAUUAUGAAUUUUUGCAGAUCAAGAGAGACAAACCCUUACUAGAGGUGCAAGGUAAAGUAUAAAAUGGUUAUUCAUAAAUAUGAUGCAAGUAAAAUCGUUUAUCGUAAAUCUCUGUAAUACAAGUAUAAUGGUACGCUGUUGUAGAAUUAUUUUAUUGUAUUUCUAAUUUACAAUUACUGUAAAAAAUUAGUUUUGCGUAAAUUAAUAAAUCAUCAUAAUAUGGUGGUAAAAAAUAAAAACUGAAAAGUUAUAUAAGGUUAUUAAAACUUUUAACAAAAAAAUAUAAGGUUAUCAAAAAACUGCAGAUUAACUGUAUAAUGUGAGCUGUGUUUUGAUAGAUAUACACUCCAUAUAAGAUAAGAAAAGAUUAUAGGGGUAGGGAACAAAAGGAAAGUUGGUAAAGGUGAAAAAGAAAUAAAAAAUACCAUAGAAGAAAGCUCGGUACAGAUAAAUAGAGAAAUAGACAAUCGAGGUCCAAAAAAAAAAAAAAAAAAAAAGAGAAAUAGACAAUCUACACACACUGAUUUUAAAUCUUCCUCCUCAUCCUCCUCGGUUUCCGGCGAGUGUUUAUCUUCUUCUCCGGCACAUCGACUCGUCUUUCCGAUCAGGUCUCAGCUUCGUUUCCGCACCUGUCCUAAAAACUUAAUGUUUAUCUUAUAUUUUAGCUUCCACAUUACUAUAGCAUGAAUUCACUUCGUAAUCUGAGAUCUUUUGUUUCUCUUUGGUCUCACCUCUAGCUCAAAAUCGAAGCUAUACUAUAGUAUAAUGAUUAUUAUAAUUUGUCUUUUUAGUUUCCUCGAUCUACUCCUUCGAUUUUACUCUCAAGACCAUUGAUAAUCCCAAUUGCUCUAUUGCAGAAUCCUUUCCCAGAAGAUUUGAGGGAUCUAAUUGUUGCAUCGACGAGUUGAUUGCUGUGAAGUAGAAACCCUAGAGGCCUCAGGAUUUUGCAUAAAUCGGCUGAUUGUAAUUUGAAACCGAGGAUGUGUAGGCAAAAUUGUCGCGCGAAAUCCUCACCGGAGGAGGUGAUUUCAGCUGAUGAGAAUCUCUUGAUAUAUUGUAAACCUGUUCAGCUUUACAACAUUCUUCACAUUCGCUCUCGAUCCAACGUAUGAUUUGCUUCUCUCUCUCUCUCUCUCUCUGUCUCUCAUCAGUUUUUGUUUUUAGCUCAAUCUCACAUGUGAGACAGUAGUUUGGGUUUUAGGUUUAGCUGAUUCUGGUCUGUGACUCACUCAUGGUGGCGAGUUUGUGCUUCUUUUGCCUCUUAUGUUUAUCUUCACUUUGUUCUUUGUUUAUGCAGCCAUCGUUUCUUCCAAGAAGCUUGAACUACAGAAUUCGAGCAAAGGGCCUAAGAAGGUAUGAGAUUUCUUCUUGGAUUGAAUAGUCACUAAAGUGAUUAUGGAAACAGAUUAUAUAUACAUUAUACCUAGGUUGAGUAGAUAUGUUGAGUAGAUAUGGACAUGUUGAGAGGUUUCUUCUCUGUUCAUGCUAAUGCUCUUAUAAUUCUCUAUUGUGUUUCGAUUAGGUCCAGAUCUGCUGGGAUGGUAGUUUUCAACUAUAGGGAUUGCGAUAACACAUCUCAGAAAACUGAAGGUGAGUUCUUUCUCUGUUCUUGGGCAUUUCGAUGUAUGUGUCUCUCUCUCUAUGUUUCUCUAGUUUACUUUUUAUUAUAAAAAAUUCUGUAUUGUCAUGCAGUUAUGGAGAAUUGUUCUUGUCCAUUUUGCGAUAUGCUAUGUGGUAGCUUCAAGGUGCGAAACUAUUACUACUGAGAUUUCUUCCGAGGCCUUCCAUAUUUGUGAAAUGGUGCUGCUGUUUCAUGUCGUAUACUUGCAUAUUUUGUGUUUCGUUGAUCUUCUCACUCUUUUUAACUGACGAGUGUGGUUAUCCGGGAAAACGUGUUCCACUUGAAGCUUACAAUCCAUUGUCUUGUGUCUGUGCAGGGGCUGCAACUUCAUUUAAAUUCAUUUCAUGACUUAUUUGAAUUUGAGUUCGUGGUAUGUGCUUUUUAAUGGAUUUCCUUGUUUUGCUAUGUCUUGUUGUUUUUAUAUGAAAUCAUAGUUAAUAAGGGUCUUUCCUAUUAUAGGUUUCAGAAGAAUACCAGACAGUUAAUGUCUCUGUAAAACUUGAUGCAUUCGGAUUUGAGGUCAGCUACGUUUAAUUUGGUAACUUAGUAAAACCUUCAGGUGGUCAACAUUUUAGUUGAUAUUCCUUCCUUCUUUAUUUCAGGUAGAAGGAAGUCAAGAAGAUAAGUUUGAACCGUUCUCUUUUUGGUAACUUAUCAAAAGCCAACUUUUCAAAACCCCUUAAAUAUCAGCAAAUUCUUUGCUUUUCUUUUCAGUACAUCUCCAUGAACCCAAACAAAAUGUCUUGCAGUUCGAAGCCUCGUCAGCGUACACAAAGAGGUGGUAGAAAAAGGCGACUUAAUGUACGCUUUUUACCAAUGGAUUCACCCAGUUUAGCUAAUGAGACAGAAAAUGGAAACGCACUGCUGAAUGAUGGUAAAAUCUCCUCUUCUCCUUUUGGCUUUGCGCUUCGAAUUUUGGGAGAAGAUAUAGUGUCUUGAUUAUUCGGUUAUUGUACUUCUCCUCUCAUUCUUUUCUCGAGGGAAAUAUUACCAUAACUGAUAUACAAAAUUAAUGGCAUGCUGCAGGAAACCGUGGUUUAGGAAAUCCUGAGUCAACUAAUCUCGCUGGACAAUUUGGGAUGACUAGCAACACUCCACCAGCCAUAGCUCAAUCUUCUCUGGACUCCGAUGGUAAAGCUAUGUUAACAAGCGAAGCUGUGGUGGCCCCUCCUGCUAAGACAAGAAAGUUAUCUGCUGAGCGCUCAGAGGCUAGAAGGUUUGUUCAUCAUGACAGUCAGUUUUAGUAGUUUACCAUUCCUGUUUUUACAACCUGUUCUUCCUAUUAUGAAUUGCUGUUUCCUUAACUGCCAUAUUAACCGGAAAUUUUUCUUUCAGCAACCUACUUCUCCAGAAACGCCAGUUCUAUCAUUCUCACGGAGGUCAGGUGAUUCAAGUUCCUUCACCGACUUAUUUUGCAUGUUAUUUGAAUUGCACCGUUAUCAUAUCCUACCAAAGUAGACUUGUUCCCAAUCCAAGUUACUCUUUCUCAUUAAUAGUUUGUAUCUAUAUCCACGCGAAUAAUGAGAUGUCCAUGUUACUGUUAUAUUGUCACUAACCAAAAACUGCAUGUUUUUGUGACAAAGCCAAUGUCACUUGAGCAAGUGAUGUCUGGUGGAGAUAGUGAAGAUGAAGUUGAUGAUGACGUUGCAGAUCUCGAAGAUCGCCAGGUAUUCCAUGAUUUCUUUCUGAAUUUCAUUUGAUAAACAACGAACAAUGGUGUAUAUGAUGUAGCUUGCUAAUGGCUUUUGAAACUUACAAAAAAGCUGCAGAUGCUUGAUGACUUUGUGGAUGUGAAUAAAGUCGAAAAGAGACUCAUGCACCUCUGGAACACAUUUGUAAGGAAGCAAAGGUAAUACACAUUAAUACACACAUAUGCACAGGUUUACGUGAGAUUCAUGGUAACGAUAUACUGUACAGUAGAAUUGCUUUUGCUAUAGAAUAGGUUAUCUAAUAAUAUAUAGAUGUUGAAUAGAUUGAUCGAUCCACCACUAUUGAUUUUUCUUAUGGAACAUUUUGCUCAAAUCAAAAUAUGAUUAUUUGUUGCAGGAUUCUCGCGGAUGGUCAUGUUCCUUGGGCUUGUGAAGCGUUUUCAAAGUUUCACAAGAGCGAAUUGCUCCAAUGCUUAUCACUCUGCUGGUAAAUCUCUCCAGAAUUAUAUAUGUAUUUAUAUAAUACACCAAGAACAUUUUGUAUACACAAUAACAACAACAUUUGUAUGUUGUUCAGGUGUUGGAGAACAUUUUUGGUCAAACUAUGGAACCAUGGACUUGUCGACGCGAACACCAUCAACAACUGCAAUCUCAUCCUCGAGACUUGCGAUAAUAACUCAGACAACACCAACAAUAACUCAGGCAACACCAACAACACCAACAACACCAACAACAAUGACUCAGACAACACCAACAAAAAUAACAGUGUGGAUCAUCGCGAGGAUAUGGAUGUUGACGACGGUGACAAAAACAGCAAAGACAAGUAAUAGGAAGAUCUCCGAUUCAAAACGACUCCGUUUAUCGAAUUGCAACUUCCAUCUUUUACCAAACAGAGAGAUAUUUAACCUUUUUAGUCUGCUAAUGAUUGCAAUUUUUACUUGGGAAAAUGUAUUCUGCUCAACUUUUAUCAGUUAGAACUUAGAAUGUUAUUCUUCUUGUUUUCUUCUCAUUAAUUCAUAUUUUCUUGUUUAUUCAUUUUAUUUCUCUCAAUGCACUAAUCCUUAGUAGAAAUUCUUAUUUGUGUAGUGAUUUGCUUAGAUGUCAGCUCCACAGCGAGUUUCAGAAUGUUUUGCUUACGUGUCAGCUUUAAAAAAAAAUUUGGCUAUAAAAACACUUACCUUAUUUUUCAAUUAUAUGGCAUUUUUAUUUAUUUUUUAUGAUGUAUUAAAAUAACUUAAAACAAAACGCUCUAAAUUAUUAUGGUUUAAUGUCAAUCAAACCGUUUCUAAAAAUUUUUAAAACCGAAAUUUUGUAAACUAAUGAAAAAAGUAAAAAAAAUAAUAAUAACGGUAUUUAUGAUGUUUAGAUUAGAGUUUUUGAUUUCAAAUCUUUUAGUAUAAAUAUAUACACGAUUUUUCUUUAAUAUUCUCACACCCUUUUAAAUUUUUAAACAUCUUCGUUUUUUGUUGAAUAAAUCCGUACAGUACUUCAGUACUUCAAAUCAUUAUAUUUUUGUUCUAUGAUUGUGAGUAUAUAUAUAGUUUGUAUCCUCGUUCAAAAACCGUAUCAGCCCAAUAGACAAAAAAAAUAUUUAUAGUCAGCAUCAUGUCUUCAAACAUUAAAAUGCAAAAAAACUAACAAGCAAAUAUACUCAAUAAUAAAGAACAGAAACUCAAUGAAUCCAAACUAUUAUUAAAUUUUAAACAAUCAAAUAAAAAAUUAUAUCAGUCUGCGCAAAACGCGAAAAUAUUCACUAAUUCAUUUUAUUUCUCUCAAUGCACUAAUCCCUCAUAGAAAUGCUAAUUAGUGAGAAGAUUUUUAAUUAAUUAGGGUUUACAGAUUAUAGGCAUUCAAAUUAAAUUAUAAGAAAGAAAAAAUUCUAAGGUCCAAUAAGUUCUCCGCUUCCCAUAAUUUUAGGGGAAAUUAGCGCGCGAAACAAAAGAAAUUCGAAAAGUAAAAUAAAUCUCUCAAAUUGCAGAAGCCUAAGUGGUAAGAGAGAGAGAGAGAGAGAGAGAGAGAGAGAGAGAGAGAGAGAGAGAGAGAGAGAGAGAGAGAGAGAGAGAGAGAGAGAGAGAGAGAGAGAGAGAGAGAGAGAGAGAGAGAGAAACACUGACUCUUUCUCAAUUGUACAUGUUAGACCUAUGAGGUCUCCUCAGACAACGAAGAAAUGGAAAAUAAUUCAUCAGUUGGAUUGUUCAAUGACUCAAAGAAAGAAGUGAAAAAAGAAUCAAGCUUCAAGCAGGAACCAGUAUUCUGUGAACCAAGGUGUAGCCCUGGAAUUUCCCGGUACAACCCAAAACUGCAAUUUCCUUUGAAGAACGAAGCUUCUUUACAUGAGCUGACACAGCAACAUAUCCAAGAAACCAUUUCCAUGAGCUCCAGUAGACAAAAGUCUCCAAAAAAGGCCGCUCAGAAGGCUUGUCUAGAUGAAAACCUGGAGUCAGUAGACCAAGAAUCAGAUGACAAGGAAAACCACUGAAACUGGAUUUGUGACGAUGAAAAGGGCGAGAUUCAGAGAAGCAAGAGACAGAUGUUCCAUGACUAAACCAAAUAGAGGAGUUCUAAUGGGGUGUUCGAGAGGUGAAGAGUUAAAGAACAUAGCUGGGGAGGAAGACAAAGAAGAAAGAAAGAAGAAGAGAAGAGUUUUGGGGGAGAUGUCGAAUCACCAGUUCUCUGGAGUCGUGGAGAUUCCAGGAAAAUGGCAUUGCCCUCAGAGAAAUAAAUGGAAAUCAGGUCCACUAUUGAAACAGCUCCGACUUGAUGCAUGGGUACAUAAAGUCUGAGUCUUUAAGAAGGCUUCACGUUUCAUCAACAAUGUAUCAUAUUAUAUCCCUCUCUUUUUGUAGUUUUCCAUAUUAUGCUCAAACUGGUAGAUAACACAAGAGUGGAUCAGACCAAAACUACUAAUUUUCUGUAUUGGCAUGUAGUUAUGGAGAAUUGUUCUUGUCCAUUUUGCGAUAUGCUAUGUGGUAGCUUCAAGGUCGGAAACUAUUCGGAGGCCUUCCAUAUUUAACACAUUUGUGAAAUGCUGCUGCUGUUUCUUGUCGUAUACUUGCAUAUUUUGUGUUAUGUUGAUCUUCUCGCUCUUUUUAAACUGCCGAGUGUGGUUAUCCGAGCAAAAGUGUUCCAAAUGGAGCUUAUAGUUAUAGUUAAUAAGGGUCUUUCCUAUUGUAGGUUUCAAAAGACUACCAGACAGUUAGGGCUUAGAAGAUGUUAUUGGGAGGUUGAUUUAUGAAGAUUUUAAGAAUCUAAAAUUCUAUGGUUAUUGGUUUGUGGAAUUUUACAUUCUUAAUAGAUUCCACUGUUAUUCAUUUACAGAUUAUAAAAAUCUAUUGUUAUUGAUUUGAUGAUUUUUAUAAACUAUCCAAAAUCCAUUGUUAUUCAAAAAGUUUACAUUUUAAUGAUUAUCUGAUUCUGUUAUAAUCUAUUGUUACUGAAUAAUGAUUCUUUACAAUUUAAUUCAUAAAUCAUGAUUCUUAAAAUACUAUUUAUAUCCUUUGGAUUCUCAAGGUCUUGUCAUAUUACAAAUAUUUUGUGGAUUGUUUAAAUCCAAACUCUCUCCAAAUUUUACAAAUCCAACAAAACUCUAAAAAAAUUGACAAAUUUCAUGACUUUUAAAAUCAACUAAGAGGGUGUUAUUGGUUCUAUAUGUUGAAAUCAACUCCAUUAGAAUGGAGUAGAUCAGAUUUUAAAUUUUUUUAAUUUAUUUAGAAUCUAUUAUAUAUGAGUUGUUUAAAAUUUUAAAUUACUUAGUAGUGUAUUUAGAAAGUCACAUGAUAUCAUUUAAAAUAUAAUAGAAUAGAAUUCUCAAUAAAUUUUAGAUUUAAAAAGAUCAAAGAAAAAAACAACCUAUAAAACACAUACGUAACAAAAAAACCAACAUAAAAAAUGCAACCUAAGAAAAAAAAAAAACACAUUCACUCUGUAUUGGUUUGAAUCCAUCCUAAUUUUCUUCCACUGACAUACUAACAAAAACGUCUUGUAUUCUCGAAUGGAGAAGGGAAAAAGAUAUGUGCGAGGAAAAAUAGAGAAAUGGACCAGGGAAAAGUCAAAAAUGGAGAGAAAAGAAAAAAUAGAGGGAAAAGAGAGUAACAUAAGGUUAAUAAUUUUAGAAUUAUAUUUUAGAAUUAUCAAAAUCUGAAGGUAAAAUGUUAGAUUUUGAUUGCUACAUUUAACACAUAAAAAUAGUUUAACUCUUUCACCUAAAAUCAGUUGUAAGAGUCGGUUAAACUUGAAUAACAUAAGAUUUUAACUGACUUAUUCAACUCUUUUAAUUGAAUAACAAUGGAUUUUCAAACUCUAUUAAUGGAGAGAUUAUAAAUACAUGAAUCAAAAUCUUUGAAUUUUUAUAAAGAAAUAAAAUCAAUGGAUUUAGACUUUAUUAAAAACCAUGAUUGAAUAAAAAUCUUUAUAAAUCUAACUCUCAAUAACCCCACAUUAAUGUCUCUAUGCAUUCGGAUUUGAGGUCACCUACGAUAAAUUUGGUAGCUUAGUAAAAUCUACAGCUGGUCAAUUUUAGUUGAUAUCCUUCCUUUUUGAUAUCAGGUAGAAGCAAGUCAACAAGAUAAGUUUGAACCGUUCUCUUUUUGGUAACUUAUCAAAAGCCAGACUUUUCACAACCCCUUAAAUAUCAGCAACUCCUUUGCUUUUCUCUUCAACUCAUCUCCUUUGCAUUUCUUUUCAAUUCAUCUCCUUUGCUUUUCUUUUCAACUCAUCUCCUUGAACCCAAACAUAAUGUCUUCCAGUUCCAACCCUCAUCAGCAUACACAAAGAGGUGGUAGAAAAAGGCGUCUUAAUGUACGCUUUUUACCGAUGGAUUCACCCAGUUUAGCUAAUGAGACAGAAAAUGGAAACGCACUGCUGAAUGAUGGUAAAUUCUCCUCUUCUCCUUUUGGCUUUGCGCUUCAAAAAUUUUAGGAGAAGAUAUACAGUGUCUGAAUUAUUCGGUUAUUUUAAUGGCAUGCUGCAGGAAACCGUGGUUUAGGAAAUCCUGAGUCAAGUAAUCUCGCUGGACAAUUUGGGAUGACUAGCAACACUCCACCAGCCAUUGCUCAAUCUUCUCUGGACUCUGAUGGUAAAGCUAUGUUAACAAGCGAAGCUGUGGUGGCCUCUCCUGCUAAGACAAGAAAGUUAUCUGCUGAGCGAUCAGAGGCUACAAGGUUUGUUCAUCAUGACACUCAGUUUACCAUUCCUGUUUAUAAAUCAAAAGCUGUUCUUCCUAUUAUGAAUUACUUAACUGCCAUAUUAACCGGGAACUUUUCUUCCAGCCACCAACUUCUCCAGAAACGCCAGUUCUAUCAUUCUCGCACAGGCCAGGUGAUUCAAGUUCCUUGGACGACUUAUUUUGCAUGUUAUUUGAAUUGCACGUUAUAAAAUACUAUCAAAGUAGACUUGGUCCCAAUUCCAUGUUACUCUUUCUCAUUAAUAGUUUGUAUUUAUGCUACUGUUUGUAUCCACGCGAAUAAUUUCGAUGUCCAUGUUGUCACUGUUAUAUUGCCACUAACCAAAAAAACUGUUGCAUGUUUUUGUGACAAAGCCAAUGUCACUUGAGCUGGCAAUGGCUGAAGAAGAUAGUGAAGAUGAAGUUGAUGAUGAGGUUGCAGAUCUCGAAGAUAGCCAGGUAUUCCAUGAUUUCAUUCUGAAUUUCAUUUAAUAAAUAAUGAACAAUGAUGUAUGAUGUAGCUUGCUAAUGGCUUUUGAAACAGAUGCUUGAUAAUUCUGCGGAUAACACUAAAGUGCAGAAAAGGUUCAUGUACAUUUGGAACACAUUUGUAAAGAAGCAAAGGUAAGACACUUUAAUACAAACAUAUGCACAGGUUUACGUGAGAGUCAUGCUAACUAUAUACAAUAGAAGAAUUGCUUUUGCUAUAGAAUAGGUUAUCUAAUAUAUAGAUAUUGAAUAGAUUGAUCGACGAUCCACCACUAAUGAUUUUGGUUAUGGAACUUUUGCUUAAAUCAAAAUAUGAUUUUUGUUAUGGAACAUUUUAUGCUCAAAUCAAAAUAUGAUUUUUUGUUGCAGGAUUCUCGCAGAUUGUCAUGUUCCUUGGGCUUGUGAAGCGUUUACAAAGUUUCACAAGAUCGAAUUGCUCCAAUGCACAUCACUCUGCUGGUAAAUCUCUCCAGAAUUAUAUAUGUAUUUAUAUAGUACACCAAGAACAUUUUGUAUACACAAUAACAACAACAUUUGUAUGUUGUUCAGGUGUUGGAGAACAUUUUUGGUUAGACUAUGGAACUAUGGACUUGUUGACGCGACCACCAUCAACAACUGCAAUACGUUCCUCGAGACCUGCAGAAAUAACUCACGCAACACCAAAAACAAGAACAGUGUGGAUCAUCGCGAGGAUAAGGAUGCUGACGUAAACAUUAAUAACGAUAUGGAGGUUGACGACGGUGACAAGAACAGCAAAGACAAGUAAUAGGAAGAUCUCCGAUUCAAAAACGACUCCGUUUCUCGGAUUGCAACUUCCAUCUUUUACCAAACAGAGAGAUAUUUAACCUUUUUAGCCUGCAACUGAUUGCAAAUUUUACUUGGGAAAAUGUAUUAUGGUCAACUUUUUAUCAGUUAAAACCUACAAAUAAAACUUUUUAUUAGUUAUAACUUAAAAUGUUAUUCUUCUUGUUUUUUUCCAAAUUAAAUUCGUCUUUCUUGUAUAUUCAUUUUAUUUAUCUCAAUGCACUAUUCCUUAAUAGAAAUGCUAGUUAGUGAGAAGAUCUUUAAUUAGACCAUUAAUGUUUGCAUGGUUUUUAGAUUUUGGUUUUUGGUUUUUGAUUUUUCUGUAAAUUUUAGGUUUUAAGAAACUGGAAUGGUGAAUUAUUUUAGUUUUUGGAUUAGAAGGAAAAAAUUUGCAAAAAAAAAUAAAAAUAAAAAAUCUCAGCAAUUAAUGGGAAAACCCCAUAUAUGUUCUAGGCCUUGAUUGUUUGCAGUUUUUGGAACAGAUUUUUAUUUUUAUUUUUUCAAAAACCAAUUUUUCAUCCAAUCAUGAUUUUGGUUAAAGGGAUUCCCUAAUUUUUAUAAAAACUAGAUUUUCUACUGAUUUACCAAUUCCUACAUAGAUAUUUUUUUUCAUUAAUUGCUGAGAUUUUUUAUUUUUCUUUUUGCAAAUUUUUUUCCUUCUAAGCCAAAAACCAAAAUUUAAAAAUAAUUCAAACAUUCAUGACCCUAGUUUUGAUUUUUUGAUUCUAGUUUCUACGUAGGAAUUGAAAAAACUAUGGAAAAUCUAGUUUUUCUAAAACUUAGGGAAUACUUUUGAUCAGAAUCAAAAACUUGGUUUUUUUAAAAAAAAAAACAAUUACCAAAAUCUGUUCCAAAAACUGCAAAGUAGGGUUUAGAUUAAGAUUAUAGGCAUUCAAAUUAUAAGGCCCAAUGCCGUAAGAAAAAAAAAAAUUAUAAGGUCCAAUAUUAUAUUUAGUUUUCCGCUUCGCAUAAUUUGAGGGAAAAUUAGCGCGCGAAACCAAAGAAAUUCGAAAAGUAAAAUAAACCUCUCAAAUUGCAGAAGCCUGAGGGGUAAAAGAAAGAUUGAGAGAGAGAGUGUGAGACGGAGUACAGAGCUCUAAUGGAGGAAUUUAUCUCGCUGGUACUUUUGUAUAACCUACUUUCUGAUUUUUGGUGAAUUUGUUGAGAUUUCGAGUUUAUAAUUUCUUUUUAUUAACUGAAAUCUCCGAUUAAUCUUUCUGGCAGGAACCUGGAUACUCCGAUUCGCCAUCUCCCAUUUCCGGUGAGUAAUUAAUUACUGGGGUUUAAUUAUCAUACGCCUUAAUUGCAAUUCUGACAUUUCUGGGUAUUGAUUUCCUACAGAACCACCAGAUAUUACGAACUGGUUUUCCAGUUAUGUCUAUGAAUCGUUCCAAUUGAGUUCUUCAGUAAAAGAAAGUGAAAGCGAACUAAAUCAGUUUUCUGUUGGAGAAGAACAAGAAAAUCUUGGCGUUGCUGUUCCCGAAAUCAGAUCUCCUGAGAAAUUUGUCUCGAACAAAGAUCAUAAGCCUAUGUACAAGAAGAUGAAACAGGUAGUAAUAUCUCACACAUUGCAGGUUUUAGGGUAUUCGAUUUUGUUAGAACGCUUUUAAUUCAUUUUACUUUUGGGCAGAUUUCAGAUACGACUCUCAAUGAAUCACUUCCUUCUGGUAAAUCCUCUUGUUAAACUUAUGGGGAAUAUGGAAAGUCUCUUAGCUGUUGAUGAGAUUAUGUUGUAACCUAAGCUUGUUUGCUUCUCAGAACCUCUUGAUAUACGUAAUUGGUUCUCGAGCUACGUCUAUGAAUCGCCGGUGCUGGAUACAAGUGAUGGUCUUGAAUAUUCGAUUCCUGGAGAGAGUGAACGUGUAAAGGAGACGCAAACAGAAGAAGAGGCAACAAAAAUUGAUGGAAACGAUGUUUGUCCUAGGUUAUCUGAGCAAGAACUUGCCUCUUUUGCAAAGGUCUUGCUAUUAAACUCCUGACUUUUUACUUUUUAUGCCAUAGUUACAUCAGCUGGUUUUCUAAUAUAAAUAAUAAAUCUGUGUUCUCUUAGCUCUUAUUGUUUCUCAAUCUGGCUGACGAAUUAGUCUGUUUGCAGGUUUCAGAUUUCUCUCAGUCGCAGUCUGUUCUUUCGGGUGAGUAAAGCCAGUUGUUUGUUACAUAUAAUGUUACUAUCUGUUUGCUUUGAUGAAAUGUGUUAUUAAUAAGUUGUCUCAGGAUUAUAGUUAAGUACGCCAGAAGUUGAAUCUUACUUGUUUUAUCAGAGCCUCCUGAUGUCAGAAACUGGUUUCCCAGCUAUGAGUAUCAAUCUCCUCAGCUUACAGAUACUCAUGAACUUGAAUUUCAUUCUUCUGGGAAAGACCAAUUAAUCAUUAACGAGAGUGACACAGAGGAAGAAACUAGCUGUGGUAUUUUCCGAAAAACUAUGAGCAAGCAAGAGAAUGUUUCUACUAGCAAGUUAAGUUCAGAUGACUGCAAGGAAAACAUAGCUGCAGACACGGUAGGUCAUGUUCUUGAACCUUCUAGACAAAGGGAAAUCAUUGUAGUUUAAAGAAAGAUGACUCUGGGGAUCACAACAAAUUAUAUUAAACCAGUUGUCAGUUAUUAUCGCACAGUUUAGUUUUGGCUUUUAAUUCUGUGUUCUCUCGCUGACUUUUUCUCAAUUGCACAGUUUAGUUUUGGCCUUUAAUUCUGUGAGCUCUCACUGACUCUUUCUCAAUUGUACAUGUUAGACCAAUGAGGUCUCCUCAGACAACCAAGAAAUGGAAAAGAAGUCAUCAGUUGGAUUAUUCAAUGACUCAACGAAAGAAGUGAAACAAGAAUCAAGCUUAGAGCAAGAACCAGUAUUCUGUGAACCAAGGUGUAGUCCUCGAAUUUCCCGGUACAACCCAGAGCCGCAAUUUCCCUUGAAGAACGAAGCUUCUUUACAUGAGCUGAGACUGCAACAUAUCCAAGAAACCAUUUCCAUGAGCUCUAGUAGACAAAAGUCUCCAAAAAAGACCGCUCAGAAGGCUUGUCUAGAUGAAAACUUGGAGUCAGUAGACCAAGAAUCAGAUGACAAGGAAAAUGCUGACAGGAAAAGCACUGAAACUGGAUUUGUGACGAUGAAAAGGGCGAGAUUCAGAGAAGCAAGAGACCGAUGUUCCAUGACUAAGCCAAAUAGAGGAGUUCUAAUGGGGUGUUCGAGAGGUGAAGAGUUAAAGAACAUAGCUGGGGAGGAAGACAAAGAAGAAAGAAAGAAGAAGAGAAGAGUUUUGGGGGAAAUGUCGAAUCACCAGUUCUCUGGAGCCGAGGAGAUUGCAGGAAAAUGGCAUUGCCCUCAGAGAAACAAAGGGAAAUCAGGUCCACCAUUGAAACAGCUCCGACUUGAUGCAUGGGUACAUAAAGUCUGAGUCUUUAAGAAGGCUUCAGGUUUCAUCAACAAUGUAUCGCAUUCUUUCCCUCUCUUUUUGUGUUUUUCCAUAUUAUGCUCAAACUGGUAGAUAACACAGACCGGAUCAGACCAAAACUAAUUCAUUUAGAUUCCUUUUAAAUACACUAUUUGAAACCCGAACCGAAACCCCCAAAAAAACCUGAAUCAGAUCCAAGAACAUUCGUAUUUGGAUAAGCAUUGACCAUUGAGUACUAAACAAAGAAAAGACAUAAAGCCUUCUUUUUUCAAAGGGAAGGUUUUUUUACCUAAACUGCUUGCACCGGGGCAAAAAACAAAAUACAACAGUUCAUAAAUUAUUUCUGGACCCGGAGAAGUUUUUCUUCAGACUCUGCAUUUUUUAGCUAAAAAAGGAAAAAGGUUUUUAAAAAUCAAAACUUUGGAGGGUUCACGGGUCAGAUACGGUGAAGAUGAGCUUCUUCAAGUAUCUCCGCCGAGACAGUUUGCUCCAAUUAGCCGGAUUACCAUCUCUCAGCCGAAACUGCAUGCAUCAGACCUGCCGGUCUCUCAUCAUUGAAACCGCUCCGCCUGAAUCUGUCAAGCUUAACCGUCUCUCUGGUUCCGAUUCUGGUAAUUUUACUUUUCAUUUUUUCCUUAUCGAAUUGGUGUGUUUUAUGGGUUCUAUUUGUUUCAGCUUAACUGUAAUGGCUUUUGCUGAGCAAUUUGAGUAGUUCCUUGUAUCUGUUAGGGUUCAUUAAUACCCUUUUUUCCUGGGUUGAUUGUGUUCGACUUCUCUCUGUUAUGCUGUUUGUUUCUCUAGCUAAACCGUUAGUCACCAGUUCUUAUUAUUUCUGGUAAUUUGAUCUCGUCCUGAAAAUAUUUGUUCAUUUAGUUUCUUAUUUGAAGUUUGAAUGUCUGAGCAUAGUUAUUGUCUGAUCAAUGUGUCGUUUCUCUAAUGUUCUGGUGACUUUUUGAGUUUACACCUAAUCAUUGCAGAAAUAGAAAUCACAUGAAGGAAAGAUGACAAAUGCACUAGUGUGUAUAUGUAUUACAGGGAUUAUCGAGGUCAAUCUAGACAGGCCUGUGGCCAAAAAUGCCAUUAAUAAGGAGAUGCUGAAAAGUCUCCAGAACACAUUUGAGACCAUACAUCAGGAUAGUUCCGCUAGGGUUGUGAUGAUCAGAAGUCUGGUUCCAGGAGUUUUCUGUGCAGGUGCAGAUCUGAAGGUAGUUUUCCCACUGUAAUUUCUUCUGGAAUGUUGGCAUUCAAUAUGCUAGCCAUGUUUGAAAAUCUCUGUUUUUCUUUAUUUGUUGUGAUGUCAGGAACGUAGAACUAUGAGUCCAUCUGAGGUUCACACAUAUGUCAACUCGUUGCGCUACAUGUUCUCGUUCAUUGAGGUACUAUGCUCAUAUAUCCUUGUUGGUUCUCAUAGAUUAGAUUAGCUGCUACCCUCAUUCGUGAAAAGAUUGUUCGGUAAAGUUAAUUGUCAAUUUAAGUAUGUUUGGCAUUAAUCUAUACAAAGUUUCUCAUCAAAUCGUUAGGAAGAACUUCUACAUUUGUAGACUUAGCUUUACUUUCUCAGGAUUCGGAAUUUAAUUGUCUUUAAUAUUACAAAACAGAAGAGAUAUGGAUAGUGCUUUUUUAGGGAUAUAUGAAAAUUAUUUGAAGUACUUGUUUAAUUAUUCUCCGCCCGAGCUUCAUGUAUUCUUUUAUUUCCAUGUAAAAGCUUUAGGAUUUGAGUCUUCAUGAGAUUGGCAUAUGCUAUAGUGACUUUGAAGACUUUUGUUUUCUAGGCACUGAGUAUCCCUACUAUUGCUACAAUAGAAGGUGCAGCACUGGGAGGUGGACUUGAAAUGGCUCUAUCCUGUGAUCUUCGAAUCUGUGGUAAUUUUUUCAUAUCUUGUUAAUUUUUUUUAAUUGUAAUCUACAUGCCAAGAUGAGAAAUUAUUGUAAUACUCCGAAUUUUUUUCAGGCGAAAAUGCAGUAUUUGGCUUGCCUGAAACAGGGCUCGCUAUAAUCCCUGGGUACAGAAUAAGCUUCAUUACUCUUGAUAAAAAGAUUCUCUUAUCAUCACCCUUUCUAUUAGUGUUGUGAUGAUUUCUUUCUCUUGGCUAUUAAAGGGCUGGUGGGACACAGAGGCUCUCGAGGCUGGUUGGGAGAUCGGUAUCAAAGGAACUCAUAUUCACAGGUCGAAAGAUUGAUGCAAGAGAAGCUGCACACACAGGUCUUUGACUAUUAAAGUUGCAUUUCUCAUAAUGAUUCGUGAUCUUGUUUUUUGAUAUAUACUUAGAUAAAAGAUGAUUCAUAUGCUCUCUUUUGUGUGUGUGUGUGUGUGUGUGUGUGUGUGUGUGUGUGUGUAUGUUGCAGGGCUUGUGAACUUUUGUGUUACGGAGGGUGAGGCUCAUAAGAAAGCAAUUGAAAUUGCUCAGCAGAUAAAUGAAAAAGGUCCAAUGGCUAUAAAAAUGGCGAAGAAAGCGAUUGAUGAAGGAAUAGAGACGAAUAUGGCUUCAGGUUUGGAGGUAGAAGAGAUGUGUUAUCAGAAGCUUCUUAAUACCGAAGAUCGUCUUGAAGGAUUAGCUGCUUUUGCUGAGAAGCGUAAGCCUUUUUACACUGGCAAGUAAAAGAUCUUUAUCUAUUUAAUUUCAAAAAACCGGGGGAGAUUACCAUUGAAUUGGAUGUUAAUAACCGGGGAUAGUUUCGGAUCACAUAAUGUGUAUGACACAGAAAAGAAGGAAAUAAAUAUCACUGUUAGUGUUCGUGCAUUCAUGGACUUGAUAAUUGGUUAUACUUUUUGCAUAUAUUUUAAGCUAAUGGAACGUUUACUUGAACUUUGUUUCAUAAGUUUUAAUUACCCAUACGUCAUCUGAUCUCUAGUAGUUGCAGAAAUGUUAUUUGCAGUGUUAAUAUAUCUAAUAACUUUGCUAAGCAACGUUGUGCAUAAAAGUAUUAUACACACUAUUUCCUUGAAAGAUUUGAAAGUCUAAAAGUAAAAAUGGGAAAAAAUGGUUUGGAGUCAGUAAAAGUAGCCGACCAGUGAUCCACCGACCCAUCAAAGUGGUGCCAAAAUGAUGUGUUGAUGAUUAGACUCUUUUUCCAAUUUGACGUGUCAAAGUUAUCUCAGUGAUUCUUGACUAAAUCAUAAACACUGAAUUUGCAUGAAAAAACUAAUGUUUCUAUUUAUCAAAACAAAAUUAUUAAGAACCAUUAUAUUUUAGUGAUUAAAUCAACAAUGCAAAGAUUAUGGACACUCGUAACUCUAAGCGAUAGGAAUUUAUUUAUGGAAUAGUGUAGCACUUAUAAAUAACUGUUAACCUAAAAUCAAUAAAUAGCUGAGGUUUAAAAUCAGUGAAGACUAAAUUAUAAUGAAUUCAAAAACAAUAAACUUCAACAACAUAAGAAUAGGAUAAAUUCGGUUCUUGUUAUUCCUUUUAUGGAUUUUAAAGUUCAUUAUAUUCAAAAGGUAUAGAUGCUUUGUGGACAAGUUCGGUCUUGAUGAAAGAAAAAGAAUCGUUACUAGUAUUUAUUAGUCUUCUCAGGUCCGGUGAACAAAAUCAAAUGUGUUAGAUCUAGUACUUAAGUGUCUUAUUUUUUUAAAAACAUUGAUUUUGUUAGUAAUAGUUGUUUACUUUAAUGUUUUAAGACAGCUGCUACGUAAGAAGAAAGCUUUAGCGUAACCAGACCAAAAGAAGGGAAUCCAGAUUCUUCCGGGGUCAUAUGCCUACGCGACCUCUGCGAUAUUCUUUAAAUGAUCAAUUAAUUACCCCUUAAUUAUUCUACACUUAACACUUAACAAGUUUUAUAAUCUGCUCCCUUUUCUGCAUUACCCGACCAAGAUUAUCGGGUUCAUAAUUUUUGGCCUUGUUACGAAAUUGUAUUUUCGAAAUGACUGUGUUUUCAUUUUAACCAAGUCGAUAACUUUCAAGUGGGGAUUCUUGGGUUCGAAUCGCUUUGGCCACCUAACCGCAUUUUAAAUUUGGAAUAUUUUCGAACGCGUACUUGGAUGCAAGGCCUCAUACUCGGAUGCAAGGCCUCGUGAAAUUAGUCUUUGAGCCUAGAAAACCUUUGAAAUCCCAUUAUUAAAUUAAAAAAAAAAAUGACUGUGUUUUCAUACUUACGCUUAACAUUAUAGCAAAAAAACAAGAAAAAGAAUUUUAACUGAUAUAUCAGAUACUCUACUUUGCCCUAUAUACUAUAUGGAAAAUUUCUAAGUAAAUUUUGUUUUUUUUUUUUUAAGUGAAUUUAUACUUUCUAUGUCUAUCCGUCUCAUAGAUACUACACACUUUUCAACCCAAAUAUGAGUUUUAUUUAGAUUUUAAACUUCUUAUAACUAAGUAAUAUAAGUUUUAGUCUGAUUUGAAAUGAUAUAAUUCAUUAUUUGAUAAAAUUACUAAUAUGUUAUUUAAAAAAUACUCUGUUUUUAUUUGUUCCAUUAUAUUAAGUAAAGCAAUUUCUAUGGACUUUUGUGUUAAGACCAAACGAAUCUAAAUGGUAUAUAUUUUUUUUAAAGUAUCUUAAAUUUCGUCUAAUUUUUAAAAAUAGUUAUAUUUUCCAUUUUUUAAUUUUUGUAUUCAUACAUUAUGUCCAAAAUAUAUUGAAUUCCGAUAAUAAUAAUAUAACAGUAAUAUAAACACCACAAAACUACAAAUUUUCAAUGUAACAUUUGGAUCUUAAAACCGUAUCAAUUUUUAAUAGGGAUAGCGAUUCUCCAAUCGCUGUCAAUCUUCAUAAAUAACGUUAGAAUUAGGUGAUUAACUGUACUAUGUAUGAAAUAAAUAUUAAUUAUAAUUUUUUUAUUCGAAUAUAUAAAUAUAAUGUAUAUAAAUACAACUAUAGAAAUAUUAGCUGAUAUUAAAUGUCGUUUAAAUUUUAAAAAUAGUUAUACCAUCCUUUUUUUAAUUUUUGUAUUCAUACACUACAUCCAAAAAUUGAAUUCCAAUAAUGAUAUUAUAACGGCACAUAUAAACACCACAAAACUACAAACUUUCAAUGUAACAUUUGGAUCUUAAAACUAUAUCAGUUUCAAGUAGUGAUAGUGAUUCUCCAAUCGCUGUCAAUCUUCAAAAAUAACGUUAGAAUAGUAUUAGAAACCAAAACUAUUGGGAGUGAAUUCACACAUCAACUUGGAUUUCAGAUUUUGUUCUCUUCAAUCUCUUUUUUUUUCUUCUUACAUUUUCAAAAAAUAACAAAAGAAAGAAAAAAAAAAAAAAAGCAGAACUUAACCUCUAAGUCUUAGCAUUUCCACUAUUAACUUCUUCCAAAUCCUCUUUCAUCACCAAACUAAAAGAACCUUUACGACACUCACUUUCUCUCUGAUGGUGGAAGCAAGAAGCUCCAAGAAAACCCAAUUGGGUAAUAAAGAAGAUCAUAACCCUAGAAAAUUCUACUCUCGAUUCCUCUUCAAAGCUCUACUCCUCGCCGUUUUUUGCGCCAUCGUACCGAUCUUCCUUUCUCAGACGCCGGAGCUCGCUAACCAAACCGGACUCCUCGAGCUUCUCCACCUGAUUUUCGUCGGCAUCGCCGUCUCUUACGGCCUCUUCAGCAGCCGGAACUAUGACGGAGGAGGAGGAGACGGAUCAAGCAAUAACGAUCACAAAGCUGAUCAUAAUAAUACUAACUCGCAUUCCUAUGUGCCUAAGAUUCUUGAAGUAUCCUCUGUUUUCAACGUUGAUCAAGAGAGUGAAUCUGAGCCGUCCGAUGAUUCCUCCGGCGACCACCGUAAGUUUCAGACAUGGAGGAACAAGUACCACAUGAAAACCCCCGAUGUUGUUCUUUCCAAAGAUCACGAGACUCGUUUCGUCGAUCGAGUUAGUUCUGAAAUCAGAGAAAAGCCUCUGCUUUUGCCUGUUCGCAGCUUGAAUUAUUCGCGGGUUUCUGAUUCCGGCGAUCACUCCGGUCGAUGGGAGAAAGUGAGAUCAAAGAGACAACUCCUCAAGAGUCUCGUUGAUGAUAACAGUGAUGUGCUUCCUUCACCGAUUCCAUGGAGGUCAAGAUCAUCUUCAUCAUCAUCAUCUUCAAAAGAGAUCGAAUCUCAGCCGUCGGUUAAGAAGCUGGGUACAGUUGAAUCACAGCCGUUGAUCAAGACUCAGGCGAAUCUGACACCAUCUUCCUCUUUCUCUUCUUCACCGAGAAAGUCGACGCCUUUACCUAAGCCCACAUCAGAGUCUGGAGCGAAAUCGGCGGAAAUCGUGAAAAGGCAGGAAUUUCUCGAAUCACCGUCACCUCCUCCUCCACCGCCGCCUCCGCCGUUACCGGCGUUUUAUAACUCGGCGUCGAGAAAGGAUUAUCCUCACGGAAUUUACAGGACUGGAUCAAGAGAAUCAGCUCACAAGACGAAAUUUACAGGCGGUGAGUUUCAUCCUCCGCCGCCUCCGCCGCCACCACCUCCGGUGGACUAUUACAAGUCGCCUCCGACAAAAGUCAGAGUAAGCAGCAGCGAACGGAGAAAAUCGUCGGAGCAAAAGAUGAAAUUGGAUGACUAUUCAGAAAAAAGAAACUCUCCUAAAAAGGUUUGGUGGUCUGAUCCAAUCGUGGAAUCGAAGGAACAUAGAAUUAUCAGACAAGACACGGAGAAGAACGAUCGAAGAAGUUUCUUGGGAAGCAAGGCGAUUGAGGAAUCGGAGGAUGAAGAACAUAAAAGAGAAGAAAACGAAACCCACGACGAUGAUGAGAAGAAGAAGAUAGAAGAGGAAGAAGAAGUUAGUGGGAACAACAGUGACGUGGACAAGAAGGCUGAUGAGUUCAUUGCCAAGUUCAGAGAACAGAUUAGGUUACAAAGAAUCGAAUCCAUCAAGAGAUCUGCUAAUAAGAACUCUGUCAAUUCUUCGAGGUAGAACGUACGUAUUUAUAAAUAUUUAAGAACGUAAAGAGUAGAAAACAUUUUCAAUUUACUCUGGUUAUCAUCAUAAGAUUGUAAUUUUAAGGGGAAGAAGACAUAUUUUUGUUAUCUUUGUUCUUCAGACAGAACAAAAUAGGAACUUGGAACUCAGAUUGAUUACCUCUCUUUCUUGUUUCUGGAUUUUCGCAUGAAAGACUUUUUAGUGUCAUAAUAACAUUUAGUGUUGGGCUAAGUGGGUGGAUAAGAAGUGGCCCAAAUGGCAUAUAUUCAGCCCAUACUCAUGUAAAGGACAACAAGGGACUGUAUGACAGUAUGAGUAUGACCAUAUAUGGUAAUCUCCUCGUCAGUUGUAAGUUGAAAACAUACAAACACACCAGCAGAUUUGGGCCCAUACAUGUAUUUUGAUUAAUUCAACUAGUCGUUGUUAGUUGGGUGAAAGUAAGCGCCUUUGAUUAAUUCUUGUUUGUUUGGGUGAAACUGAGAUGAAUAUUAUCAGGCCCCAAGCUAUACUAGUUCAAAACCUCAAACACAAGAUUAUUUUUAGUUAGAUCCUUUUUUAACUAAAGUUGCAUUCAUUGUAAAAACAGUUUUUUUUUUGGGUUCGAAAAUACUUUUAUAUUCAAUUCAAAAAAAAAAAAUAUAUAUAUAUAUAUAUAUAUAUAUUAUCAGAUCCCAAAACUCUUGAUUUAACCAAUAACUAGAUUUUACCCCGUGCAUCCGCACGAAAUUUUUUUUAGUCAAAAAUUGUAACAUAAUUUAUGUUUUCUUUAUAGAUUUAUUUUUUCUAAUAAGUGACAGAAAUUUACUUUUGCAUUUAAUUAUAAUUUUUUUUAAUUUUUUUUAGUAUUAUUAUGAUCACUAUCAUAAAAUCAUAAUUCUAACCCGAUCAUUUUAUUAACUGAAAAAUAACUAUUAUUAUAAAAAUAUAUUUCUAAGUCGUUCAUUUAUUAAUCCGAAAAGAAUCAUGGUUAAAAGACCAUAAUUCUAACCCACCUGUUUAUAUUACUAUAUAAUAUAAAUAUUUACUAAUUUUAAAAUAAUUUUUAUCUUAAUAUUCUGCAUGUUUUGAUAACAUAAUCCGUAUAAGAGCACAAUUAUAAAAAAUACAUAACUCAUCCCAUCAAAUUACUAUAUAAUAUUAAUAUUUAUCAUUUUUCAAUGCGUGAAAUUUUAGUUUGAUUGAAUAUGAUUGGACAAAAAUAAUUUGUUAAUCAUAUAUGUGUUAUUUUGAAAUUAUUUAAAUUUUAAAUGUUAAAUCAAAUCUAACAUAUAUUAAAAAAAUUAUAGAGUAAUUUUAAUUAAUAUCUAUUUUUCAAAAAAUAAAUAGUUUAAAAUUUAAAGCAAAUAUGAUGUAUAUUUAAAGAAAUCUUUAGAUAUAUAAACUAAUAUCAAUUUUUCAGAAUAAAAUUUAUAUAUAAAAAUAUGUUUUUAAAAUAAUAUUGCAAUAAAAUAAGAUAAUCUUAAAACAGUUUCUAAACAAUUUUUUUUAAAAAAAAAACUUUGAGAGUGUUUGGAUGCAAGCACUAAAAGUGCUUCUGUUUUAAUAGAAUAUCUUUUCAUAGUAAAUACUUGAACGCUUAAAUUUAAAGGAAAAAAAAAAGAGUAAAUGUGUUAAUCAGACCCCAAGAUCAAAUACAUAAAAAUGUUUGUUAUGCACUGACCAAAGAAAUUGUUAUUCACCAAGACUAGAAUCGGCUCCUUUAACCCGUGGAGCCAUCGGGUUUGCAUUGGCCAAGAAAUACUUGGAUAAGAUAGACAUGGUAACAAGUAAAGAGCUGAAGUUAAGUUGUCGAGACACCGUAGAAAGAAAGUAGUGGUUCCAAAUAGAAGAAAUCGCGGAUGCGUCAGAAUAUACAAUAAAACUUCUAUAAAUUAAUAAUGUCGGGACCACGAUAUUUUAUUAAUUUAUCGUAAUAAUAAUUUAUCUAUAAAUUAAUAAAUUAUUAAUUUAUAGAGGAAAAUUAUUCUUCGUCCAUUUUUUUCUUAAAUUUUCUUUCAUUGGUGCUAUAUUUAAGAAUCUAAACCCAUAUGCUUAUAAAAUAAUAUGCACAAACUUAAAAUUAUGAUUAAUAAUCAUAGCAAUCGCAAUAGAAUAGUUAUUUCUAUUUGUUAAUUGUGAACUGGAUUAUCUAUGUAAGAAUAUAAAUGUUCAUUAGUACAAAAUUUAUAAAACAUUAUGGCUACUAUCCUUAACGUUGGUGCUGAAACUGAAGACAAUACCUAAUAUAUUUCAAAACAGUUACGCUAAAAAAAUCAAUAUCACAUCUAAAGUUUUAAAAAAUAACAUUAUAUAAAAGAUAUUGAUGUAAACAAGUAAAGAGAUGAUUUUCAAUAAAAUAUCAAAUUUAAAUAAAUUCAAAUAACAUAUUAAUCAUAUUUUAGUAUAUAUUAUCUUACCUAUAUAUACAUAAAUUUAUAUAAUUAUUAAUUUAUAUUUUUGUUGGGACCAUAUUUUUACAAAGGGGUUUCUAAUAAAAUUAUUAUCUUAUUAUCUUAUCGAAUUUGACGGAUUUUUACACUAGUCCCGACUCGGGACCAGAGAAAUUUAUUAAUUUAUAGUGAUUAUUAAUUUAUCGAGUAUUAAUUUAUAAAAGUUCAACUGUAUUAAGUUACAAAUUAGCAGUAUGCACAUUGCAUACAGAUGUUUUUUUUUGUCGUCCAAUGAUAACAUAUAGAUAUAUAUAUAUAUAUAAACCUGUUUUAGAAAGGCCAUAUAACUUUACAUAGAGCAGAAACAUUGUUGAUAAUGAGGUAAGUCGGUGAAAAAUUCAAGAACUUGAUUUAAGUUUAGAACUAUAUGGAGAUAAACUUUCACUACACACUUAAUGCUACCACCUAGCCGAUCAACCAUCUCGUGGGCCUCUUGGCCAUGGAAAGUCGAUCUUGAAUAGACCAACAAAGAUCUUCUCAUUUUAACUAUUAACAACAACAACAAUUGCUGAAUAUAUUAGAAAUUUCAACUAUUUUAACUUACUAUUUAAUAUUUUUAACAUUAUCGCUUAUGCCAAGUGAAAUGAUAUAAGACCAUUAUAUUUUGUUUAAAACGUACUUGUCUGUUUGUCACUAGACACUAAUCUAUUCUAUUCAACAAAUCUUAUUUUUGAUAUUCAACAAAAACAUUUAAUUCUGAUAGUUGUCGAAAAUAAAUAUGGGACAAUAAAUAUUGCAGCAAAAAAAACUAUGGAAACUCUUUCAAGCAAUAAAUGUAUAUCGGAUAAUUGGCUGUCAACAUUUGUUGUUACUUGUUAGCAUGAACACGAUGGUUUUAAGGGAGAAAAAUAAUCUGUUUUUUCUUUUUUUCUUUCUAAAAAUAGUACAUACAUGUUAACAACUACAUGCAUAUCUUGGUCCCCCUGAAAACGAGUAAAAAUGACCGAAAUGCCCUUUAGUUGCAAAACUAAAAAGACUAAGACCGAGGACGAAGAGCGUCAAACGUCAAGCCGUGAGAAAUCCUCGUAGCAGGAGCCCACGCAUUGACCUGCAAUGACCGGUGGUGGUGUGCUGACGUGGCAGCCUGAGAUGAUGGUGGUGGUGGUGGUGGUGGGACCGACACGUGUUCACACGAAGGGCACAUGGUCAAAGUGGUGGGUGGGUUCAUGUGCAUGUAGAACUGAGGAGAGAGCUUAAGCGAUCUUAACUCCGUUACUUCUUUCUGUAGCCGACGAUUCUCUUCCGUUAGAUUCUCGCAGCAUCGCCGUAAGAACUCGCAGUCAACCUCCGUUUGCUUCAGCUUUGUCCUGUUGAAAAUUACCAAUAUACCCUUAUAAGUAAUUAGGGGCAAAUCAGGGAAAUAAAAGAGAUCUGAGUGUGUGUGCGUGUGUUUUCUUUUUUCUUACCUUGCUCUUCUGUUCUGAAACCAAACUUCCACUUGUCUUGCUCUUAAUCCUAAUUGCUUAGCCAACGCUUGCUUCUGUUUCUGUUAAAAACAAAAAUUAAAUUGACCUUGAUUCAGUUAAAAAUUUUGUAAACGCAAAUUUACAAACUAAAUAUUAAUAGCUGCAUUAAUUGACUCACCAAAAAGUCAAAAACUAAUGUACUAACAGUCAUGUUAAUUGCGAAUAUUCACUAUGAGCGUUUUUUUUCCGAUUCCAGAAACCACUAUUCCAUGGCCAAUAUUUUCCCGGGAAAACCAAAAUUUUCUCCAGGUGAGAAAAUAGGUAAAAGAAAAAAAAUUUACCGGAUUGAGAGUACUGUGAUCUUUGAAGGUCUCUUCGAGAAUAGCAGAUUGAUCUUUGGAGAGUCUAAGCUUCUUCCUCGAAUUAUCACCGUCUUCAUCGUCACUGAUCCCCCUUGAUCCUUGCGGAUCUGUAUCCUCUUCUCUCUCACUCCUUUUUCCGGUGGAGCUUGAGACUGUGCUGUUAGGAGAAGAUACUCCGGCGUCUUCAUCUCCGUAUUCCGCCGUUGACGGUGGUCUGUUCACGUCGAUUCCACGGAUGAAUGUUCUUGUUUCUACACGACUUGAAUCUGAGUUGGGUACUGCAUGCAUAAGAUUGAAAGUAUAAAAAAGGUGAGGUUUUGAUUGGUUUUCCGGGAAAAUGGUUUUUUUUUUCCCUCAUAGGAAAGUGAAAACAGAGAAACUCAUAAAGCUAUGGUGUACCUGAAGAAUUAAAACUCUCGUUCAAAGAUGAUCUUCGGAGUAAUCCAAAAGAGGAAGAAGAUGGAGUAAGAGAAACAGAGGGAUUGGAUUUGAGAUUCAUCUGUUUCUUGGGAAAAUUUAAGCCGAGGCUCAGACCCAGAUCAUCUUUCUCCAACAUCAUCUUCGUUUUGCAGCAAAGUUUUCUGCUUUUCUUUUGAGAGAGAAAGAGAGGGAGAGAGAGAGAGGAGAGAUGAUGAAUGGCAAACAAGGAAGAAGACUGGUUAAUAUAGAGAGGUAGAGAGAGAGAGAUUUAUGUUAUUAAUUUUCUUUUUUCAAUCAUGAGUGUGUGACUAGCUGGGGGCAAAAUCAUUAUUAUUUAAAUCAUUUAAUUAUUGAACCUUUAGUUCGUAGAAAUAAUUUUAUAAUCACAAACAUUGCUUCUUUGUCCCCCUCUAACUCUCUAAACCCAAACAAAUGAUCAAAUCUAAGAAAAUAUGAUAAAAUAACAAUUAUAGUCGCACUAUUAAUGAUUAUGUUAAUAUAUUAAUAUUAAUGUAACAUUAAUAUUCUCAGUCAAAGAUGAUAUCAAACAAUCACUAAUAGUUCAUCUUUUAGGAUAGUCAUAUGACUUUAUAGUGGACAUCUCUUCCUCUUAAUUAAUAAACAAAUAUGACAAGAACAAAAUCUAAUAGUGAUAAAUAUCUUCAUUUUAGUUUUAUUUACUUUAUUUUAAACGAGUGUAUGUGUUACUCUCAUGUUUUCAUCAUUUGAAUGCUUAGUCGUAAGAGGAUAUGAAGUAGUCAAAAAAAUUUACAAAGUCUCUUUGAAAAGUAAUUGGAGAUUAUAUUUUUCAGUAUACUACUCCAUGUAAUUGGAGUAUUUUGUAACAACCUUGUAAAUUACCAUGUACGGCCAACAAAACUAGUCAAACUUUAAUAAUUUUCUAAGAAUCUAUUAAGUGCUCUUCACGAUUUGACUUUAUUUCAAGAGAUUUUUAAAGAAUAUGUCUGUAAGGUAGAAAAGUAGAAAUGAUAAUGCAAAUCUAUCCUUUUGAUUGCUGUUGUCGAAAAGGAGUAAAAAAUGAUUACCCUUCUUAAUGGCUCUAAAUGCCAAGAGUCACGCUUGUUGCACACUUUUAAACCUUUAACUUUUUCCACUUUUUGAUUUUUGUUUAUAUUUUAUUAGUACUAUUUUUUAACAAGUUUUUUUUCUUUGUUUUUUACUUUUAAGCAUCGCUGAUUAAAUUAAGUAAUUCACUAAUGAAAGCCAAAUAAAACGGUUGAAUAGAUUUCAAACUUCUUUUUGUGAAACAUUGAAGAAUUCAAACUUCUUUGCAGAUUUUCUUGUUCUAACGCAUGAGUCGACCGCAUGAGUUUUACUUUUGUCGUUGAACCACUUAAUGACCAGGAAAUAAUAAAUGAUGAGAGAGUGUCAUCAUAUGCAAUAAAUGUUUGUCUGUGAGGUAGUAAUUAUUAUAAUUAAACACUAUUCCUAACAUCAAAAAGCAAAAUAUUUAAAUAAAUCACUAUUUUUCUAUAGUUUUACAUUUGUAAUUUAAGUAACACUUUUUUAAUACACACAUGCUAUUGCUUUUGUAAAUUACUCAUAAGGAGGUGCAUUGAACUGAACAUUUUAGAUUUAUUUAAAUUAAAAUGACAAAUUUUAGUUUACUCAAACAUGAAUUUUAAAAAAUAUUUUAAAAUUCAGUUUUUAUUAAAUAUAAAACUUGAAAAUAUUUUUUAAAAUCUACUGUUAUUGAAUAUGUUUCAAAUACUGAGAUUUUAUUGAUUUCAAGAGAUUUGGAAGAGAUUUAUAGUUUUAUGUAAAAUUUUAAAGAAUUUUAAAACAAAUCAUGACAACUUCCUUAAAAUAAUCGAAAUCAUCUUAAUUUUUUUUAAACUUAAAUCACUUCAAAUGUUUAUUCCAAUCCCCCCCCCCCCCCCCAAUAAUCUCUAUAUUAUUAUCUAAGGAAUAAAUUGAAAAAUAAUCUUUAUUUUGUAAAUUAUUACAUAAUAAGGCCUUAUAAAUAAUUAAAAUAUAUAAUGAUAUAAUUAUCUUUUAAAAUUAUUUAAAAAAUUUUGAAAAAUAUUUUUAUUUAAUAUAAUGUUUACUAUUUGAUUUUUAAAUAUUAUAAUAUCAAAAUAUCAUAUGUUUUAAAAUAAAUAAUCAAUCUAAAUAGAUUAAAAAUAUUUGAAAUCUUACAAAAUGUUUUACUGUAAUUUAUGUUAUUGUAUUUUUUUAAUACAUAUCAAAAUAAAAAUUAAAAGAGGUUUAUAUUUAGCCCAUUUUAACAUGUAUUACAUAAAUUAAUUUAUUUUUAACAAAUUUAUCUAUAAUUAAUUAAAUAUAUAAUAAAAUUCAAAAAGAUAAAAUAUUUUUAAGAAAAAUCCUCUGCUAUAGUGCGAAUUAAAUCAUAGUAUUUUUAUAUAAUGAGUAAAACAAGAGAAUUUAUUAUUUACUAAUUCCAAAAAAUGAUACUAAUUGCAUAGAAUAAAAUAAUUUUAACGAAACAAUAUUUUUGGACUUUUCAACAAGAUUUAAGCUUUGUGUAUAUUAGAGAUGUUAAAACAUAAAAAAAAAUAUAUAAUAUACACAUAUGUUGUAAUACGUAACACUAUUUUGUUUUUAUUAAUUAUAAACGAGGUUUCAAUCAACUUUUACAAUUACAAUUAAUGACAUUAUAAAUUAAUGGUUAGAUGUUGUAAUGGGAAAUCAUUUACUCCCUCUGUUUCACAAAGAAUGUCGUUCUGACAUUCUUCACACAAAUUAAGAAAUAAGAUAAAAAGUCUCUUAUACCCUUAUUAAUUUGCAGAAAAUGACUCUUAAAAUUAUAUUUAUAAUUAAUUUUCUGAAUUUAUUGAGGUUAAAAAUUGUAUUUUAUGUUAAAAAUUACAUUGGAAUUCUAAAACGACAUUCUUUUUUAAACAAAAAAAAGUGUCAGAACGACACUCUUUGUGAAACAGAAAGAGUAAUAAUUUUAUAUCAACUGGUUACUUGUUAAAUCUUAUAAAUAUUGAAAAUUAUUUUUUAAAAAUAUUAUAUUGGCAAAUGACACAUACCACCGUUAGAUAUUUAGAAAAUAACCAUUGAACCAUUUCACAUCUAUGGUGAAUUGUGACUUGUGACUUGUGACUAUGCUAUCAUAAAGUUCGAUUAAAUCAGCAUCAAAAUUGAUUCCUUUUAUUAGUUGCAACAAAAAUUUUCUUCCCUUCAAAUCCUUAGAGGAUAUCAUUAAUCCAGCAUUAACAGUAAGGGUCCUAGUGACACGCUAAACUAAGAAAUGAUCAUAAAAUGAAAAGAAAUGAACAGCUGAGAAUAAAUCUAUUGAAAACAAAAGUUGAGAUGAGAUCGUACGGUUGAAAAAACGUUUUAACUGGUGGGAACCACUUAAUCCAGCUACAUGUUUUGACAACCAUCAAAUAUGAAUUGGAUCAAUAUGAUUGGAACCAGACACACAAACUUUUCGUCGAUCUGAUUUCAAUAAUCAAUGUGGGUCCAAUUUAUAGUCGUUUUUUGUAUGUGCAAUGACAAUGGUCACAUACUGACAUACGAGCCAGAUUUUAAAAGAAGUUUCCUUUAACUUUUUUUUGUAUAGAAAAUGUUUCCCUAUCUUUUGAUGGUAAAAAAAUGUUUUUACUAUAAUAAUAAAGCUUUCUGCAAAAAGAAGAAAAUAAAAAAGAGGAUGGAAUCAGAAAAAAAGGGAGAACAAAUAAAAUAAUUUUUUUUACCAUAUUGUUUAGUCCAUAGCUUAUUUUACAAGGAAAAUAGAUGUUUUUUGUAAGUCUUUUCGCUCGUACGUAACUAAACAAUAAUCUAACAAAAUUGAAGAAAUUUCAGUGUAACGUUUUUGUUAAUAUUUUAGAAGAGUGUGAUAUUAAUGUUCCGGUCCAUAGUUAUUUGCAACUUUGAAAAUGGAGAUUAUUAAGUCAAGAAUACUGUAUAUUAAUUCUUCCGUUUCCAAAAAAAAAAAUAUAUUAAGUCAGGUUUAAAAACAUAAGAAAAUUAUUAGGUCAAGAAAAUAUAUAUUUAUCACCCCUCAAGAUAUGUUUGUCUUUCUUUUUUAGGGUCUACGUAUUACAUCGAAAAUAUGACAAUGAUUUGUAUGAUCAUACAUGUCUGCAAUUCAAAUUAAACCCCGAUUAUUUUUGGUCAGAAUAAAAAUUGAAUAGAUAGAAUUAUCUUAAAAAUCUGACUUGCUGGCACAAAGAAAAAAAGAGUUAUCUUUACUUAUUAUAUCUCGUCAUGGUUUAUUUCCUUUGAUGAUAGGGACAUUAAGUUAUUCUCAUGUAAUAUAUAUAUAUAUAUAUAUAUAUAUAUAUAUUAGCUUAUACGCUGUGCUAAUUUUUAAUUCAAUGUGUUUUACAGUACAUACUAAAAUCAUAGUAAGCCAGAGUUGUCAUAUUAUUGCUUUCUUUAGUUGUCAUCAUAUUAUUGGCCAAAGUAAAAAUAGAUAAAUUGUUAGAAAUCUCUUUUAAUAAAAUAUAAAAGAAACUCAAAUGUAAUACUUAUAUAAAGUCACCAGGUAACUUUCAAAAUUUAGUUUAUAAAUUAGAAUAAUCCGGUUAGUGACUUAUUUGAAUGGUUAUUAUUUUAUUGUAUUAUAUAUAUAUAUAUAUAAUUGGUUACCACUUUUAAAUAAAACGAUUAGAAAUUUUUAAACGAUUGUAAAGUUCGUAAUUGGAAAAAUAACAGUUAAAAAUAAUGAUUGAAAAAAGCGGUUUGAUAACGGUAAUUUAACCACUUAUUUCAAAUUAACACUUCGAUGAUUUGAAGUCAUUAAAGUGAUUCGUUUCUAAACGCUGUAUUCUUUUUCAUUAUCAUCGCCUCUCAACAACAACUAAUAAUUCAGUAACUACUUUUAAACAAAUAGGUGUCAUCAGAGUUUAAUCUUUUACGACCGACGAGUGAUAACAAGCACUAUGAUGUAUUUUAUGUUGAUUUUUUAUAUUAAUUUAUUGUAGUAGGAAGUUUGUUGAUUAAUAGUAUUUUCUUUUAUGUCAUUACGUAUUACUGUUUUGUGCGAACUGGUUAAAACUACUCAUAUAUAUAUGUAUAUAUAUAUAUAUAUAUAUCUCUCUAAGAAUACUUAAUGUAAAUUAGUUUUGAGAUGCAACAGUACAAUUAAACCUUAUAAUUGUAUAUCUUAAAAAUGACUCUAGAUUUCACUUUUAUUGUCUAUGGACCAAAAAAAAGUGGUGGAGUACACGUGGGGAUGCAGAUAAUAAUGUGGGCAAUUUUAGAAAGGUAAACUUAAUGUAAACGAACAAACUUUAAUGGAAAAGCGCAUAACAUUAGAUAUCUAAUACAUAUUUUCUGGCUUCUUAAAAUAAGAAAAAAAAAAGUAAGUGAAGAACAAACAAAUAAGAAAAGAAACUCACGUGGACCCAAUAUGAUACGAGCCAGUGAGGACUGAGGAGGCCUCGAACCACGUGACUCGCACACACGCGAGUGUCAAAUUGUCGGUUCACGCGCCGACAGAAGAAGUCUUGACAAUCAUACGAUACUUGUUCUUCCCUAAAAACAGCAAUGUCUAUGACCAUUCUCCCAUCAUGAGCCUCUCUCAUUUUUAUCUUAUUUCGUGUUUUUGCCCAUUUUAAUAAUCAUAAUAGUAUUGCGUAAUGACUAAUGAAUAGAGGGCCUCCUUUAAUGAUACAGGUUCACUCUACACUGUUGCACGUACACUUUCGGCUUGAUUGCUAGCAUUUUAUUUUUGUUAAAAUUGGUAGCAUUUUAUUGCACUGCUGUCAACGUUUUUUUUUUUUUACUAUUUCUUUUAUGUUUUAAACUAUAUACGUAAACAGUUGAAAUUUGCUGUAUCAAAAUACGACAAUAGGUAGUAUUACAAUUUUUUUGUUGACAGAAAUGAGGUAACAUUACAAUUUAUGAAAGAUAGAGUUUUAAAAUGCGAGCUGAUUUUUUAAAAGAAAACCAAUUAUAUGCAGGGUUAGUUUAACGUAUAUACAUCAAUUUACUACUAUUCGUAAUGUAAAAACAUGAGUUAACAGGACAAUGUUUAAGAAAAAAAAAGGAGCACCUAUAAAAUUUAUGAAGAAAAUUUUCGUUUAGUUUAUUUGUAAUUACAUACAAUAACAAAUUGCUUGAAGAUUUAUGCUAGAGUGGAACAGAAUUUUUUUGUAGCAAAACUGUAAAAGUUUGUCACAUACAAUAACAAAAUUGUUUUAAUGUGGAGCAUAAUCUUUCGGUGAUGUUAUGACUGUUUAAUUUAUUGUUUGCUUUUAAGAAUUUUCUCUUUAUUUUAUUUUGAACUGUGUAUUCGUUUGUUGUAGGGUGCUAUGACAAAAAAAUCGUUGUAGAGUAAUAUAUAUUGUAAAUUCCCUAAUUUUAUUCAGUAACGAUGAUAAGUGAACGUCAUUCUCACAUUAAAAAUGAAUUUCUAUAAACUCUGUCAGUGUUUUUUAUUUGGCUUUGAUUCCUUAAAAUUGGAUGAAUUUGUGAUCCAAAUUUGAACCACCGGUAAUUCUUUAGCAACUGUUUUGUUAUAUUGUUCUGAGAUAUGAUUGAUUAUGGGAACCACAAGCUAAGCUUUGUCCACCGCAUAAAUUUACUCCCGUCUUCAACCCUUUUCUCAAAGAAAAAAGAUUAGUGUCGUCCUUAUAAUAAUUACAACAUAACAUGUGACUCCGAGUUCGAGUUUGAGAUGUCGGCUAUGGUCAUGGCCACAAAGCUAGGAGAGCUCGGAUUCAUAAAGUUAACUUUGGUGAUUGUUUAUCAUAUCUCCACGAUUCCAUGUAACUUGGUCCCCUUGUCUCGAUAAAAUGUUAAGUUACAUUAUUACCCCUAAGAGUAGUUGGUUUCAUAUUUUUGCGGGUAUUACACUGUACUUAAAAUGGUUCAAAUAUUGAGUUUCUCUUGACCAAUCUUGUUGUCGGCCGAUAUUUUUUGUUGUCUUUUUCUGUUUCUCAUAUUUAUAUGAAAAAUGUUGUUUUUUUUAAACUGUACUUAAAAGUUUUUUUAUUUAGGCUUGACAAUGAUUUAAAUACAACAACAUUUUCAUACACUGUACAUAGGGAUGUAUUCAUAAAAGAUAUAGUGAAAAUGUUUUUUUUUUGGUAAACGUAUAUGAAAAUGUUGCUGUAUUUAAAUCAUUGUCAAGCCUAAAUAAAAAAACUUUUAUGAUGUUACAAAAACCGCUAAUUAUAUUCAUAUGAGUCAUAAGAGUGUUUCUUAUGGGAAAUGCGUACCACUAUUAUGUCUCUACUUUCGCACAAAUGGAAAGUUAAUUAUAAUAUAUGAAUACAUCCCUAUACAGUAUAAUGUUCUUGUAAUAGAUUUGGAUGAUGUAAACUCCAAAAUUAUUUAGCUUUAACUAAAUGACUUAGGUAUUUGUUAAGAAAAAAUAUUUUUUUAAAUGAAUUUAAGCGAGUAUAUAUUCUUAGUAUUGUACAUAUAUGAUUCUCUUUGGUUCCUUAAUAUAUGGGUAAAAACCUUACACAUGUUUUAUGAUGGAACAAAGAAAUAUUACUUGUUUUUAUUAAUAUAAUAGUUUUUUUUUUUAAAAAAUACUUCGUAGCUUCGUUUUUAUAGCAGAAUUUGACUGAACAGCUUUUUAUGUUUUCUUGUAAGUGGUGAAAUUUAAAAGAACUCGUGAAUCGUGAUUCCAUCAUUUUUUUCAUCUCUAAAUGUACAACAGUUUGUAUGUAUAAUCGUAAACAACCGUUUGCAUAUAAACACAUAGACAGGUUUUUGUUUUUUUUUUUUGUUUUUUUGGUAUAAACACAUAAGACAAGCUUUGUUUCUGUGACAACAAGUCAACAACAACAAACUUAAUAAAAACUCUUCUUUUUUGUAUUGUCAUCCCAAUAUAUUCAUAUAUUCCAUUACUAAGGAAGCUCAAAUGAAAACUUUAGUUUGGGAAAUACAUAUUUACGAAUUUUGAGCAAUUUUUACGAAUUUACGAAUUUACGAAUUAAAUUCGUAAUUUUGAGCAAUUUUUACGAAUUUUGAAUAAAAAUACGGGAAUGAACCGAUGAGGGACUUAUAUUAAUCAUGUUGUUUGGACAAAUGUGGAUGUGACUGACUAAAACCACACAAAAUCAUUGUAGAUCUAUCCACGUGGAAUGUUGUCGUUGGAAGUGCUUAAUCAUUAACUAUGGUACAUUGCCUCCUUCAACUAAUUGACAAGUCAAUAUCCCACGUGUGAAUCGUGCGAAUCGUGCGACUCUCGCCAUUCUCCAACCUUAUUACCGUACGAGGCUCGUGUGUCCACAACCAUAACCCGCGUGACAUGCACGUGAACUCUACCCCUUAUGCUUUUGGUGUUAAACUUUUGCUUCGUAUUAGUAGCUACGAUAACUCGUAGACCGAAUAAUCAUUUUUGAGUAGACCGAAUAAGUUUAUGUAAAGGAUUUUUUUCUUAGUUAAAUUUUUUUUAUUUUAUUUUAGGAUGUUUUAUUGCUAAUAUUAUAGAUCCAUCCAGUAACUAUCAUUUUUUUAAUUAGAUAAAAAACGAUGAUUUUUUAGAAUUAUAAUUUAUAGCCAAAUAAAUAUUUCGAGCACCUCGUUGCCGAUCGAACAUGAAUGGUAAAUGCCUGUGAUAUGAAAUGGUACUAUCUUAAAAAAAAAAUUCAGCAAAGCACCUUUCUCUUUUCUGAAUAUUUUCUACGCCAACGAAAAGCCAUAAAGUGUAAAUGUAUUUUUUUUCCAAUUACACCAAUUCCAUUUGUUCGUGUUUCAAAUUUUUUUCCCUCCGUUUCAACUAUAAUAUAUAUAUAUAUAUAUUUAUAUACUCUAUAUUUUAUUAACAGGAAUGCAACAGAAUAAUACCACAUGCAUUUUCUUUAGAAAAAAAACACAUGCAUUUUGUUACGUUGGCACGUAUUAUUGACCUGGGCAUUCUAAUCUACGACCACAUGCAUAUCAAAUAAUAUCAAAUUUAGAAUACAAUAUCCCAUAUAUAACCCGGCUCAGAAGUGGGAAGCAAAAAAUAUACUCUAUAUUUGAAAUAUAGACCAUACAUGAAAAUAAUAUAAGAAAUUGAAUCCUAAAAGUAUUUCUAAUGGUUUUUCUUAUUUUUUCCUUCAAAACAAAAUAAACUCAAAAUAAAGUAGAGUUUUACUUCAAUAGUUUCUCUCAUUAUUUCCCUCAAAAAAGAAUAUUUUUAAUAUAUUAUUUUUUUAUUUUAUUGUUAAUUACGAAAAACACUCGUUAUUUCUAACUUUACAAAUAAAAUCUAAUUAUUUGAAAUUAUAAAAUUUAAACAAAAAAACUAAUAAAAAUUUAUAAGAUUACUUAUAAUAUUUUAUAAAAUUAUUUAUAAUGAUUUAUAAGAAAUAUCUAUAUUGUAUUAAAAUUAUAUUUUCAUGUUUUAUUUAUAAAAUUAAUUAAUAUUUAUUUAUAAUAUAUUUUAAAAAUUAUAAUAUUAUAUGUGUAAUAAAUAAAAAUUUAAAAUUUUGUUUAAAUAUAGAUGAGGUACAUGUAAAACUAUAAGAAUUAUUUUGUAAAUAAACAAAACUAAAAAGUAAAAUGAGAGAAUCACUACAAAAAAAAGUGUUGAUAGCAUCAAAUAAAUUAUAUCAUAAAAAUAAUUGAUACUAAUUAGAGUCAUUUAUUUAUAAGUGACAUAAAUUAUAUAUACAGUAUUAACAUCAGUUAAUACAAUUGAUAUUAUUAGUUUAUAUGGCAUCGAUAAAAUUGAUACUAAUUUAUUUUAAAUCACAUCACUUGAACAAUAUUGAUACAAUACCAAAUUUUACAUCAUUAGAUAAUCAAUGUAUAUAUUAGCAUCACUUGAAUAAAAUAAUGUAAAUUUUGUAGCAAUUAAAAAGUGAUACCAACAAAGAACUGAAUUAAACAAUUAAUAUAUUUAAUUUAAUUUAAUCAAAACUUAUCUGUCCUACAUCGGUUAGGUGAACUUAAGAGAAGAGAAUUGCUCUUCUAUAAAAUAAACUCAUCGACAUAAAAAUUAUAUUUAUAAUAAUAAUUCUAGUUAAUUAUUGUAUGAGAGUUCACAAAAUAUUUUUAUGUUAAUAAAUAAACGAAUUUUAUAUAAAUUUUAAAAAUAAAUUAAAAUUUAAACCAAAAUAGCAUUUUUAACAUCAAUUAUUUAUAAUUGAUACAAAUAUUAAUAUUAUUUAUAAUAACUGAUGUAAAAUUUAAUAUCACUUAAAACAAUUGACAUAUAUUGAUAUCAAUUAUUCUAAUUGAUGCAAAUAUUUAAAAUAUCUACAUCGGUUAUUAAUGAACUGAUAUAAAGUAUUUGCAUCACUACUUUCAGAAUUAUUUUUUAAAUGAUGUAAAAUUCUUUUGCAUCAGUUAUAAAUAAUACAAAUAAAUAAAAGAAAUGAUGUAUUAUGAUGUUUUUUUUGUAGUGGAUGAAUAAUAUUCCCUCAAAUUUGAUGUAAUAUUAUUUAUAAAUUCAUUUUUUCUCUCAAAAUAAAAUUUUAUUGGAGAAGAAUUUUUCUUAUUUUUUAAUAUUUUCCUUCAAAAUGAGAAACUAUUAGAGAUGAUGUAAUACAUUACUAUUUUUACUAAAUUAUAGUGGACCUUUUGCAAAAAUAGUCUUUACACAUGCCUAAAUACGAUCCCGCGCGAGCACCAUAGAUAUUUGCCACCGAAGCAAUAUAAUAUCCCACAUAAAAAGGACCACGAUUUGUUUUAUGGCUAAAGGAAAAAUAUGUUGCUAUAUAUAUUAUUUUUUGCAUUUCAUGUUUUGUAUAUAAUUUUACUUAAUAUUGCAAAUAGACUACUUAAGUUUGAAUCAAGGAAGAGUGGAAGACUACAAGAGUGAAAGGCGGGACCCAGAGAAUGACCAAAGGAUGCAUGGAAAGCAUGUGAAGUUCACGUGAAGCUGACCCCACAGUGUGACCAGGAUCCGAAGAAAACAAACCGUAAAAUGACCAUUGUGUCCUUUCACGUAAUAUGUCAUAUGUGCUCAAUUAUAAUAAAGGUCCCACAGAAGCUUUUGUUCGAUUUGACUUCCAAUUUUGGGUUUUCUUCAUUCUCUAAUCAUGACUCCUCUCCAAUUAUUUGUACUCCACAGAUAAGUAAAUAACGAUGACAAAGAAUAAGAGAGUAAAGAACAAAAACAUGAUAUUUUUUUUGCUGUUGCUAGUGCAAAUAUUUUUUGUUUAGGUCAAAUUUGCAGAUAUUUCUUUUUAGACAACGCAUCUUUGCUUUCUUUGAUUUUCAGCAGUCUUUUUCUUCCACGUAAAAUAUCUUCACACUGUUUUUUUCUGAUGAAUAUUUGCUUAGAUUUUUUGGUUGAUUGCUAGUUCGUCGAAUUCAUGGUGUUUACAGGAUAAUAGCACAAAAUUAACAUAUUUUGGUUAUAUAUUUUCAAGUAAAAAGAUAGUAAUUGUGUUGGUUCAUUUACCAUGUUUGUUUAUCUUUUUACUUUUUUGGUUUGGCGAAUAUUAUUAACACUUUAUUUGACGUAAUAUCAUGUUUCUUUUUUGUUAAAUCAUCCACAAAAGAACGUGUAACUUAACUACCGUUUUGCCACCAUGUUUUUUUUUUCUUUCUAAUUUUACCUAUGCAUUUGGUGACCUAACAAGAGUUUUCAAAUUUUCUACUUUUCUCUCUGAUCAAUAAAAUUAAUAUUUAAUUAUACUCUAUGUUCAUUUUAUAAGUUUGUUUUGGCUAAAAAUGCAGAAUUAAGAUGCUUAUGAAUGUUUUUGAUUUCGUACAUUAAAAGAUAAUUAUUUCAUACUCAAUUAAAGAAAUCGAACCAAGAAAACAAAUAUUUUGUAAUACUAAUGCUGAUUGAUUUUCUAGAAUUUUUCAUAAUUUUUGUUAGUUUAUUAGUUAAUGUUAAAAAAUAAUAAUCUUUAAGAGAUAUUAAUUGAGAUAGUUGAAUUAGUAUUGAUUUCUAGUUAUGGGAAAAUGUGAAAUCCUUAAACAUCAUUUUUACUAGUAACAGAGACAAUACAAGAAAACAUGUUAUAUUCCUACGAAAAUUGCUACGAAUGUAUUUAGUAGGAUUAUUUUUCACCAAUUUCUUACGGAAUUAUGACAAAAAUAAAAGUGAUAGGAAAUAUGUAAGCAAUUUCCUACGAAAAAAUGUCAAAAAGUGGUAGGAUAUAUCCAACCAAUAACCUACCAAAUUUAUAUUCGUAGAAAAUACGAUCAAAAUUUGGUAGAAAAGUUGUAGGAUACAAUUGACUGUUACACUGGUGAAAAUUUCGUAGGAAAUUGUUACGGAUUUCCUACGAAAUAUUAUUUGUAGAAAAAUCGUAGGAAUUUUGUAGGAAAAUAUGUCUUUUUGUUUGUCCCACAUCGAAAAGUUAAGAAUUUAGAUGAAGAAACUGCACUAUAAAAAGAGCAAAAUUAAAAUUUUCUACGGAUUUCCUACGAAAUUUCGUUUGUAAAAAAAAAAUCGUAGGUUUGUUUGUAAAAAAAAAUCGUAGGAAUUUCGUAGGAAACUUAUAUUUUUUGAUCUCUAGAGAGUAUUAAAUAAGUAUAGUUUUUGCAUAGAAACUUAACAAAAAGUCAUGUAGGAGUUUAUCAGGGAACAUAGAUGUUGUAGAACAUUAUAAGGGAAAAGAGGGAGUAUGUUGAAAGAUUUAUUGCUAUACAUAGGAAUUAAUUAAGUACUCGUUUACUUUUUUAUGCUUUCUAAAUAGUCGAAAGUGGCAGUUACGAUUAAAAACUUAGGAGGACAUCGACAGGUCAAUAAGAUCAAAUACCAAUGUAAUAAAUUAUCUGUGACGAUUAAAUUAGAGAUCUCAUAAGACACCACGCCUUGCGCUGAAUAUUUGAUAUCUGGACUAUUUAUUUAUCCAAUCAAGGCAAUACAUGUACUACUGUGAUUAAUUUCUCGAGUCAUUUAUUAUUUACGCGUACACGCAUGGAUGUGUACUACACAACUUCGGAUUUAAAAGUGUUACAUUACAUGAUGUGAAUGUAUAGAAUCCAACGUUUUCUCUAUAUAUUCAUAAUCUAAGACAAAAUUUCUGAUAUUUUCUACUGCGUUUGCAAGUGAAAAUUCUUAAAGUUUGAUACAAAAUUAAUAAGAACAUCCACACACACACCUUUCAAACAAAUUUUCAUAUGUUACAAUUUUAUUAAAAUAUAGUGUUAGAAAAUUGAAGUGGUUAUAUCCAACCAAAAAGUACUGAUUUUUAUAUUAAUAGUGGUAUUACACUCUAAACAUAAUUUUUUUUUAGAUAAACUUCGUGGCUUCAUAAUUUAUGUCCUUUCUACAAUAUAGUAUAUUUAAAUCAUGGAGCCAUGGAGGUUAUCUAAAAAAACAAAUAUGUUGACGCAUUUCAAAUAUAACUUUUGUGCAUAAGGUUUUCAAAUAGUGAUAUGUCUUUUUUGUGUGAACAUUACUACAAGUCCAUUUAUAAGAUGGGUCUGAUAAUACUAUUAUUAUUAUGAUAAACAUUCGCAAACCACGACGCCAUUAAAAAAGACAGACAACGUUAAAUCAUAUGUAUAAGAAGAAUAAAAAAGAACAUUAAUGUGAGAGAUGACAGGAAGGGAUUGAAAAUUUAUAAAAACAAGUUGGUUCGAGCAUUACCAACUUCACGUGGAAGGGACGUGGAGCUCAAAGUUCCACACUCGAUUCAGAAUCAUAAGACAGCGAAGCACACGUGUGCAUGUCCUCGUGUUGCCUCAUAGCGCUUCAUCUCCUCAACUGUAACAACAAAUCUCUGAAAAUUCAAUGACUUAAUUCCCAUUUCGAACUUCAUCAUGAGAUCAUUAGUAUCAUUGAUCUAUAGUUCUUGAUUUCACCGAUGUUACAAGUCGCAGUAUUACACUUAAGAGUUGACACACAUUGUACGAUAUCAAAUAGGUACAAAACGUUUCUCUUAAAGAAAUGAACGAACUCGAUGUUAUAACAGCAAGCACGAAAAAUAUGGAAAAAUACAUAGCACGAUUCAGGCUUAUCCACGGUAAUUGAUUCAUUAGUCAUUACCAUAUAUCAGACAAAAUGAACACACAAACAAAAGGAUUAUAAUUAAAUGGCAAUGUUCUUCAAUAUCACUGUUUUAUUAUAGUUUAGUACUAUUAUAUGCUUUGGUUUGGUAGAUAUUAUAUUUACAUUAUAUUAAGUUUUAUAUAUGAAAUGUAAUUUUGUAUAGUUUCUAUCUGAUGAACCAUACCAAAUAAAUUAUACUUUUACCUUAAAUAAAUUUAACACAUCAUCACAACUUUAUUUUUUUGUGGAUUCAGCUUUAAAAUAUAAGAGACUGUCAAUUAUACGGUCACUUUAAUAGAACACCCAUUAACAAAAAUAAAAAUUACAUUAUGGUACUGAAACUACCAGAGUCAUAGCCGGCCGAUGAAAGCUGCAAGAACCACCAUCAUCCAUUGAUGCCAGAAUCACUCGCACGUGCGGGUACGUGCAUUUCCAAAAAUACUAAAUAAAAAUCCCCAUAAACAAAGCAUGGCUUGGGAAUGGGUUCGGUUUGGGGAGUGGUCCCACGUGUCUCCGCCAUGUUACCGGCCGAGCUGGCACAUGCGAUUAACCGCUAAAUCAAAAUCGGCAAUAAUCAUUUGCUUCAUUAUAUCGAUAAUCACUCGUUAUUAAUCUUUUGCUUAAAAGCUGUGCCACACGUGCAACCUCGUCAUGGAUAAUCAGAGGAUCUAUUUACUUUAUUUACAUAUAUACCCUUGCUUUAGAAUGUCUUUCAAAGUGAAUUUUCAAUUUUGCAAAGGUAAUACGAAGUAUGUUGAUUGUUGGGUAAUUAUAGUAAAAAGAAAGAAAAGAAAAGUUUUGGAACUUUAGUAUCAAAGAAGUUAAAUUGGAAUACUAAUUUAAGUUAAAGAAGUUAAAAUUAUUUCUAAUGGAAAAAUCUAAAUCAAAUUGGAAUACUAAUUUAAGGAAAAAAUAUAUUUUAAUAUGUGCUAUUUUGAGAACUUUGAACUUGAUGUGUUAGUUUUAGAACAAACAACUAUUUCCUAAAACUACUUUAGAUUAUUUAAAAAAAAUAUUUUACUAUGAUGAUAAAGAAAAUAGUUUUGACGAACUAUAAAUGUUGCAGACUUGCAGUAACUCAAACCUAAUUAAUAGUAAACAGAGCAAUACGAUUUACCCCUUGGUCCAUGGAAUACCAGUAGUAUUAUUUGAUAUACUGAUUGCAAUGAGACUCCAUCCUACCAAAUAUAGCGUUUUUCCUUCUUCAAUGGGACUUCAAAUGCAACUCCAAAUUUUAAUUUUUUAGAGUUUUGUGAAUAGUGCAACUCCAAAUUUGGUGUUGCAUUAUUCACAAAACUCUAAAAAUUAUAAUAAUAUUUUAUUAUUACUUUUAGUAUAAUAUCAAUAUUAUAUUAUUCAUUAAUUAAUUAAAUUUUGUAACUAGAAUUAAUAUACCAAAUUGUAUUUUUAUCUUAUCAUUUAUAGUAAUAUAAUUUUUAAGUAUAACUAAUAUGAGAUUUGGUUGUAAUUAAUAUAAAUACAUAAAAUAUUUAAAUUAAUACACACUAUCUUGAAAUUAAUACACACUAUUUUUAAAUUAAUAUUUUUAAACUAAAUCUCAAAAUAUCUUAAAUUAAUAUACACUAUUUUAAAACUAAUAUUUUUAUUUUAUUGAUUGUAAUUUUUUUCGUCAUCGAAUAUAAUGUUAUAAAUAAUUAGUUGUUAAUCUAUUAUAUGAAUAAUUAGUAUUUAUCAAAACAUUAAAAGAUAAAGAGAAUUUUAAAUUAAAUAUAAUAAUAAAAAGAUUUUUUUUGGUAUGAGAUUUGGUGUUGUGGUUGGAGAUGAAAAAAAACACUAUUCACUCAAACACCAAAUUUGUCACUAUUCACAACACAAAAAUUUGGUGUUUAGAUGAAUAGUGAUUGGAGAUGGUGUUAGAUAUUUUAUUUGGGUUAAAUUUUUACUAGUUGAUUUGCUAGGAGUAGAUUAUAUAAGAUGGUGCUAUCAAUUCAAUAAUAUCAGCCGAGAUUUUGCAAUCAAAUCUCGGACGUAAUGAUCUAUAUAUGUAAUGACUAAGGAAGCCAAAUUAUUAUUGAUUUAUGUGGCCAAGCUGUCUUUUGCUUAAAGUUGUUGUUCCCCACAUAUAUAUAUAUAUAUAUAUAUAUAUACUAAUGGCUCAUCAUAAAUAUCUAGAUAAAUAUAUAGAUAUAUAUAUAUAUAUAGUGGUCCGUAAGCCAAUUCUAUAUAAAAUUUGUUUUGUGUAUUGAAAUUAAUUUCACCACAGUCUAAUUUUAGCUUGUGUGUAUUUUGUUUUUCCCACUUUUAUCCGUGAUAGAAUCAGUUAACAGUUAAAUUACAUUAGUAGUAUAAAUCCUGGAAAAAAUAACUGGUGUAUAUGAAAUUUUUUUUUGUACUUAAGGAGUUAGGGUUAAAAAAAUUGGACGGAAAGAAACAAUGGGAUUGAUAAUUUAUAAAAAGAAUGCAUUCGGUAAAAUGUUUAAUGUGAAAAACUUUACUGAAUCUACAAAAUUUAUGGGAUACUAAUAUUUUACUAAUUCUUUGAAAUGACGAAUUGAUCGAAUCUUAAUAAGAUUUUAUGGAGAGGUCCAAUUGUCCAAUGAUGUAGAGUGGAGACCAUGUUAAUAAGGCAAAAAGCUAGGAGAAAAUGUGCUUGGGCAAUGUCUUCUCAUGUGGCCUUGGAAUCAUCAAAAUUAGAUGUAUGGUCAUUAAAAAUAUGAUCCACUUGUUGAUUAUAAUUUCCAUUAAUUAAGGAAUCACUGUCCUAAGAUCUUUUACUUUAUAAACAUUGUUUGAUUUGAAAUAUACGUACUAUGUAUUUAUGUCCAUAGCCAUUACAUCGUGUCUAUUAAUGAACAAAACAUAUUAAAAUGACACGGAUCAAAUUCAUAGAUGGAAUCAAGGUGACGUCACCAUAAUUAUGUCUAAAUACACUAUGAGUAUAAUUUAUGCAGUAAACACGUCAAAAUAUAUAUUUCUUUUCGAAAGUAACACAAAAAAUAUAUCUCUUUUUUUUUUUUAAUAUAUCAACCGUGUUAAACUGAUCAGAAUUUUUGGAAUUUUUAACUUAAAAAAUAUAGUUUGUAUUGUUGGUGAAUUUAUGGUUAUCAAUAUGAUUAACAUGUGGACAUAACACCGUCGGAAUUGCACCAAAGCAAGCUUAUUCUUGGAAGAACAAAUACAUGCGACAAAAAAAAAGAAGAACAAAUACAUGCGACAAAAUAUGACUUGACCAACAUAACAUUAUUUCGAAGAGUAGAGUCUCAAAAUUUUUUAAACGUUUUGACACACAAAUCAUUGUUCGGCUACCAUGAACCAAUAAGGCAUUUCAUGCAAAAUUACAAGAGGACAUCCACAUCACAUACAAGCAAAGUACGCUUUUCAAGUCAAAAGGCGAACAUAUUGUUGUAAGAGAGUCCGAUCACUUUGCUAGCACCGAAAAUACAGUCAUAUCGGACUCCGAAGUUGAACCUUUCAGUUUAAUUAUUUAAGAAAACUAAUCCAUAAAUGGGUCUUCAUAAGUUUUUGUAGUCGAAAUUUUAAGAUUGAUAUAGUCCAGCUCAGUCAAGUUGUGUAGACCAAGCAUUUUCAAUGCUUUGUGGAGUUGAUUUUUGGUUAUGGAUCCAUCUGCAUCAGAGUCUGCCUUCUUAAGGAGAUUUGAAAGCUCUGACAAAUUCCACGCGCGUGAUAGAACCAUCAUGGUCGCUAUCGAUUUUCUCCAAGAGCUAUGAGAUCUCCUCAUCCUUACACGUUAGAUUAGCCAAGUCCAGCUGCUGGUCUCCUUGGGUGUCAACUUCAUCGAACACGUUCUUGAGGCUCACUACCAUCCUCUCAACAACGUCCAAGUGCCUAAUACUUUAGAUCGGGUAAAAAAAAACUCAAAGAAAGAGGAGAAAAAAAGAUGAGAAGUAAAAGAGAGUUAGGGUUUCAGAUGAUACGGCGAAGGUGAAAGAGGUUUAUGGUUUCAUAGCGAUGCGAAUGUGGAAUAUAGGUAGCAUACAAAUUAGGGCUUUAGAUGUGGGCCACAAAUAUUGAUAUUCAAUUGGUGGAUUUGAGCCCAACAUCAUUUUCUUAAUCUUUCAUUUUUGUCUUUUUUGUAAAUUUUCUUAAACUAAUAAAAGUUAAAACUAUAUGUCUUUAAAGAUGUCCACGUAAAAUUUUAAAAGAGAAUUUUAUUGGUUCACAUCAACAUUCAAUAUUAAAUAAUUUUACAUAUUCUAAUAUUAUUGCUGAAUAAAGAAAUUAAAAAAAUUUACAAAUUUUAAUAUUAUUGCUGAAUAAAAAAUAAGUAUAAAUUGUUUAUUGAUCCACCUAAAAAUUAAAAAUUAAAGAACUUCCAAAUUCUAUUAUUAUUUUUAAAAAUUAUUAAAGAUAAACAUUCAAUAUUAAGAAAAAUUUAUUGAUCCACAUCAACAUUCAAUAUUACUUUUUUUUUACAAAUUCUAAUAUUAUUGCUGAAUAAAGAAAUUAAAAAAGUUUACAAAUUUUAAUAUUAUUGCUGAAUAAAAAAAUUAAGUAUAAAUUUUUUAUUGAUCCACCUAAAAAUUGAAAAUUAAAGAAUUUCCAAAUUCUAUUCUUAUUUUUAAAAAUUAUUAAAGAUAUAUAUAUAUAUAUUUAUAUAUUUAUAUUAAUUAUAAAAAACUAAAAUAAAUACUAUUAAAAUAGGGAAUUUUAAAUUUAAAAAAUUGAAACUAUAUGCCUCUAGGGAUGUCUAUAUAAAAUUUUAAAAGACAAUUUUAUUGGUCCACAUCAACAUUCAAUAUUAAGAAAAAUUUACAAAUUUUAAUACUAUUCCUGAAUAAAAAAAUUAAGAAAGUUUACAAAUUUUAUUAUUAUUGCUGAAUAAAGAAAUUAUGUAUACUUUUUUAAUUGAUCCACCUCAACAUUGAAAAUUAAAGAAUUUCCAAAUUCUAUUAUUGUUUUUAAAAUUAUUAAAGAUAAGAAAUUAUAUAUAAAUUUUAUAUUAAUUAUAAAAAACUAAAAUAAAAAAAUUAAAAUAUGAAAUUUUAAAUUUAAAUUAGAUGUAUACACACAUAUUUAGAGACUCCUACAUUAGCAUCCAAUUUUUUGUCACAUAACUAUAAUAAUUUUGAAAUUCUUUUUCUGUGUGUGCAACCAUUUCAAAAAAAAAAAAAGAGUUAAGUUUCACUAAAAAUGAGUUCUUAAACAAGUUCAAAGCACGUUUAGUUGCUAAAGGGUUUCAUCAGCAAUAAAGAAUAGACUUUCUUGAAACCUACAACCCUGUUGUUAGGACUGUAACCUUGAGAUCUAUUAUGCAUAUAGCUACCAUCAUGGAUUAGGACAUAAAGCAAAUGGAUGUUAAAAACACCUUCUUACACAGAUAGCUCACUGAGACAGUCUACAUGACUCAGCUAACUGGGUUCAUCGAUAAGACAAGCCAUACCAUGUGUGUCAACUCAACAAAGCCUUUUAUGGACUUAAACAGUCACCUAGGGCAUGAUUCGACAAAUUCAGCACCUUCUUGCUUGAAUUUGGCUUCACCUGCAGCAACAAAGAUCCCUCUCUUUUCAUCUACUCCAAGAACCGAUACAUCAUCCUUUUAUUACUCUAUAUUAACGAUAUGGUGAUCACAGGAAGUGGAACAACUGUUCUGAGCAAUCUGCUAUCUGAACUCAACAAAUACUUUAGGAUGAAGGAUAUGGGUCAGCUGCAAUAUUUUUCUUGGAAUUCAAGCCUAAUUCCAUUCAGAGGGGCUGUUCUUCUCUCAGUAGAAAUAUGCAGAGGACUUAUUAGCUGUGGCAGCCAUGAGUGAUUGCUCACCUAUGCCCACUCCUCUUCCCUUACAGCUCGACAAAGUUCCUCACCAAGAUGAACCUUUCUCCAAUCCUACGUAUUUCAGAAGCCUAGCUGGAAAACUGCAGUAUCUCACCUUGACCAGGCCAGAUAUACAGUUUGCGGUAAAUUUUGUCUGCCAAAAGAUGCAUUCACCAACCGUCUCUGAUUUCAUUCUUCUGAAGAGAAUCUUACGCUACAUCAAGGGCACAAUAACGAUGGGAAUCAACUUUAGCAAGAAGACCGACUGUACCAUCAGAGUGUAUAGUGAUAGUGACUGGGCCGGGUGUAAAGAAACACACAGGUCUACAGGUGGAUUUUACACUUUCUUAGGCUCCAACAUCAUCUCUUUGUCCUCUAAGAAGCAACCGACUAUUUCCAAAAACUUAACGGAAGCUGAGUACAGAACGAUGUUGAAAGCUGUCUCAGAGAUCACGUGGCUGAGCUCCCUUCUCAAAGAAAUUUGAGUUUUUAUUCCUACCACACCAGAACUCUUCUGCGAGCCUCACUGCAAAUCCCACUUUUCACAGCAGAAUUAAACAUUUCGAAAUCGACCACCACUAUGUCCGAGAAAGAGUGGCACUAGGGUCUCUGGUUGUCAAUCACAUACCAGCUCAUCAACAGCUAGCCGAUAUCUUCACCAAGUCCUUGCCAUGUAAAGCUUUCUGCUCGCUAAGAUUCAAACUCGGUGUAGACUUUCUGCCAACACCUCGUUUGAGAGGGGCUAUCAACACAAAGCCUCUAUCUCAAACAAAAGCUACUCAAAACAAUGUCGAGUUAAGUUCAGUGAAGGAUAUGGGCCAGUGUAAUCUGCAAUGGCUCAUUACCGAGCCCAAAUCUUCCCAACGGUCAUCUCUGUAUCACGACAAAAACAGAGCUUCUGCAGAGAGGAGCAAGACGACGAGCUGUACGGAAGAGACAAUCCCGGUGCGCAACAUUUUUGGCGUCUUGUCAAUCAUUGACUGACCCCUGGCUGAUUGGCACUUGUGAGAAGAUCUCACACUAGAGUUUAGGAGUGUUCCCUUCCUCUUUGUGUAUAAAAACACUAUCACUAUGUAAUCAUUUUCCAAGUUUUGAAUCAAUAAACAAAAACUUCAUAUUUUAGCAUAUUUCAGUUUUGCCUUUAUGUUUGUUUUUGAUAUGGUUGACAGGAUAAUCAAGAUUUCUAGUCAUCAGUGAACAAAGCAGCAGAAAAAAUGAAAGAGAAGCUAUAUUUGGCAUGUAUCGGAGUGACAGAGUUAAUGCAGAAAUUACAUACUCCAGAUGCUGAUGCCAUCCCUCUUGCCACCCGUAAAGAAUGGUUAUGGCCAGUGUAUAGAAAAGUAUGUCUUAAAUCUCUCUUCUAAGUUCUUGAGCUUUUGAUUAACCCAUUAUCAUUCUGCUUAACUUGGUUCUGGUUGGUUGUUUCUAACAGGUCAAAGAAGCUGAUCCAUUAGACAUUAUCGGUGGCCCACAUUAUUGCCCCAUACUCCAGACUACCCGAGUGGAUGCGGUUAACUUAUUGCGGGAACUACAUGCGAUGGAAAAAAUCGAUGAGUUUGGAAAUUUGAUUAGUCCAUCAACAAGUCAGUUAAAUUAGGUUCAUAAUUAUCAAGAAUUAGAUUAUACCUCUUUUUUCUUUCUUUAUUUUAAACCUUGUAAGGCCGAGGAACAAAAAACAACAGAAAAUGCUACAAGUUUAAACUCUCAGACAAAAGAAAUGUCACGAAGCCAGUGUCUGAAACAGUGAAACUUAUAAAGAGUUCACAAGAUUGUAUUGUUGUGAGCUAUUAUGAGUAGAGAAGGUAUUGUUGUGAGCUAUUAUGAGUAGAGAAGAGA